CAAUACCAUGGAAAUUUAGUACUACUUGGUUUAGUUAAGGUAUGGUUUUGAUAUUGCUGGAGUCAAUUCCUCUACCAUCUGUGGCUGGUCAUAAAUGAUUCUAGUCUAGGUAAGUGAGUUGUACUUGGCUACAGUGAAUACUUCAUUUUCUUUUCAAGUUCAAGAAUUGAUCUUGUGGUUGUUUUUACUCACUCCAUUAGGUUAUCGUGGUUCUUUCGUUUUCUUUACCUUGCUCCUAUAGUAAUGAAAUACUUCCUAUCUACAAGUGUGUUGCCAAAUGCAUAUCUAAAUGGUGGUUUAUUCUUGCCAACAGUUGCCUUGUCCCCAGAAGUCUCCAAGUGAGUAAUGAAAGGAUAUAAAACUGAUUUCCAUAAAGGAUGAAAGUCUCUCUACUGCAUCAGCAAUCGAUGAACCAGUGCAUGCAAUCAUCGUGUUUUCUUCUAAAAAUCUGUGUGAAAAUUGCUAGUCCAAAAUUGAUUGGCCACGUAAGCAAAGUUAGUUGAUUAACUAACUGAAAGUGCGAGCUGGCACACCUGUUUGCUUAGCAAUUUUUUUUUUCAUGUACUCAUGUAUAAAAAUGUGAAGAAAAAAAAAAGAUUUUUUUGAAUUGUAGAAAGGAAGUGAGAGGAUUUUAGAGUGUGAGUCUUCUUCACUAUACUGUAGCGAGAGCUUGAUGAUUCUCAGAGAUUCUUGAGGGUGUAAAAUGGUUCAAUCUUAGUGGAUUUUUGGAGGUGAUCUUGAUCCGUGGAUGUAGGAUUCAAUCUUGGAUCCGAACCACGUAAAUCCUGCUUGUUUUGUUAUGUUUUGAUAUUAGAUAUUAUUUUCUUUUGAUUUAUGGUUUUGUUUUCUUUGUCUUCUUGGAUUGGUGUUCAAUCUCAAUUCAUUGAGGAACUUGGAUAAAAACUCAACACUAUGUUUUGUACUUUUCAUUCAACUUGGAUGAUUGGAUAUUUGCUACAAUGUUAGGCUAGAUGACCGAGUUAGCAUCUUCAAUUGAUGGAAUUGAAGAAGAACUUAUUUAACACAAUGAUUUUAACCAUCUCUAAGUAGUUGCUUCUAUUUGAAAUUAUAUAUCAAAAAGUGUAAUUUUGAUUUUGCUAAAGUUCACAUUUUUCAUUAAAAAAAUAUAUUUGUUCUCACCAUCAUAAAAUAUUUUACUAAAAAAGAAAUUUAUAGGCUUUUAAAGGAAAAGGUAAGCCCAACUUGAUGGAGAGUUGGGUUCAUUCUCUAGAUCAAUUGGCUCACUAGUACUUGGCCAAUGAAGGUUUUGGUAAGUGGAGCUAAGGACAUUCAUUUGGGCUUGAUUCUUUAGAUAUGUUUGUGUGGGCUCUUUCAUUUUCCUCUAACCCAUGAUGAUCUAGGUUAGGAUCUAUCCUUUGUGUAAUGCCUUUAUGUGGAAGGAUACAAAAAAAAUUUAUAUCGUAUCCAUAUGAUUGGUCUUUGAAGUAUAAACAUAUGAGGGGUAGGUGGAAUCCAUUGUUAACAAGCCAAAAUGAGAGAACUUUUUAGAGCCCUAGCAAACUAUCUCUAGCUCCAAAAUUAUGGCUGCAAAUAUAAGAAAAUAGAGAGUCUAAUUCUUACAUGAAAGGAAUCAAUGAGAGAACUUUUUGUAUUUUAAAUGUUAAAAUUGUUGAUAUAAAAAGUGAAUAAUUAUGGUGAAAUAGUGAAGUUAACUCAUUAGUGGCAAUGACCUUGUUAUGCACUUGACUUGGGUAUUCAAUAAUGAUAUCAAUUAACUUAUACUAAUGGCUUCCGUAAGAAAUAUAACACAUGAUGCAAAUGUUGUGUCAAAAGAUCUUUAUCUUGAAAGUCGCAUUAUUGAAGUGAUCAAAAGCAUUUUUAAAAGAUUACAUUCUUAAGCAUGAUAUAGUCACCUUCAUAGAUGACAAAGUCACCUCCAUCUCAACCUUACCCUUGUCAUUUAAAUGUAUUCACAAACAAAAAAAUUACAAAUAAAGCUAUGCAAGCAAAUGUCAUUCAAAAAAAUGAGUUGAAUUUAAAAAAUAUCGUCUUAUCCUAAAUUUGUAAUAUUAUUCAAUCAUAAAAAAAUUAUUGGUAAUAAUAUAUUAUUUAAAUAAAAAGAGAUGAAAGUUUUUUGAAGUAAUUAAUUAUCAUUUUCAUAUAAUCUCUAUAAAUAUUUAUGUUCAUAAAUUUAUUUAUGAUAUUAAUCUUUGAAUGAUUUAAAGUUUGACUAGCGGAAUAGUAUAUUAUUGAGUAUGAUAGGAAGAAAGGUUUACUUUUCCAUAUGAAUGCAAUAAAGAAUUUUUGUUCCACAUAUAAGUGUUGCAAAUCAAAUUGAACUUCUUCUUUCUAUGUUUUCAUAAUAUUGGAAAUUUACACAGAACUCAUACAUGCCAGUUUCCAAUAUUAUGGAAACAUAAAAAGUAUGAGUUAGUGUCAAUUUUCAAUAUUAUGGAAAUAUAGCAAGAAGAAUUUUAACUUGAUUUGCAACACUUAUAUGUGGAAUAAAAGUCAUGGAAUUCUUUGUUUAUUCUGGAAAAAAAAAAUUAUAUACAAAAUUAAUAUACUAAGAGUUUCUUAAUGAUUAUUUUGGGAAAAGAAUAAAAAAAAAGGGAAAAAUAUGAUUAUAUAGAAAUACAUUACAUUAUAUUUCAAUAAAUAAAUAAAUAAACAAAUAUGUGUGUGCAUGUGAAGACAUGUUUGUUACAUGUGCAUGGAUUUGUAUGUAUUUCUAUAUGUUAAUUUAACAAAAUAUAAUAAAAAUUAAUUAGUAUAAAGAAGGAGAGGAAUAAAUUAAUCCUAAUUAUAUAAAAUAAAUAAAUAAAUGAACAAAGGUAAGUUUGCAAAAAAAAAAAAAAAAGCGAAAACAAAAAUAAAGUUAAGUGCAUUAGAAAAAUUAUUGUAAAAAUAAUAAAAAUCUUUGUUGAAAAACAAAUUGCUAAUAUUAUUCAAAAAUCGUUUCUAAUGAAUUAUUUCUAUUUAAUUUUAACCUAAAAAAGUGUAGUCUUAUUUUAUAAAAAUUAUUUCAUUUUAUUAUAUUUAAUGAAAAUUAACUUACUUUAAUAUUGUUAAAAAAUCGAAUUUUUUGUCCAUACUUUCUCAAUUUUUGGUUUCACGUGGUUUGCAAUCCACACUCCACGCGUUUUGAGCGGGAUGUCAGAUUGUCUUUUUAUCCAAUAUCAAAGGAUGUGGGGACUAGGCUGUUGGCUUUGAUCUCAUAGGAAGCGGCCCCACCUCCACUCUCAUAUAGGUGAAUCCAUCAAGUAUGUUCUGCAUUUAAACAUACCAUCCAUAAGGAAUAUGGUAUUCAUUAAGAGUAAACACUCAACCUUAGUAAAUGCAAAAUACGCUCUAUCUACACCAUAGGGAUAAACUCUCAUACAAUUAAAGUUGAUAGAGCACCUCAAGUCAACAAGUGAUUUGUUAUUACCCUUAUGAACCUACUUCAUGGAAUUUCCAUUCUAAUAGGUUGGGCUACCACCACUGAUUCCGUGAAAGUCCAGUCGGGUCUUUUAAUAAAAAACAUUUAUAAAACCUAUGACCUCAUACUAGCGUAGCAAAGCUACUAUAGCAUAGUGGCUCUAGGGUCGAACUCUGGGAUGAGUUUUCAUUCUACCAGUGAUAUACUCAAGAUUAGAAAUUGAGUCUGAUAAGUUCCUUUGUCAAAAACUUAAAGUUUAAAAGAAAAUAAAAUUUGUUUUGAAAGUGGUGUUUGAAACUAAACUAACAUAAAACUAGGUAAAAAUAUGGAAGAAAGAAAGUCUCCCGGAGCUAAGGGUUGCUAGGAUCAAGUUCAGAAUGCAAAGUGGAAAUUCCGGAUUUCUCAUCUCGUAUUGGGGGCAACAACAUAAAGGAUGGUUGUUUCCCGAACCGAUAUAGGUUUAACAAUGAAGGUUUAAUCCAUAAAAAAUCAAUAGAAAUGGUAUAGUCAGGUUCCAUUAAUGUCUUUAGACACUAUGGGUCUUCACCUUGAGCCACUUUCCAAUGGCUCGUACAUGAUAGAUAACUAAUGGUCUGAUGUGGAUCUAGCAAUUAGCAUCCAUAGAGACCUGAAGCUUACCAUGUAUUGGUCAUUCAAAGUGAUUCUAAGGGAUUUAAAGCAAAACUUUAGAUUUAAAAGCCAUUUAUGAACUCCAGCUACCUGUAUUUAAUGCAUGAGAGUUUUCCACUUUAGCAUUUGGACUUUUCACCUAGCUUCCUUCACUCGAAGAAACCAAAGGUUUAGCCUCUCAUCCUCUGGGAAAACAUCCUCAGAGGUUGUUUGGCUUUCAAGAAAAAGAAAAUAGUAGAGAGAAAAGGAAAGCAAAGAGACCCCUGUAUUUUACUAAGUGUAAAAUAUACAAUGUGUUCGUCGUUUCUUACGAGAGAUGAUUUCCACCCCUUAUACAGUCUUUACAAAAGCAAAGCCUGUGAUUGGCUAAUUACAGGGAUAAGAAAGGAAUUUACAUCAAAAAAUACAAAAGAAAAGAUCUAAAGUGGAGUCGGCAGAACAGAGGAGAUUUCGCACCAUGCAUGGGCUGGUGCUAAUUUCGCACAAAGAGAAGGUGUUGUGCGAAUUUCGCACAACCUGAAGGUGUUGUGCGAAUUUCGCACAAGCUUGGAGCAGUUGUCUUCCGAAGGUCAUAUCUUCCUCAUUUCAGCUCCAAAUCAUACACGGUUUGAAGUGUUGGAUUCUUGACUUCCUGAGCUUUGAAAUGGUAUAUAGCAUGUAGAAAAUGGACUUCGGAAAGUGCUCCAAAAGUGCGAAGGAAGACUGCAGCUGCUGUCCUCUGUUUUCUUCACUUUGUUUGUUUUCCCUCUUUGCUUCUCUCCUUUACUUGGCUUGUCUUAAUGAUCCAAAAAGUUGUCAAAACACUAAAACUAGCCACAAAUAUGAUUAGAAGUCAUUGCUAGGUCCUUAACAUGCCAAUUGGAAUAAAGAUGGAGAACUACUACACAAAAGUGCUUAAAACAUAAUGAAUUAAAAAUGCAAAAUAACACUUUUUGGGUAGUAAUCACUCCCCCCAACUGACACACUGCUAGUCCCUGAGCAAUGAAGGAGAGAAAAAUAAAGAAAAAUAGAUAAUAUAAUAUUUUAUAAAAUCAUGCUAAUCACUCCAAAAAAUAAUCAAGUGGCAUGAUUGGAUCAAACUCUCACAUGGCAAGUCAAGGAUAUAAAACUCAAUCAUCAACAAGAGUCAUCAAAUAACUUACCUAUCACAACAUGCAAAGAGCGGGCAUUGUGCAAAUUUGAGUAUCAAAAUAAUUUCCACUCCCAAAGGACCAACUCUUAAUCUUCCACAAAAAUCUAAGUGUUAAGGUGCUUAGUUUCCAGUUAUAGUAUGUCAAAUUAUAUUCUCCCCCCCCAACUAAGGUUUUUCUCUAACUUUAGCAACACUAACUCACAUAUAAAAGGCUAAGAACGCACCUUUUUUUCUUUUUUUCUUUUAUAUAUAAAUACUCCACCCAUCCAUCCAUGUAACGAGUAGUGAGGUCGGUGACUCCCAACCAAUAAAGGCUUAGGGCACCAGGCUUUAAAGAUUUUCACCAUAUACCCCUCGGACCUUGCUCGGGUUUCAAAGCAAGUGAAGCAAAAUUUUUUUUCAUAAGACACAUUGGCCUUUUAUAAGGUGUCCUAACACUAAUAGAAUGAAGUCAAUGGCACCAAGUCGAAAAUUUCCUAAGUUUAGGGGGGUGAGAAAGUUUUCCAUCUUAUAACUGGAAUCUAAUGUGUUCAGUGUGUGAAAAGAUUAGAGUGGAAGACUUAAGAUUGAAAUCAAAAGGAGCUUCAACAAUUUAUCAACUUUAAUAAGCAUAAUACAAACUCUGAGACUAUAGGAAUAAGAUAAGAAUUUAAUUUCUCCCAUUUUCUUUUGAGAAUUUAUCUUUGAGAAAACAAAGAGAGUUUGUAAAAAAUUUGUUAGCAAAAUAACUUAACCAAAAAUUAAACAAAUUACUUCCUCAACUCUCCCCCCAACUAGGAUGAACAUUGUCCCCAAUGUUCCAAAAGCAAGUGAUAAUAAAAGGGAGGAAGUGAUACCUCCUGAUAGUAAGGGACUCUGAAUGAAUAGGAGAAACCACAUGUUGCAUAAGAAAAGAAAAAUCAUAAGAGUGAUGAUUAGAGGAAAUAAAAAGGAAUAACUAAAAUACACAAAAAGGAAGAUGUCUAUAUUAACUGAGAGAGUACAAUAUACAAGAGAAACAUGGAAUACAUCCAAUCCCAAUAUAAAAGUAGUCCAAAAUAUAUAACACAUCCAAAAACAUAGAGUAUAGAUACAAAUCAAAAAGGGAGAGAAGUGAUCGUAUGAUCAAGUAGUAGGCUCCUCUGGUGGAUAGGAGGGGUCCUCAGCUACAACUGUGGAAGGUACCGCUACAGGUGGAGCUGGUGGCAAAAGAUCGAGGUGUUGUUGAAUCUCACAGAGAAUGAGAGUCUGCUGGUCCUGCCGAAGCUGGAAGUGGUCCAUUCGCUCCAUAAUGGCUGUCUGAGUAGUGGUCAGAGUCUGGAAAGAAACGAGCAAGGCACAAUACUCUGCACCAGGGAUAGUAAUGGGCGGCUCUGAGGUAGGAGGAACAGCAGGUGGGGCGUCAGACGAUGUUGCCUCUGGUACGGGCUCUGAGGGAGCUGAAGAUGGAGCAGAUAUAGAUGGUAAAGACUGUGGAGGGACUUCCCUUGGCUCGGGAAGUUCUGGGGAAUGCUGAUGGAGCCAUACCUGAUUCCAUUGGUCAAGAGAGAAGCUCUCUCGACAAUGGCGGCGAGGCUCAGAAUGAGGGUCAGUAGGAAAACCCAUAUGCGCCAGAACAUGGCAUAGCAGCCGAGGGAAAAGUAAAAGAAUGGUGUCUGCCCUCGUAAGACGCCGCGUAUGCACCUUCUCCUCAAAAUGGAGGAGGGCGGCCAUAAUCAAAUGAUGGGGGCCAAAGUAGUAGCCCUCAGAGAUACAGAAUAAUGCCUCUAGAAUGGUCUCUCGCCUCUGCACUCUAUGCUAAAGAGGAAAAAGAUUGGCGCAAAGCACCACAUCAACUAGGAGCAUCCUAGGGGGAAGUUCCUUUCUCAUAAUGAUCCUCUGGGAAGAUGUCCCUCGAGAUAGGAUACGAACCAUGUCCCACUCAGAAAGUGGGGCCCAACGUCUAAAUGCAGCGGGAUCUGCUGGUGCAUAAGGGAUAUGGAAAGCCUUGGCAAUCUGUCUAGCCCCCAAAAUACCCUGGCGUCCAUCAAUGGUAAAAAUGAUCGAGGCUGGUACCGAGACGCCACGAGUAGUCAUAGACUGGUAAAAGUCUAAAGCUACUCGAGGAUAAAAGAACUGGGGCGAAGUCAUAAAGGGUACAAGAUGGUACCUCUCAAGUAGGCGGUAUGAAUCCUGCAACUCAGGCUGCUGUCGCAAAAUAGAGUGAUCAAAAUAUGCCUCGACAUGAAAUGCUCUCGAUCGGCAAUCGGAGUUGCCCUCAAUGGGUGAGCUGGCUAUAGGGCGCCUGGUGGGAGGAGGCUGAGACUGUGAAUCCCGAGGUGCUCUGGAGGACUCUCCUGGCUCUGAAGUCUUGGCCUUCUUUGUAGGAGGACUCCUAGGUGGAAUCUGAGUAGGGGCCACAGGCGUGGCAGCUGCUCUCCUCGUAUGGUAUCUACGCUGAGGGGUAGAAUCAGAUACAUGUGGGGGUGCAUCUAGUGGGGUCCGCAUAGGGGCAGCUCUCCAACUGCUCUAGGGAGCUGAGGCAUAGCCUCCUCGGGUCUUAGGCAUGAGGAAGCGACGAAAUGAGGCUAAGAGGCUUGGGAUUGGGGAGGGUAGGGAUGGAGAAGCUCAAAAAUUCGCACAAGGGAGGGUGUUGUGCGAAAAUUUCACACAAGGGGAUGUGUUGUGCGAAAAUUUCGCACAAGGCACUAUUCACCCGCCCAAAUGCAAAAUUGUGGUGCUUUCAAAUGGGAAAAAUUCUUGGUUUUUAAGGGUGGGAAAUGCUGGCUAAGGUAGGAAAGGAGUUUUUCAUGGCGGCUAAGCUUAGAAAUGGGAGCUUUACAAGAAGAGAAUGAGAGAUUUUGAAGCUCCCAUAGCCCGCGGCAAUGGGUUUAUUAUGAAGAAACCGUGGCUUUGAUGGUUAUGCUUGAGGUUUUGAUUUGGAAAAAUCAAGGUUGGGUUUGGUUUAGGGAUGAAUUUGGAGUGUUGAGUGAAGAAAUGAAGGGUUUUUUAUGGUGGAAGGAGGAGAAUGAGCUGAAAAUGGAAGGUGCGGACUGUUGUGAAUAGUGAUGGUCGCGGCUAUGGAAUGAAACUAUGGAGAUGGGCUGCCAUGGUGGGGUUCAUGAUGGGGGAUGAUGAAGGAGAGGACGUUGUGGAUGGAAAAGGGGGAUCGGAAGAGAGGUGUUGAGAAAAUUGAAGAAGAAGAAGCUUAGAAUUGAAGAGGAGAAAAUGGUUCUUAAAGAGAAAGUGCGAAUUUCGCACAAGGUGAUGGGUAGUGCGAAAAUUUCGCAUUCCUGUGGUUUUCCAAGACAGAGAGCAUGGUUUUGAAAAUUGGUCACAAAAGCGAAUUCGCACAAGGUUCGCACAAGGUUCGCAUUCCUGUGAUUUUCGCAUUGAGAUUUUAGGAAGGACCAAGAGCAUGCUUUUGAAAAUUUGUCACAAAAGAGAAUUCGCACAAGGGGAUGUGUUGUGCGAAAAUUUCGCACAAGGGGAAUGGGUGGUGCGAAUUUUGCUGUGUCUUGGCUUUUCUCCCCUGUUUUCCCUUGUUUUCAUUCUUCAAGCUUUCCUACCUACAUGUUAACACAAAAACCAAUUCAAACCACAUUAGAAUGAACUCAAGGGCAAAAAUAAAAAUCAAAACAUGCAUAUACACAAGAAAAGAAAAAGAAAAACUAGAUUAAACUAAAAAUUAAUGCAAAAGGGAACAAAAAGAGGAUGAACUUUUUAGUCUUUGAAGAGACUAAGUUCAACCAUGAACUGAGUGUUUUCAUGUUGGAGGUGGAUCAAGGAGGAUGAAUUCCUCCUUGUCUCGGGAAAAUGAUUCCAUAUAGGGCUUGAGAUGAUGCCCAUUCACUUUGAAAGUUCGAGUGCUUUUGAAGUUGAGUAGUUCCACUACUCCAUUUGAUUGCACAUCAUGAAUUAUGAAAGGACCCGUCCACCUUGAUUUCAAUUUUCCCGGAAAAAGAUGAAGCUUUGAGUCAUAAAGCAAGACUCUUUGUCCCUUGGUAAAAUUCUUCUGAUUUACCAACUGGUCAUGCCAUUUCUUCAACCUCUCUUUUGCAAUUUUUGAAUUGAGGUAAGCAUCAUUCCUCAUUUCCUCCAAUUCAUUCAAAUCCAAACAUCUCUUUAACUCGGCUCUUGUCAAAUCCAUGUUGAGCUUCUUGAUUGCCCACCAUGCUUUAUAUUCAACCUCUACUGGAAGAUGGCAUGCUUUGCCAUAAACAAGGCGAUAAGGGGACAUUCCAAGAAUGGUCUUAUAAGUAGUCCUAUAAGCCCAUAAUGAAUCCAGGAGCUUAAUAGACCAAUCCUUCCUAUUCACAUUCACCACCUUCAUCGGUAUGUUCUUGAUUUCUCGGUUGGCUAACUCAACUUGGCCACUUGUUUGAGGGUGAUAAGGUGUAGCUACCUUGUGCUUGACCCAUAUUUGGCUAGAAGAGUCUCAAAAGGUUUAUUGCAAAAGUGGGUUCCUCCAUCACUUAUAAUGGCUUUAGGCACUCCAAAUCUUGCAAAGAUGUUCUCCUUGAGGAAUUUAAGAACCACCUUAUGAUCAUUGCUCCUACAUGGGAUUGCUUCUACCCACUUAGAGACAUAAUCCACUCCCACCAAAAUGUAGGAGUGUCCAAACGACAUUGGAAAUGGUCCCAUGAAGUCUAUCCCCCAAACAUCAAAGACAUCCACUAUCAAGAUGGGGUUCAAGGGCAUCAUAUUUCGGCGUGUUAGCUUCCCAAGCCUUUGACACUGGUCACAUCCCUUGCACAUAGUGUGGGCGUCCUUGAAAAGAAAGGGCCACCAAAAACCUGAUUGGAUCACUUUCAUAGCUGUUUUCUGGGAAGCAAAAUGACCUCCACAUGCACUAUCAUGACAAUGGGAUAGAAUUCCUGAUUGCUCUUGUUCAGGAACACAUUUCCUUAUGAUUUGAUCCGCACAAUAUUUGAAGAGAAAAGGCUCCUCCCAAUAAUAGGCAUGGAUCUUAGCAAAGAAAUGCCUCUUGUCUUGGGCACUCCACUCACUUGGAACUUCUCCAGUAACCAAGUAAUUUGCAAUGUGAGAAUACCAUGGAGCUACCUCUAUUGACAUGAGAGACUCCUCAGGGAAGUCAUCAUUGAUAAGUAAACCAUGUGAGUCAUGUGCUAUCACAAGUCUUGACAAGUGGUCAGCUACCACAUUUUCUACUCCCUUUUUAUCUCGGAUUUGGAGAUUGAAUUCUUUGAGCAAAAGGAUCCAUCUUAUCAAUCUUGCCUUGGCAUCUGGCUUGGUUAGCAAGUACUUCAAAGCGGAAUGGUCAGUGAACACCACUAUAGAGGACCCUACCAAAUAGGCACGAAACUUAUCUAAGGCAAAAACUAUUGCCAGCAACUCCUUUUCAGUAGUUGUGUAGUUCCUUUGAGCCUCAUUCAAAGUUUUGCUUGCAUAAUAAAUCACAUAGGGCUUUCCAUCUUCUCUUUGCCCCAAAACAGCCCCCAUAGCAAGAUCACUUGCAUUACACAUUACCUCAAAAGGUAAUUUCCAAUUUGGGGCUCUCACUAUUGGUGCAGUUGUGAGGAAUUGCUUUAGUUCCUCAAAACUCUUCUGACAUUUCUCAUCCCACACAAACUUGGCAUCCUUUACCAAAAGUUCACAAAGAGAUUUUGAGAUUUUUGAGAAAUCCUUAAUGAACCUCCUAUAGAACCUGGCAUGUCCUAGGAAUUGCCUAAUUCCUUUAACAUUUGUGGGAGGUGGCAACUUAACAAUUAGCUCCACCUUUGCCUUAUCUACCUCAAUGCCAUUCUUGGAGAUUAUAUGUCCUAAGACAAUUCCUUGUUGUACCAUAAAAUGACACUUCUCCCAAUUUAGCACUAGGUCUUUCUCAAUACAUCUUUGGAGAACAACUUCUAAAUGCAACAAACACUCCUCAUAAGAACCUCCAUAUACAGUGAUGUCAUCCAUGAAAACUUCCAUGAUGCGCUCCACCAUAUCACUGAAGAUGCUUAGCAUACAUCUUUGGAAAGUUGCAGGAGCAUUACAUAGACCAAAGGGCAUUCUCCUAUACGCAAAAGUACCAAAGAGGCAAGUGAAGGUUGUAUUUUCUUGAUCUUCCAAAUCAAUUUCUAUUUGGAAGUACCCCGAGUAACCAUCCAGAAAACAGUAGAAAGGAUGUCCUGAGACUCUCUCAAGGACUUGGUCCAUGAAAGGCAAUGAGAAAUGGUCCUUCCUAGUCACUGAAUUGAACUUCCUGUAGUCUAUACACACCCUCCAUCCUGAGGUAGGACGUGUAGAGACUUCCUCCCUUUUCUCAUUCUAGAUCACAGUAAUUCCAGAUUUCUUUGGGACUACUUGGGUUGGGCUCACCCACAAGCUAUCUGAAAUGGGAUAUAUGAUCCCUGCUUGAAGUAGUUUCAGAACUUCACCCCUUACCACCUCUUGCAUGUGAGGAUUCAACCUCCUCUGGGGCUGCCUUACUGGUUUUGCAUCAUCCUCCAUGUAGAUAUGGUGGGUGCAUACCAAAGGGCUAAUCCCUUUUAGAUCAGAAAUUUGCCAUCCAAUGGCUUUCUUGCAUUUUCUGAGGACUCCCAAAAGACUAUCCUCUUGAUCACUUGUGAGAUCUGAAGAAACCACCAUUGGACAUUUCUCAUCUUCCUCCAAAUAUGCAUACUUCAAAUCAAGAGGAAGCGACUUCAAAACAAGCUUUGGAGGGUCCUCCAUAGCUGCUCCUUGUGAGUCCUCCUUAUUGAACAGUGGUAAGAUCUCUUCCCGUCUCCUCCAAGGAGACAUGAUGGCUAGCACAUCAGAGGGUUCAGGUAACCCGUCUUCAAGCACUUCAAGGCUUUCAUUCAAGCUCUCUUCUAAAUUCUUGUCACAAUGCUCUUCAACCAAGGUGUUGAUCAAGCACACCUCCUCCAAUCCUUCCUCCUCUUCUGGGUGAAGAUGCCUCUUGCAUAGGUGGAAUAUGUUUAAUUCCAAUGUCAUAUUUCCAAAUGUGAGCUGCAUCACCCCAUUCCUACAAUUGAUGAUGGCAUUGGAGGUAGCUAGGAAAGGUCUCCCAAGGAUGAUUGGCACAUAGUUUGCUUCUUUAACAGUGGGAUCAGUAUCAAGCACCACAAAAUCCACAGGAUAGUAGAAUUUGUCCACUUGAACUAGAACAUCCUCUAUCACCCCCCUUGGGAUUUUUACCGACCUAUCAGCUAAGGAGAGAGUGAUGGUUGUGGGCUUCAAUCCUCCAAGUCCCAGUUGCUUAUACACAGAGUAUGGGAGCAAAUUCACACUUGCCCCUAAGUCUAGUAAAGCCUUUUCCACAUGUGUCCCUCCAAUGUUGACUGAAAUGGUGGGACAUCCCGAAUCUUUAUACUUAACUGGAGACUUACUCUGAAUGAUAGCACUUACUUGCUCAGUGAGGAAUGCCUUCUUUGUCACAUGUAACCCUCUCUUGACCGUGCACAAGUCCUUUAAAAAUUUUGCAUAUGUGGGGACUUGCUUGAUCAUAUCAAGUAAGGGUAUAUUCACCUUCACUUGUCUCAAAACUUUAAGAAUUUCUGAUGAAUUCUUGAUUUCCUUCUUUCCAUGUAAUGCUUGAGGAAAAGGGGGAGGCAUAUGUUUCUUCAUCAUAUCCUCUUUAAUCACUAUCCUUGGCUCUUCUUCAAUGCUUGAUUUGGAUGCACAUUUCUUCCCACUCUCCUCUUCUUGGAUAUUGCUCUCUUUAACCAAGGUUCUCUUUGACAUGAGUUCUUCAUCUUGUCUCACCUUAGGCAAGGGUUGAUCAACCUUCUUCCCACUCCUCAAGGUGAUCACAGCUUUGACCUCCCUCAACUUUGAAGAAUCCCCAUCUUGGGUUUCAACUUCAUGAACACCCUUGGGAUUUUGACUUGGUUGAGAGGGAAACUUUCCUUUCUCAUUCACUGUGUUGAGGUUAGUAAGCCUAGAGAUGGAGUAUUGAAUAUUAUCUAUCUUCUGAGAUAGAUCAUUUUGCAUCCCCUCCAUUCUCUUAAUUUGAGAACUCUCAACAUUUUCAAUCUUUUGGUGCAAUUGGGAGUUGAUUGCCUUUUGUUCACCCACAAAGUCACCCAUGACUUUACUUAGGUUCACAAUGGCUUACUCCACUGAAGAGGUUUGUUGAGGUGCUUGGGUUUGGGCUUGUGGUUGGUAUGGAGGUGGCCUCGGUUUCCAAGAAAAAUUUGGAUGGUUUCUCCAGCUUGAAUUAUAGGUGUUUCCAUAAGGUGCACUGUUGUUGGGCCUAAAUUGCCCCACAACAUUGGCUUGAUCACCUAACAUCUCCCUCACAGCUGACAUGGUUGGGCACUCAUCCACCACAUGAUCACAUGAUUAGCAAAUGGUGCAUGGCAUGACAUGGGCUUGUGUCUCGGAAAUGGCUUAGACUUCAUGCAUCUUUUUCAACUCAAGUUCUUCCAACUUCCUUGCCAUUGUUGCCACCUUAGCUUUCAUGUCCAUGUCUUCACUUAACAUGUACAUUCCACUCUUUGGAUUUACAGGAGCUUUCAUCCUUCCCAUUUCUCUUGAGUUGGGCUCAUCCCAUCCUCUUGAUACCUCAGACACAUAACUUAAAAAGUCCAUGGCUUCUUCUGGAUUCUUACUCAUAAAAUCUCCCCCACACAUGGUUUCAAGAAUUUGCUUCAUGGAGGAAGACAUCCCAUCAUAAAAAUAGCUCACCAAGAGCCAUGUAUCAAAGCCAUGAUGAGGACAAGCAUUGAUGGCCUCCAUAUACCUUUCCCAACAUUCAUAGAACUUCUCAUUUUCUUUUGCAGAAAAGUUUGAGAUUUGUCUUUUCAACCCAUUGGUCCUAUGGGUGGGGAAAAUUUUCUUCAAAAAUUCGGCCUGAAGAUCAACCCAAUUCCUUAUGCUCCUUGGCCUUAAAGAAUUAAGCCAUAUUUUUGCCUUGUCCUUCAAAGUAAAAGGGAAUAGCUUGAGUCUUAUCAAGUCUAUUGAAGCUCCUCCCUCUCUAAAAGUAUUGCACACCUCCUCAAACUCCUUGAUAUGGGCAUAUGGGUUCUCACUCUCCAUUCCAUGGAAAUUUGGUAGGAGGGGCACAAUAUGGGGCCUUAAAAUCAACUACUCAAGAGGAGGUACGAUGCAUGAGGGUGCACUCAUCCUUGGUGGGUGCAUUCUAUCCCUCAUGGAUAGAUAUGCAUUUGGAUUACACCCUUGACCGUGUUGAGAAUUCUGAUCCUCUUGUGGAGGGUCCAUGAUGUUUACACAGAUAUCCAACUCUGUGUCUUGAGGAUUCUCAAUCCUUACUAGUCUUCCCUCUUGGUCCCGAAUCCAAUAGGGUAUGCACAAGUUACCACUUACCUGAAACAAAACAAAAACAACAAAAACAAAAGAAAGCUAGAAGAAAGUUAAGGUUAGAAAGAAAAUGAAAAUAAACUUAACAAAAGGAAUUCUACAAUUAGAAGAAAUGAAAUGAAGUUAGUGAAAAAGGAAAUCACCAAACUUGUGAUGGAAAUCACAAGUAGCCUCUAAAAAGUUGUAUCACUGUAUUGUGGCACCAUCCCCGGCAACGGCGCCAUUUUGAUUCCGUGAAAUUCCAGUCGGGUCUUUUAAUAAAAAACAUUUAUAAAACCUAUGACCUCAUACUAGCGUAGCAAAGCUACUAUAGCAUAGUGGCUCUAGGGUCGAACUCUGGGAUGAGUUUUCAUUCUACCAGUGAUAUACUCAAGAUUAGAAAUUGAGUCUGAUGAGUUCCUUUGUCAAACACUUAAAGUUUAAAAGAAAAUAAAAUUUGUUUUGAAAGUGGUGUUUGAAACUAAACUAACAUAAAACUAGGUAAAAAUAUGAAAGAAAGAAAGUCUCCCGGAGCUAAGGGUUGCUAGGAUCAAUUUUAGAAUGCAAAGUGGAAAUUCCGGAUUUCUCAUCUCGUAUUGAGGACAACAACAUAAAGGAUGGUUGUUUCCCGAACCGGUAUAGGUUUAACAAUGAAGGUUUAAUCCAUAAAAAAUCAAUAGAAAUGGUAGUCAGGUUCCAUUAAUGUCUUUAGACACUAUGGGUCUUCACCUUGAGCCACUUUCCAAUGGCUCGUACAUGAUAACUAAUGGUCUGAUGUGGAUCUAGCAAUAAGCAUCCACAGAGACCUAAAGCUUACCAUGUAUUGGCCAUUCAAAGUGAUUCUAAGGGAUUUAAAGCAAAACUUUAGAUUUAAAAGCCAUUUAUGAACUCCAGCUACCUGUAUUUAAUGCACGAGAGUUUUCCACUUUAGCAUUUGGACUUUUCACCUAGCUUCCUUCACUCCAAGAAACCAAAGGUUUAGCCUCUCAUUCUCUAGGAAAACAUCCUCAGAGGUUGUUUGGCUUUCAAGAAAAAGAAAAUAGUAGAGAGAAAAGGAAAGCAAAGUGAGCCCUGUAUUUUACUAAGUGUAAAAUAUACAAUGUGUUCGUCGUUUCUUACGAGAGAUGAUUUCCACCCCUUAUAUAGUCUUUACAAAAGCAAAGCCUGUGAUUGGCUAAUUACAGGGAUAAGAAAGGAAUUUACAUCAAAAAAUACAAAAGAAAAGAUCUAAAGUGGAGUCUUCAGAAUAGAGGAGAUUUCGCACCACGCAUGGGCUGGUGCGAAUUUCGCACAAGGAGAAGGUGUUGUGCGAAUUUCGCACAACCUGAAGGUGUUGUGCGAAUUUCGCACAAGCUUGGAGCAGUUGUCUUCGGAAGGCCAUAUCUUCCUCAUUUCAGCUCCAAAUCGUACAUGGUUUGAAGCGUUGGAUUCUUGACUUCCUGAGCUUUGAAAUGGUAUAUAGCAUGUAGAAAAUGGACUUCGGAAAGUGCUCCAAAAGUGCGAAGGAAGACUGCAGCUGCUGUCCUCUAUUUUCUUCACUUUGUUUGUUUUUCCUCUUUGCUUCUCUCCUUUACUUGGCUUGUCUUAAUGAUCCAAAAAGCUGUCAAAACACUAAAACUAGCCACAAAUAUGAUUAGAAGUCAUUGCUAGGUCCUUAACAUGCCAAUUGGAAUAAAGAUGGAGAAUUACUACACAAAAGUGCUUAAAACAUAAUGAAUUAAAAGUGCAAAAUAGCACUUUUUGGGUAGUAAUCAACCACUCUUGACUUUUGUAAUAGGCAUAAGCCUCAUUCCCCUCGAUGUUUCUUCCACUAGUUUCUUAUUUAGUGGUUUGAUCAAAAGAUCGACCAAGUUCAACUCCGAUCUCACAAAUUCUAAGGAUAUAACCCUUAUUUCAAGCAGUUGUCGCACAAUAUUGUGCCUUAGGCACAUAUACAUGUUCUUCCCAUUAAAUAUUUUACUCUUAGCCUUAGUAAUUGCAGCUUGGAUAUCACAAUGCAUAGACAUAAACGAGGUUGGUCUCGUCCAUAAAGGGAUAUUUUCUAAGAGGUUUCUAAGCAACUUAGCCUCAGAACUUGCCUUUUCUAAGGCAAUAAACUUAGCCUCCAUAGUAGACCGAGUAAUGCAAGUUUUCUUGGCAGACUUCCAAGAAACUGCGCUUUCACCAAGGGUGAAAACAUAUCCACUAGUGGAUUUAAUCUCAUCUGAAUCCGAGAUCAUUUGCAUCACUAAAUCCUUUAAGGACACUUGGAAAUUCACUAUAGCACAAACCAUAGUUAAUGGUGCCUCUCAAAUACUUAAGGACUCUAUGAACAACAGUCCAAUGGUCCUGAUUAGGACUUUGGGUGUACCGACUCAAUCUACCUACUGCAUAAGUAAUGUCAAGUCUAAUACAUUUCAUUAAGUACAUUAGGCUCCUUAUGAUUUGAGCAUACUCUAUUUAGGCAACACUGUGUUUUUUAUUUUUCUUCAGCUGUGAGUUGGGAUCAUAACGAGUUGACACUGGUUUACAAUCAAAGUGUUCAAGCUUUCUUAGGAUCUUCUCAACAUAGUGCUCUUGAGAAAGUUUAAGCUCAUUAGGUGUUCUAGUUAUUUUAAUUCCUAGAAUCGCCUCUGCCUCUCCUAGGUCUUUCAUAUCAAACUUAGAACCUAGGAAUUUCUUGAUCUCACACACAACAUCUAAGGUAGUUCCAAAGAUCAUCAUGUCAUCAACAUAAAGGCAGAUGAGGACACAUGUGUUAUCCUCAUACUUGCUGUAGAUACACUUAUCAACAUCAUUAAUGGAAUAUCAAUUAGUUACUAAUGCAUGAUCAAACUUAUUGUACCACCAUUUGGGAGCUUGUUUUAACCCAUAUAGUGAUUUAACUAGCUUACACACCUUUUUUUCCUUCUCUAGAACUACACAACCCUCAAGUUAUUCCAUAUAAAUUUCCUCUUCCAAAUCCCCAUUCAAGAAUGUAGUCUUGACAUCCAUUUGGUGUAUCACUAGAUUAUGAAUGGAAUCUAGAGCAAUCAAUACUCUAAUUGAUGCUAUUCUAGUCACAGGGGCAAAGGUGUCAAAGUAAUCUACAUCAUUCCUUUGUUUAAAGCCUUUAGCAACUAAACGAGCUUUAUACUUCUCUAUGGACCCAUCUUGUUUUAACUUUCUUUUAAAGAUCCACUUACAACUAAUAGUCUUUGCACUAGGAGGUAAAUCUAUUAACUCUCAUGUAUCGUUAUACAUGAUUGAUUCGAUUUCACUGUUAAUGGUCUCCUUCUAGAAUGGUUCAUCAAUAGAAGUUAUAGCUUCUUUCUAGGAUCUAGGGUCCUCAUCUAUUAGGAAGGUGUAGAAACCAUCUUCAAGGUUUGUUUCUUUCCUAUAUCUUUAACUCCUUCUAGGUUCAAAUUCAGAAGGUUCAAUAGACUCAUCUCUACUUGUUUUUUGAAUUUGUUGUUCACCAUUUAGUUUCAUAGGAAAGAUUGUUAGAAAAAUUAGGCUAAUCCAACCUAUAGUAAUCACCCUAAAGGGGGGGUGAAUAGGGUGAUGGUUUUUUUUUUUUCAAAUUUAAACUAUGUGAAUGUAAGAGACAAUUAUAUGCAAGUAUAUAAUAAGCAAUGUAAAGAUAGUUGCAUAUAAAUUAAAAGAGUAGGGAAGAGAGAAUGCAAACACAAGAUUUUAUAAUGGUUCAACACGACCCGACCUACAUCCACUCUCCUCUAACUUCAAUCCCAAGCUUUAGGUUCUACUAAUUCAAGGCUUCUAAACCAAGCCUUCAAGCAAUACAAUUGGAUUGUUGUUCCAAUUCACCCUCUUGGACUUUUGGCUCCAAGCACCCUUUACACUUCUCAAGAGAUAUCCCACUCUUAAACAACCCCUCAAGUGAUACCCCACACUUGAGAAACUUCUUCUCAAAGAUUUACAAAUAAAUGAUCUCACAAAAUCCUAGUACAAAAACUUUAAGCUCAAAUGAUACAAGAAAACUAGGAUUGAAUGGUGUACUAAAGAUAUGUAAGUUUUUGAACAAUGGUGCACUAAAAAACACUCUUUCAAAGCUCAAAUAUAUUCAAGAAAGGUUUGGGAAGGUUAAUCUUUUUGAAGUAAUGAAGAUUGGAGCAUUUUUAUAGAAGAAAAAAGUUAAACUAGUCGUUGGGGCUUCAACCGAUCGAGCUGGGGGACAACCGGUUAACUAGCCGUUAGCAUUUAAUGCUUGGCAGGUAACCGUUGGACCUCGACCAAACCUCAACCAGUUGAACAACCGUUCUGGAAGAAAGAGAAAGUUUUUUGCACCCUCGACUGAUUGAGUUGGGGGGUCGACCGGUACUGUUCAUACCCUUGACCGGUUGAGUUGGGGGUCGACCAAUUACUGUUCAUACCCUUGACCGAUUAAGCUGGGGGUUGACCCGGACCUCAUUCGAUUCAACCAAUUGAGCCGUUUUUGGCUCAAAAAACUAGUUUUUUUUUUUUUUUUUAACUUAAAGCCUUUUAAACAAGUUGGAAAGACAUUUGAUACAAGGUUUUAGUUGAAAACAUGAAAUCAUCCAAUUUUUAAAAUAUUUAAAACAAAAUAACUCUUGGAUGAUUUUGGUGCAUAAGUAAAGAAUGUAAUGCAUGAAAAUCCUAGUGCACCAACAACCUUACAAAGAGAUUUUUUGAAGCUUGGGUCUUCAAAAACACUUAUCUUUGAGGUGAUCUUCUUCUUCAUGAUUUCUCCUUGGCUUGAUUUUUCUUUAUGAUUGCCACUUUGGAAAUCGUCUUGCCUAAUCACACUUGAAAUAUAAUCAUUAGUUCUAAACCUUGUUUUGUUAUCAUCAAAACUGAGAUUAACCAAACCUUGGUUUCACAAAGAUGUUUUCAAAGAAAUCUACAUUCUUUGUUUCUAUUAUGGUAUUGACAUCUACAAGACUGUUUUCUGACUUAAUAAUAAGAACCCUAUAUGCCGCACUAUUCUCAACAUAGCCAAUGAACAUUGCAUCAAAGGUUUUAGGACCUAAUUUUCAUUUUUUAGGUUCAAGGAAAAGAACUUUGGCUAAACACCCCCACACUUUCAGGUAUGUUAUAUUAGGUGCAUAACCCUUCCACAACUCAUAAGGAGUUUUACUAAUUUUCUUGUAAGGUAUUCUUUUUUGAAUUUGACAAGCGGAGAGGAUAGCUUCCUCCCAUAAGUUCAAGGGUGCUCCUGAACUUACCAACAUUGCAUUCAUUAUUUCUUUUAAGGUCCUAUUUUUCCUUUCUGCUACUCCAUUAGACUCAAGAAAAUAAGGAGUAGUUUCAUAAUUGAUCUCAUGAUCUUCACUAAAAGAAUUAAAGGUGUUGGACUCAUACUCUUCUCCCUUAUCUAUUCUAAGCUUUUUAAUUUUCUUACUUAGUUGAUUUUCCACUUCAUUUUUGUACUUGAUGAAAGCAUCUCUUGCUUCAUCUUUGUUUCUCAAAAUAUAUACCCUUGUAUACCUUGAGUAGUCAUCUAUGAAAGUUAUGUAGAAUCGUUUACCACCUCUAAUCAUUGUAUUUUUUAGGUUUCCUAAGUCACUGUGUAUUAAACUUAGUAGAUUUGAUUCUCUUUCAACUAUUUUGCAAGAUUUCUUUGUGGUUUUAGAUUUUACACAAGAUUCACAUUUUCCAUGGUUUUCUAAGGACAAUUUAGGGAUUAAACUCAAUUCAACCAUUUUCUUCAUAUAUGAAAAGUUCACAUGUCUUAGUCUACCAUGUCAAAUAUCACAAGAAUCAACUAUGUAAGUAGAAGAAGAAGAUGCAUAAGUAUUGAUAAUAUCAUAAACAUUUAACAUAAAUAAACCUUGAUUACAAUAGCCCUUUCCCACAAAUGCAUCAUUCUUUGUUAAAACUAUUUGAUUAGAGUCAAACAAGAUCUUCACUCCUGCUUUCCCAAGUAGAGAUACUAACACCAAGUUCCAACAGAUAUCUGGCACAUGAAGAACAUCACUGAGGGCAAGCACUUUUUCAUAGGUUAGCUUGAUGAGAACUUUCCCUUUGCCAAUCAUUGGAGUAGAUCUAGAAUCACCCAAGAACACUUGUUCAUCUCUUUCCUUUAUAGUGGUAUAGGAAGUAGAUGCACUUCUAUUCCCACAGAUGUGUCUGGUAGCCCCAAAGUCUACCACCUAGUCCUUUAUAUUGGUGACCAUGCUCACCUCAGAGGAUAUUACUAUUGUGAUCACCUUUGUCUCUGCCAAAUUUGCCUUUGAAUUGGACUUCUCAUUUCUCUUCCUAUGAUGACAUUGAGCUACAUGGUGUCCAAACUUGCCAUAGACAAAGCAAUUACCCCAUUUUUUAAUAGUUGAGUUCUGGACCUUGUUUGAUGCAAUGGGCUUGGUCCCAGAGUUUUAUUUUCUAGACCUAUUAUUUUUUGGUUUAGGUUUUUCUUCUACUACAUUAGCCUUAGAAGACGAUUCCUUAGCUUUCUCAACAUUGUCCCUAUUUCGAUUUUGUUCCUCAAUCCUAAUAUAGAUUAUGAGAUCUUUUAGGGACAUUUGUUUCUUUUUAUAUUUCAUGUUAUUUUAGUAGUAUUUCCAAGACUUUGGAAGAGUCUCUACUAAAUAACCAGCCACAAAAGUUCGGGUAAUUUAAUGUCUUAAAUAGCUAAGUCAUUAAUCAUUAAGUGGUACUCAUGGAUUUGAGAUGAUACAUCUAUAUCCUCGGUCAUUUGGAAAUUUCUAAAAUUCCCUAUGGCAUAUUUUUUAGUUCCUACAUCUUCCAAGAUAUAUUUUUUAUUCAUUAUAUCCCAAAUUUCUUUUGCAACUCUAAAUUGACAAUAAAUAUAAAAAAGUUCAUUAGAAAUGGUACUCAGAAUAACAUGCCUAACUUGUUUAUUUCCCAUUUCCCAUGUAGGCAACAAAUCAGAAUUAUCUUCUGGUUUUGGGUCAGUCAAAAUGUAUCCCAAGUUCACUACAUCAAUUGCAGAGAAAAACCUUUCCUGCCAUCUUUUGAAGAAUGUCCCAUUAAAGGGAUCAAUCUUAAAGGUGUCAGGACGGGUGUGAACUAAGGAAGCUUCCAUCUGGGAUCUAUUUCAAGAUUGUUGUUUUUAAGGGUAUGGAAACAAAGGACUAGCCCAAAACAGACAAACAAAGAACAUAAUAAAUAACAAGGAAACUUAUCGGCUAAGGCAUGACAAACACUAUCCUUGAAAUAGAUCCACCUUCUUCAAAGACGAACUCGGUGCACUAAGGUACCAGUGGUCUACCUCCAAGAUUAAAAAGCCAGAGAAUCUCACCUUGGGUGCACUAUGUAAACAAGAUGUGUAUAGCUCAGGUUCUGAAAUAUUCCUCCAGAUAGAUGUAUGAAAGGGUCUCUGAAAAACUCUCUAAAAGAUUGGUAUAUAGAGAGUGAAAGGUGACCUGCUUUUAUAGGCCACUAACACAGUCCCAUUGGGACUCUACUUGUAAUCAGAACAGGAUUCUACUUGUAAGUGGAACGGGACUCUACUAGAACAAUCCCAAUGGGACUCUUCCCAAAGAUAAAAGACUAAGUCAAAGGAAAUAAAAAUUAAAAUUAAAAAAAAUAUAUUAUUUUCAAUUUUGUAAAAAAAUUGUUGUGUUCUCUAAAACACUUUUUCACAUUGACACUCUUCCUACAAAUAGAUGGUAUGCUCCCCUAUGAAUGCGUGCUGACCUUUCCAACUGAUCUUCCUUCCAAACUUUUGGUGCACGGUAUGCUUUUUAAGCAUACAGUCAUGGUUUCCUAAAAAAAAUUGAUGGAGCUUCCUUUUACGUGAAAGUGUGGCCCUUAAGGUAAGUCUUGGCAGUCCGGGUUUCCUUUUAAUAUGUGAGAAUUUGUGUUUUUCUCUUUUGCAAUGCCUUCGAUCCUUUCCAAAUUCUGGUGGUGCCUCUUCCCAAAAAAAUUCAGUUGUGGAUAUCUCCAUAUAUGCAUCCACACUUUCCAUGAAUUCUCCAUUACAUAGCCAAAGAUAAAAUUAAAAUUCAUGCAAUGCAAUUAUAUUUAAAAAAAAAAAAAUAGAAAUCAUGAAAUUUAAAAAGAAAAUAACAAGAUCAAUCACAUGCAUAUAUAAGAAAAUCAAAAUAUUAAUUCAUGCAAAUUAAAAAAAAUUAAAAUCAUCAAUCUCAUGCAAUUUUCUAAAAUAAAUAAAUAAAUAAAUAAAAUAUAAUAUAAAUAUAAAUAUAAAUAUAAACAUUACAUAUACAAAUAAAUAAACAAUUGCAAUAGGUAAUAAUCAAAAUAUUAAAUUCAUACAACCAAAAAUUGGUAUUCUCAUGCAAUCAAAAAUUGAAGUCAAAUGCUCACCUAAUACUAAAAGCAUGAAAUUUAAUUCAAGAUCAAACUAAGUAACCAUGCCCAAAAAAGCACCUAAGUGAAACUAUCCUAAAAAAAAAAUUUUUAAACAUCUAAGUAACUUAUGCUUAGAACUAAACUAAAGAGGUUGUCAAAUUCAUGGUAAAGGUUUAAAUAAAUUCCUCAACAAAGAAUCCCUAAAAGUGUCAAUGGGCCACCAAGGGAUGACUACAAAUCAAGAGAAAAGUACAUGAAACACCUAGAACUACAUCUGUUAAGAAGACAAAAAGGAGGGUUUACACUAGUCAUUAAGGCAUUAAAUGCAUAACAAUUGACCGUUGGCCUUUUUUAGGUUCCAUUAGGUCUCGACUGGACCUCAAUCGAGAAGGGUCAAGCCUUGACCAAGAAUGCAAACUCAUUGUUUGAUUUUGGACAAAAACGAGAGUAAUUUUGUAUCCUCGAAUGAGAAUGCAAACUCACUGCUUGAUUUUGAACAAAAACAAGAGUAAUUUUGUAUCCUCGAUUAAGAAGAGGUAACCGAUUUAGUCAAUUCUCAACUAGUUGAGCUGGUUCAAUUCGUCCUCAAUUGAUUGGACUAAAAACAGGCCUAAACCUCUUUUUUCUCUUUUUGAAACCAUUUAAUACUUAGACAACAUCUUUAAGUACCUUUGUGGGUUAAUUUAUGAUAGUUUUGCCUAAGUUUUGUGAAAAUAUACUCAAGUUUAGAUAAGAUGUGAUCUUUAAAGCUUAAUGCUUAAGAAAACCAAGAACACAAAAGAUGCAUAAUAAAGUAAAAAUCUUAGGUACACCCAAAUAUUCAUCUCACAAUGAGUUCCUAAGCUUGAAUGGACUUCAUACACCCUUAGCUUUGAUUUUCAUGGAUUCUUUUAUGCCUCAUUUGUCAUUUCUUUCAAUUUUCUCCAUUAAUACCUAAAACUUAACUCGAUGUUCAAUUAUUAGCAUACUAACCAUGAUUUGUUAUCUUCAAAACAUACUUAGGAGAAUCUUUGGGCUAACAAGAACAAAUAAUGGAACAAAUGUAUAAAAAAUAUAAUCAAGUACAAUCAAUGAGAUGAAGGUAUAAAUAAAUAUAAUUAAAGUAUAAAGCAACAACAUGUAAAUGGAUAGGUAACAUCAAGGAUGAAAAUUUCUGAAUAUUUUUCCAAAAUGUCACCAAAAUAUAGGAUAUUGGGAGUGGAUGAUGCCAAAAAUGAAGAAGAUAAGUCAAUAAGGAGAAAAAACGAAAAAAAAAAAAAAGUAUUGAAAUAAUUGAUAAAAUAGUAUAAAUUUGGUGGAAAAGUUAGGUGUGUAGGUUAAAAUUGCUGAUGUUUUGAUGAAAAAUCACCUUGAAAAGAAUUUUUUUACUUAUUUUUUCAUAUUUAUUUUUUAUUUUAAAUUUAUAUUACCCUUUUAUUUUAUACUAUCUUUUUAUUUUAAUUAUUUUCCAUAUUUACAACAUUAAUCUUUUUUUUUUUAAAUUAAUAUCACUUCGCUUUUAAUUUUUUUUGUAAUAUUUAUCCUUUUAAUUUUGUUUGAUUUUUAAUUUUUAAAUUUUAAAAUAUUUAAAAGAUAAAUUUAUUCAAAAGUUAAUAAAAUAUUAAAACAAUUAAUAAAGUUAUUAUAUUUUAUAAAAUAUAAUUUUAAAUUAAAAUUAAUUUGAUAAGAUAAAUUAGUAAUAUAAUUUUUAAUAAUUUCAAUUAUUUAAAUAAAUCAAUGUUAAUACAAGUAUUUUAACCAACAACAUAAAAUUGUCUGUAGACCCCCUCAGAUGGAAGGCAGGUCUUUUGUUUUUUUAUUAUUUAUUAUUAUUUUCUUCUUUUCUUCUUUCCCGCUUCUUCAUCAACCCGAGAAUGGGCUGCAUGGGGCGGCGAGAUGGGACUGGCCGCUUGAAAGGGGGACAACAGAGCAAAAGGUGGUUGGUUACAGGUUGUGGCAGAGAGAUUUUUUUUUUUUUCGUUGGCUUAAGGAGCAAGCCAGAGGGGGGUUACGAAAGAGAGUCUGGCUGGAGUAGCAAAGGAGAGAAGCAGAACAGAGGAACGAGAAGAAAAAAAGAGAAAGAAUGGGAGAAAAUGGAGAAAAAACUUGGAUUAGGUGAUCUGGGAGGGAGACACUUAGAGGGGGGAUACCCAGAAAAUGAGAAGAGAAAAGGGAGAACAUGCAGAAGCAUCAUCUUGAAGGAAGACAACUCAAGUAUUAUUUCUAGAGGCUGUUGAUCCUUUGGCAUUCAUGCCAUUUUUACUGUGCUAUUUGAGUAUUAAGAUAUUCUAUUUUGAUGUCAGAGUUUGCUCACACUCAUGAUGUGUUUGAUUUCUAACUUAUUUUCUAGGCUUGCUUCGAGUUUUUUUUUUUAUAUAUUUUUUUUAUAUUUUUUUAUGAGUUGCUAGCCAUCACGAUUUUUUUUUUUCCCUUUGCAACCUAUCUGAAAUCCAUUUUUAGUCACCUCUAUCUCACCAAACUCACCCCAUCUCACUACCUUCACACCCAUUUACAUACCUAUGCAUACCACCACCCAUAUCUCCAUCUCCCAAUACCCAGGUCACCCACUCCUCUCACCACCCUUCUAACUAUUUAUACCUAUUUCUCACUCUACCCCUCAUCAUUUAUUAUACCCAUCUUCAUGCACACAUCCCCUAUUUUCAUCCUACCGCCUAACCCACUCCUCUUAUUUUAUACCCCCAUGUGCACUUCUAGCUUCACACCCCACUUACCCAUGGCCACGUCCACCACCUUAGUCAUGUCUCCGAAUCUUCUAAGCCCAUUGUCAUCGUGCCCACUACCCGUACCCAAUACCCCUCCCGCUACCUCCUUCAUCUCUUAUAUACCCAUAAUACCCAUCUUACUACUUUCCAACACUCUUCGUCCACCAUUCAUUUCCCGUUCACCUAUCCCGUGUCCUCCCAUGUGCAUGCAAUUCAUGCUCACCAUCUCUCAUUACCCUCCCCAAGCCUUCUCAUGCAAUGUGCAGCCCGCGCAUGCUUGCUCCUUACCUUAGAGCCUUCCAUACUCGGCGGCCUCUGCAUGCCAUGGUGAGGAUAGAUGAUGCAAUCCCCACACAGUUUUCCCAUCGACCUUUCUAUCCCGAGCUCGCACGCACACGGGUUCAGCCGCUAUGGCCGCCAAGAGGCUAAAAGAGUUGCUAGAAACUCACAAGCCUUUAGCGCAUGAAAACUCAAGCAUUACCAACAGAAAUGAAACAAAUGGGCAGAACAAUGAGAGGUCUCUACAGCGCCGGCUGGGUUACAAGCUAGAAGUCAUGGGGAAUAUGCAAAAUAAAAAUGGGUUUGUGGUGAGAGUGUUAGAUAUAUAUGAAUAAAAAAAUGGGAUGGUGGUGUGGGUGUGAUAAUAUUGCAACAUACAUGAAAAUGGGUUCAUUACCACUACUAGAGACGUGUAACUUUCAUGGGGAUCACCAAUUUCUUUUAUUAUUUCUUCACGUUUUGGAUAUCAAAGUAAUUCUCUAAUAUUCCGGUUUUCGAAAUUUAAUUUUCCGACAUUCCAUCCUUAAAAUAAUUUUUUCGAGUUGGUAGUUUUCGAAAUCUAAUUUUCCGACAUUCCAUCAUUAAAAUAAUUUUUUGAGUUCCAGUUUUCGAAAUUUAAUUUUCCUACAUUCCAUCCUCAAAAUAAUUUUUCGGGUUUCCAAUUUUCGAAAUUUAAUUUUCUGAUGUUCCAUCCUUAAUAGGUUUUCGGGUUUCCAGUUUUUGAAAUUUAAUUUUCCGACAUUCCAUCCUUAAAAUAAUUUUUCGGGUUUCCAGUUUUUGAAAUUUCAUUUUCCAACAUUCCAUCCUUAAAAUUAAUUUUUCGGUUUUUCAGUUUUUGAAAUUUAAUUUUCCAACAUUCCAUCCUUAAAAUAAUUUUUCGGGUUUCCAGCUUUCGAAAUUUAAUUUUCCGACAUUCCAUCUCUAAAUAAUUCUUCAAUUUUCCAAUUCCUAAAUUCACUUCCCAAUUUUCACAAUUAUUUGCCUAAUCAUUAUUAUUUCGUUUAUUUAUUUAUUCAUCUAUUCAUUUAUUUAAAAUUUCAUCUCUAAAUAAUUUUUCAAAUUUCCAAUUUCUAAAUUCAAUUUCCAAUUUUCACGAUUAUUUAUCUAAUCAUUAUUAUUUUCGUUAUUACUAUUAUUCCGUUUAUUUAUUUAUUCACCUAUUCAUUUAUUUAAAAUGUCAUCUCUAAAUAAUUCUUCAAUUUUCCAAUUCCUAAAUUCACUUCCCAAUUUUCACAAUUAUUUACCUAAUCAUUAUUAGUUCGUUAUUGUUAUUAUUCCGUUUAUUUAUUUAUUCACUUAUUCAUUUAUUUAAAAUUUCAUCUCUAAAUAAUUUUUCAAAUUUCCAAUUUAUAAAUUUAAUUUCCAAUUUUCACAAUUAUUUAUCUAAUCAUUAUUAUUUUCGUUAUUACUAUUAUUCCGUUUAUUUAUUUAUUCACCUAUUCAUUUAUUUAAAAUUUCAUCUCUAAAUAAUUCUUCAAUUUCCCAAUUCCUAAAUUCACUUCCCAAUUUUCACAAUUAUUUACCUAAUCAUUAUUAUUUCGUUAUUGUUAUUAUUCCGUUUAUUUAUUUAUUCACUUAUUCAUUUAUUUAAAAUUUCAUCUCUAAAUAAUUUUUCAAAUUUCAAAUUUCUAUAUUCAAUUUCCAAUUUUCACAAUUAUUUAUCUAAUCAUUAUUAUUUUUCAUUUUUACUAUUAUUCCGUUUAUUUAUUUAUUCACCUAUUCAUUUAUUUAAAAUUCCAUCUCUAACUAAUUUUUCAAAUUUUCAAUUUCUAAAUUCAAUUUCCAAUUUUCGCAAUUAUUUAUCUAAUCAUUAUCAUUUUUGUUAUUACUAUUAUUCUGUUUAUUUAUUUAUUCAUCUAUUCAUUUAUUUAAAAUUUCAUCUCUAAAUAAUUCUUCAAUUUUCCAAUUCCUAAAUUUACUUCCCAAUUUUCACAAUGAUUUACCUAAUCAUUAUUAUUUUCGUUAUUAUUAUUAUUCCAUUCAUUUAUUUAUUCACCUAUUCAUUUAUUUAAAAUUCCAUCUCUAAAUAAUUUUUCAAAUUUCCAAUCUCUAAAUUCAAUUUCCAAUUUCCAAAAUUCUCAUCUUCGUAAUUAUUUAUCCAAUCAUUAUUAUUUUCGUUAUUCUAUUCAUUUAUUUAUUCACUUGUUCAUUUAUUUAAAAUUGCAUCCCUAAAUAAUUCUUUAAAUUUCCAAUCCCUAAGUUCAAUUUCCAAUUUCCGAAAUCCUAACUUCCGCAAUUAUUUAUCCAAAUCAUUAUUAUUUCCUCAUUAUUGUUAUUCCAUUCAUUUAUUUAUUCACUUAUUCAUUUAUUUAAAAAUUCCCUCUUUAAACAAUUCUUCAAAAUUCCGAUUUCCAAAUUUAGUUAUCUGAAAUUCCAAUUUUCCAAUUUCCGAACUUAAUUUUCAGUUUCCAAUAUUCCAAUUCUCGCAUUUAUUCCGUUACUUAUUUAUUAUUAUCAUUAUUAUUAUCAUUUUAUUCAUUUAUUUCUAAAAAAUUAUGCCUUCGAAUGAUUUCCAAGAUUUCCAAUUUCUAUAAUUCAAUUUUCAUAGUUUCUACUUCUCAAAUAAUUUUCAAUUAUGAUUUCUUUCAAAAUUUAAUUUCCAAAGUCCCAAUUUUCGUAAUUUAAUUUUUUUUAAAUCCCAACCUCUCAAAUAAUUUUCAAAAUUCCAAUUUCUUUCAAAUUUAAUUUCUAAAAUUCUCAUUCUUACAUUUAAUUUCUAAAAAUUCAAUUUUCAAAUAAUCUCUAAAACUCCAAUUUUCAAAUAAUCUCUAAGACUCCAAUUUUCAAAUAAAUUUCAAAAAUCCAAUUUUCCCUGAAACAGUUUUAAUUUCUGUUUGGUGAUGCAUGUGAUAUGUUUUGUGCUCUUUAUUGUACACGACCCCAUUUUUAUGAUAGCGCAUUGGUCGUUCGUGGCCCAGGUACGCAUCCACUCCCAUUAUGAUCAUUCUCUAUGCAUGUUUUGAUUCCCAUAUGUGCAUGAUAGAUUUGAGUAUCCAUUGAUUUUCCUAUUGAUUGCCACAUCAACUUCGUUUCAUUAGUAGAGACCUUACUUUAGGGACUUAGAGUGGUGCUACGAUCUUUACUGUACCUUCUUGAUAAGUAACCUGACCCCCGAGCCCGAUUUGGUUUUUCACAGACCACCUUUUCCAAAAUAAGGAGUCACGCUUAGGGUUUUCUUUCUUAUUUUGUUUACCCUUUUAAAAAUAAAACAAAUAUAAGUGGCGACUUCAAGUCAUUUUUUUAAUAAAUAAAAUCAUUUUCAAAUAAAAAUCGAGCUCACCAUCGAGUGGAAAACGCAUGAGCCGAAAUACGGGGUCCACAAAAUGGCGACUCCACUGGGGAUGUAUAAGAGAGUCAAGCUUGAACUUAAAAUGAAGCAAAUGUGGCAUUUGAUGAGUUGAUCAGUGGGUACUCGUCUCUUGAUUGCACAUCGGGAGUUCUUGAGUUUUCACUUGGGACAUUGACAUGUUGAUCGUGUUGGUUGAUCAUUUUGAUUGAGGAUUCUAAUAUGGUGAUUCUUUUUGUGCUUCAUUGAUAUAUUUGUUUCAGAUAUUUGACAUGUUGAUUGUGAUGAUUGAUUUGUUUUGAUUGCGGAUUCUGAGAUGUCUACUUCUUCUAUGCUUCAUUGCUAUAUUUGUUUGGGAUGUUGACAUGCUGAUUAUAUCGUUUGCUUAUCUUGUUUUGCUUGGCAUAGCAACUCUGACUUUGACAUGUUUAUUCUGAUCCCUUCCCAUGUAUAGACUCACCAUUGCAUAUUGUUUGACUUGUCAUAUUGUUUCUCUGUAUUGUAUAUUCUCUUGAUUGUCUUCGAGCAUGAUAUCUGUAUCAUUUCUCAUCUGAUUGUCAUAGUUUGUAUGUGGAUAUGAGUUAUAUAUUCUGUACUCUGCUUGACUGUAUGUCACAUGACUGCCCUCCUUCUACGUGAUUGUAUGUCAUUUGUCCGUGUAUGCCGCACAUCUAUCCCCUUAUCUCCAAUCCUCUAGUUUUCGGUCAUUUCUUUCAUUAUGGCUCUCACUUUAGCAAGUGUGAGGCCUUGUGUGUGCUUGUUUCUUCGACCGAGCUAGAGGAUAGGAGUAGGGUCUAGCGACGGGCUAUAUCAAUGUUCGGGAGCAUUAUGGAGGGGUUCGACACUCUGGUGCUGACUGGAGUCCGAUCAUUGAAGACCUGUAUAGCCCGGAGCUAGGUUUCAUGGAUACUUGUGCGACCAGUAUGUUUCCUAUUCUACUUUAGCUUCAUAGGGUUUUUGGAUGCACCCACACCACUCACUAUGCACUCUAGUUGACCGCUGAGUGUUGAGAGUUCUAAGAUAUUUCACCAUAGGAAACCCCCUGGGAUGUCGAGGUAGUGCAUGUGUGGAGAUAAUGACCACCUUACAUGGAAACGCCCCGUCUCUUCAGAGGCAUGCAGAGGGUUGCGUACCGUCGGAGGGUAUGAUCGCUUCUGCUAGGGAUCCUUUAAAGUCCACCCCUCUUCUUUUUAGAGCCACCUUGAACUCGUAGGUUAAGCCUUAUACAUUUCAAUCAGGAUUUCCUUUCCCAACACGUGGGUGCAUUUGUGGGCUUUCAAAGCCAGUUCAAUAGUGAUAGGUUUAGUUAUCUUCAUAGUGGUCUCUUAUAUACCUGCUCAGGAUUGGAUAUCAAUUUAAAUGCUUCCGGGUUACUUUUCGAUGCAUUUAAUAGACAUUCUAUGUGAAGUUUCCCUUACCUCGUAUCUUAUCUAGUAUUUCCACUGUUGUAGGAGUAUCGAUACAUUCGGUCUGGGUUCGACUUCUUGGAUCAGAGUUGGAGGUAGAUUGAUCAAGGUAUCAGAUCAGUCAAACCAGAGAUCAGAUCAAAGAGGUAUGGAUUCACAAAUAGUUACCGUUGAUCAGUUUGCUAAGGCCAUGGCUUCGAUUCAGGAGGCUAUAGCUAGCCUCGGUUGGAGGAUAGAUGGGCAACAAGCCCAACAGGUCCCGUCUCAAGAUAGUGCCCAGUAUGACCCUACAGUGCCACCACCCCCUCCACCCAGUCAGUCAGCACCACAAGCCAUACCUUUCACUCUGUAUAGUCAAACUGAGGUUGCCCCGCCUCUUAUCACUAUGCCCACCCCAACCUCAGAGGACCCACAUGCUCGCAUGGAUAUGCUUGAGCAGAGGUUGAGGCAGCUGAGGACUUCAGACAAAGCUGUUACUUGGGAGGAUUUUGAUGGAGCACCGGUGGCCAGUUUACCGGCUAAGUUCAGGAUGCUAGAGAUUGAGCGAUACACGGGGAUUGGCUGCCCCCGCAUCCAUUUGAGCCUUUACAGUACGAUCAUGAGGGCUCACAGGUUGGAUGAGACUCAAAUGAUUAUGUUUUUCCCUAUGUCAUUGAGUGGCGUGACACAACGUUGGUUUGCUUCAUUGGAUGUAUCACACUGUCAGACUUGGGAUGAUCUGGCCCAGGAGUUCUUGAGACAGUAUGCAUUUAAUAAUAUCAUUGACGUAUCGAGGAGGGAGUUAGAGGCGUUGAGACAGAGGCAAGAGGAGUCGGUCACCUUGUUCAUCUCCCGUAGGAGGGAGAAUAUUUUGUAGGUCAUUGAUAGACCAUCUGAGAGGGAUAAGAUCAGCAUGAUUAUGAGGAGUUUGUAGCUUUAAUUUGCUCGACACUUGAUGGGAUUUCCACAUACAGAUUUUAGAUCUUUGGUACAAGCCUUAUAUGGUAUAGAGGAGGGCAUAGCUAGAGGAUUAUGGUUUGAGUCUUCUCCUUCUGAUUCGAAAGGGAAGAAGCCCUUAGGAGGACAUAGAUCGAGAGAUGCUAGUGCUAUCAGUUCGGCAAGUUUGAGACUUCCUAGACGCUAUCAGACAGUUGGGCAGACUUCUGGACUCUACUACCCACCAUCACCUCGUGUGUAGUAUAGACCACGAGCACCUUCACGGUCGUAUGAUCAGACCUAUGUGCCUUCUACAUUGGCACUGCCUCACCACACCGCACAAGGCACAGAGAGGCCUUCUGUCUCAUAUUCUACCACAACGCAGCCAUGCUAUGUAGCAUAGUUUUUGUGAGACCUACGACAUCUUAUCCUAGGCCUCAAGCUCAGCAAACCUCUGCUCCUUUUGCUUUGAGGACACAGAGGUAGUUUUCACAGUUAGGCAUGUCGUUGAGCCAGGCUUUUCGGAAGCUUACAAAGGUCGGAUUGUUGAUGGCUUUCACUCCCAAACCACCACCCCAACCUAUUCCACCUCAGUUCAGGAUGGAUUUACAUUGUGUGUAUCAUUAGGGACCAGGACAUGAGACAGAUCACUGCACUGCUCUGAGACACGCCAUCCAGAAUCUGAUUGAUCAGGGUGUGGUCCACUUGGGUCAGUCGAGUAUGACGACGAACCCAUUACCGACUCACACUACACACGUGGUCCCCCCUCCGACCGAUAGCAUGCACUCCAUUGACUUCGUUGAGCUUGACGAUCACAUCCACAUGCUGAGUUGGGAUGAGUCAGAGUCAGAGCCCAUAUUAUCAUAUGAGAUUUAUGAGAUAGGCAGAGUGAUUUUGGGCCCGCGGAUGUCCACACCAUUCAGAUCGGUCCCUGAGGCGGCAUCAGUACAAACUGCCACUGUCGAGCCGUCGAUCUUCCCACACUACAGUGUUCGAACUCCGUUUGUUUUGAUUCCAGAUGUUGAUGAGGUUCAGACUCCGUAUGUUGAUAUUCAUCAAACUCCAUAUGUCGAUGAUGCUCACACUUUAGAUGUGCAGUAUGUCAUUUGCGGGGGUAAAGUGGUACGACAGCAGCCCCCCACAGCCGCUAGACCUUUGGAGGGGACGUCCUCCCAAGAGAAGGUCAAGAAGGAGGAUGAUGAGAUUUUGAGGUAGUUAUAGAGCACUCAGGCAUGCAUUUCUAUCUGGAGCUUGUUAGCAUUUUCCAGCACUUACCGAGAUGCCUUGAUUUGAGCCCUAAGCCAGAUAAGAGUCGAUACUGCCACCACUCCGGAGGGGUUGAUCCACAUGGUGACGACUGGCAGAGCCACAUGCAUAGUGUUCUCGGACGACGACUUGCCACCGGAGGGUUUAGACCACACACGUCCCCUUUAUAUAUCUGUCGGUUGUUUAGGUCGUCGAGUCCCAUCUAUCCUUCUAGACAAUGGCUCGACCCUGAACGUCUGCCUCUAGCCAUUGCCAUCGCUCUCGGCUAUGCACCUUCUGAUUUUGGUCCCUCCACUCAGACCAUUCGAGCAUACGACAGUACUCGAAGGGAGGUCAUGGGCACCUUGGAGAUUGAGCUACUGAUAGGUCCGGCUACAUUUGUCAUUGUAUUCCAGGUUUUGAGGAUUCCCGCAUCCUUUAACCUGCUUUUAGGCCGACCUUGGAUCCACAAAGUUGGGGCCAUUCCUUCUUUCCUUCAUCAGAAGGUAAAGUUCAUUCACGAUGGCCAGGUCAUCACAGUGCAGUCCGUGGGAGACAUGUUUAUUUCUGUUGAGCCUGUGCUUCAGAUUAGUCACAGUGAUGAUGACCUAUUUCUGACUGGAUUCACGUUUGAUGAGGUGCAGACCCUAGGGAUGGAGGAUUUUAGUCGAGACUUCGUGGCUAUGUCGUUUGAUCAGCAUGACAGCACAAUGGUGCUCGAUAUGAUGAGGAACAUGUCUUAUUUACCCGGUAUGGGGUUGGGGCAACAUCAGUACGAGCCCAGUGAUUUCAUGGCUAUCCCUGAUCAUGAUGUACCAUUCGGACUCGGGUUCAUCCCCACUAAGGCCGAUUAUAGAUAUAUGGCGUGAUUGCGUAAGGAGCGGGUGAGGGCUCGACUGACUCAUACGCCGUUUGAUUAUCCUGUUCGUCCAUACACCAUGACUUUGAUGGACUAUUUCUUGAAAGCAUCAAAGUCGCAGACUCAUUUGAAUCGGAUCAUUGGGGGACUCAGCACUACUCAAGAGCCCAAGCUACAGUGCCUCGUCCAUCAGCUACAGUUGAGUGAUGGAGCCCUCGACACUUCAACAUCUACGUUGGCAGCUCCUUCAUCUCCAGAUCACAUGAGCCUUAUGACGCUCUAUUUCCCAGAUGAGGUCGAUGAGCACGGGACGUUUGUUGAGAUCGGAGACAUAGUGGAUGGAGUUGUGCCACAUGAUGAGUUCAUCGAUGAGAUGCUCGCGAUCAGUUUGAGCCAGAUCGAGGAGAUAGUUCAGCCUGAGCUCGCUUCACCAUUUGAUCUUUUCGGGGUGUUCGUCAUCGAGAUAGUUGAGGAGAUCUUGACUGCCCCUGCUCCGAAGUCUAUAGAGGAUGUUUUAGCUACUGAUGAUUUGUUUGAUGGCCCUAUUAACCCAGUUGAGGGAGCGUCCGACUUUGUGGACCCACCUUUUUCAUUUGAUGUUUUAUCAAGAUUUGUCUCCCAUUCUGACGAUGUUCAUGACUCUUCAUUUAUGGAUUUGAGCAUUUUCGAGUAUCUGCCUGUCUCUUAUGAUAUCACUUUAUCUACACACUCUUCACCCACAUCAUAGAUAUUUGAUAUAGAUGAUGAGAUUAUACAGCACGAUUAGAUGAUGACUCAUCUUCUGUUUCUGAUUCGCACCCCAUUGAUCAGAGAGUUUCACCUCCCACAGAAGACGUUGAGGUUGUUGAUUUUGGUACAGCAGACCAGCCAAAGGAGCUGAGGAUUGGAUUGGAUUUGUUUACAUAUGAGAGGGAUGACCUCGUCCGGUUGCUUAGAUCAUAUUUGGAUGUUUUUGCAUGGUCUUAUGAGGACAUGCCGGACCUUGAUCCAUCCAUAGUCCAGCAUCACUUGCCACUUCUGCCUCAAGCCAGACCGAUUAAGUAGAAGUUGAGACGAUUGCACUAUCAUUGGAGCUUGCAAGUGAAAGAGGAGAUCCAAAAAUAGCUCAGUGUCAGAUUUUUGUCAGUGGUCGAGUACCCGAAGUGGCUGGCCAAUGUCGUCCCUGUUCCCAAAAAGGAUGGCAAGUUGAGAGUCUAUGUUGAUUUCUAAGAUCUCAACAAGGCCAGCCCUAAGGACAAUUUUCCUCUCCCACAUAUCGACAUGCUAGUUGAUAGUACAACAGGUCAUUCGAUGUUGUCCUUUAUGGACGGAUUUUUCGGGUACAAUCAGAUCUUGAUGGCUCUAGAGGACAUGGAGAAGAUGUCCUUCAUUAUCGAGUGGGGUACUUAUUACUAUAGAGUAAUGUCAUUCGGAUUGAAGAAUGCAGGAGCCACCUAUCAGAGAGUAGCGACCACCCUCUUACAUGACAUGAUGCAUCGAGAUGUUGACGUUUAUGUAGACGACAUGAUAGUGAAAUCCUGAGGUAGAUCAGAUCACCUAUUAGCUUUGGAGAGGUUCUUUGAGAUGAUCAGGCAGUUCAGAUUGAUAUUGAAUCCCAAGAAGUGCACUUUUGGAGUUAUUUCUAGGAAGCUCCUUGGAUAUAUGGUCAAUGAGAGAGGCACAGAGGUAGAUCCGGACAAGAUCAAAGCCAUCUUUGACAUGCCUGCACCGAGGACAGAGAGAGAGGUCAGAGGCUUCUUGGGUAAACUUCAGUACAUCAGUAGAUUCAUUGCCAGAUUGAUAGACAUCUAUGAACCCAUUUUCCGACUCUUGAGGAAGAGUCAACCUAUUGUUUGGGAUGAUCAGUGUCAGCGUGCAUUUGAGAUGAUCAGAGAGUAUUUGUUGUCACCACUAGUUUUGGUACCUCCUACGCCAAACCAUCCUUUACUCCUAUAUCUGUCAGUUUCAGACGUAGCAUUGGAGUGCAUGUUGGCUCAGCUCGAUGAUUCGGGCAAAGAGCGAGUCAUUUAUUAUCUGAGUAAGAGGAUGCUGGAUUAUGAGAUGAGAUAUGUCAUGAUUGAGCGCUACUGUUUGGCAUUGGUUUGGGUCACUCACCGAUUGAGACAUUACAUGCCGAGUAUUCAGUGCACUUGAUAUCCCAUCUAGAUCAUUUGAGAUAUUUAUUUGAUAGGCUCGCUUUGGUCGGUCGUCUCAUGAGAUGGUUGAUACUUCUGACCGAGUUUGACAUCCAUUAUGUCACUCAAAAGUCCAUUAGAGGGAGCAUUAUUGCGGAUCAUCUAGCCUCAUUGUCAGUUUCUGAUGAUAGAGCUAUUGAUGAUGAUUUCCUGGAUGAGGAUGUUGCUGUUGUGACUAGUCUGUUGGGUUGGAGUAUGUACUUUGAUGGUGCAGCCAACCAUUCUGGAUAUGGGAAAAGUAUCUUGUUGAUAUCCCCUCAUGGUGAUCACAUUCUUAGAUCUAUUCAUUUGGCAUUCACGGAUCGACAUCCUGCCACAAAAAAUAUUAUUGAGUAUGAGGCUUGUAUCCUGGGAUUAAAGACUGGUCUCGAGCUCGGGAUUAGAUAGAUGGAGGUGUUUGGUGACUCCAAUCUGGUAUUGAGACAGAUUCAGGGUGAGUGAAAGACUAGAGAUGUGAAGCUUAGGCCUUACCAUGCAUACUUGGAGCUACUGGUUGGAAGAUUUGAUGAUUUGAGAUAUACACAUCUGCCUAGAGCGCAGAACCAGUUUGUCGAUGCCUUAACUACUUUAGCUUCUAUGAUCAAUAUUCCUGCUGAUGCCACUCUUCGCCCUUUACUGAUCAAGUCGAGAUUCAUUCCUACUUAUUGUUGUCGGAUCGACGAUACAGAGCCAGAUGAUGGUUUGCCCUAUUAUCACGACAUAUAUCACUUUUUGAGGCUUGGCAUAUAUCCUGAGGCCGCCAUGACUAAGGAUAAGAGAGCAUUGAGACAGCUAAUCGCUCCAUUCAUGAUUUGUGGCGAGACAUUGUACAGACAAUCAGCUGAUGGGAUGUUGUUAUUGUGCUUGGACCGCACCUCUGCUGAUCGAGUUAUGAGAGAGGUUCAUGCAGGAGUAUGUGGACCACAUAUGGGAGGUCAUUUGUUGGCCCAUAAGAUUAUGAGGACUGGCUAUUUCUGGUUGACCAUGGAGACGGAUUGUUGCCAGUUUGUUUAGAGAUGUCCAAAGUGUUAGAUACACGGGGACCUCAUCCACGUGCCGCCCUCGGAGUUACAUUUGUUGACUUCACCAUGGCCAUUUUCAGUAUGGGCUAUCGACAUCAUCGGGAAGAUCUCGCUGAAAUCUUCCAGUGGUCAUGAGUUCAUCUUGGUUGCCAUCGACUACUUCACCAAGUGGCUGGAGGUCGCUUCAUAUGCGAGAUUGACAUCAACUGGAGUUUCUAGUUUCAUCAUAUCACACAUUAUCUGUCGCUAUGGAGUCCCUCAUGAGUUGAUCUCGGAUAGAGAGGUACAUUUCAGAGUAGAGAUUGACGCCUUAGUACAGCAAUAUGGCAUCCAGCAUCAUAGGUCAUCUGCAUACAGGCCGCAGACGAACAGGGCAGUGGAGGCUGCGAAUAAGAAUAUUAAGAGGAUCUUGCGGAGGAUGGUUGAGACUUCUCGGGAUUGGUCAGAGAAGCUCCCUUUUGCAUUGUGGGCUUAUCGGACUUCUUUUCGCACCUCUAUAGAAGCCACACCCUACUCUUUGGUGUAUGGUAUGGAGACAGUGUUACCAGUUGAGAUUGAGAUGGGCUCAUUAAGGGUAGCAUCGGAGCAGCAGAUUCCCGAGGCAAAUUAGGCUCAAACUCGAUUUGAUCAGCUCAAUCUCCUAGAUGAGAGGAGAUUGAGGGUAGCAGACCAUGUUCGUGCCUACCAGAGAAAGAUGGCCCAUGCUUUUAAGAAGCGGGUCAAGCCUUGACCACUACAUAUAGGUGACUUGGUUUUGAAGGUCAUCAGGGGAUUGAUCAGAUAUCCCAAAGGGAAGUUCAAACCUAAUUGGAGCGAACCUUAUUUCGUCAGGGAGUUGACCCUAGAAGACACUGCAUGGUUGAUGGAUUUAGAUGAAACCAAUUCUCGGAGCCGACCAAUGAGGAUCAGCUAGCCCAUUGAGCCUCGCGUGCGCAUUAUAGCAUUUCUUUCUUAUCGCCUUGCUCACAUUUUCACACCUGGAUAGGGGCCCUUUAGUGUAUGCAUGCAUUGCUUGGGAAUUUCAUGAGCCUUGGACCUAGGGGCACAUUCUUCUCAUUAUCUUUUCCUAUCACUGCACCACUGCAUUUUCAUCACAUCUCAUUGGUCAUGUUCUUCAUUCCUUCUUUAUUCUAUCUACUGCUUGUUUUGCUUCAUAUCCUUUUCACCCCAAGUGGUGAUCUUCCUUAGUUCAUUACAUGGGGGAUAGUUACAUCAUAUCCAUUAUCUAUCCCACGAACAUUGGUUUAGAGAUCCUUAGUUUGAGAAUGUCACCUUGUCAGAGAGAGUUUUUGUUGCCUUAACACUUGAGAGUGUGUCUAUCCAUCAUUGAUAUCAUCUUUUGGGCUUAUUUUGUUCAUGUUCAGGGUAUGUGCAUUUGUAUAUCUAUAAAAAAAAAAUAAUAAAUAAAAUAAAAAAAUAAAAAAAAAUGAUGAAAAAAAAAAGAAUGAAAGGAAAAGAAAAAUAAGUACAUGUGUGUAUGUGCACAACAUUCUCCAUCAUUGAGCGUGUAUAAUGAUAUUUGAGGUUCAUUUUAUCGAGUAUGUUUGUCAAUGAGAGUUCGUAUGUGAGCUUUCCGAGGCCCUCCAUUUUUUGUAUUCAUUUUGUCGUGUAUUUUGAAAGUGAGACGAGUGACUUUCUCUUAGGAGCUCUAUGUCAUGGUCUUUUCCAUCAUUUCAUUCAUUGACAAUGUGACUUAACUUCAUGUUGGAUUUAAGCAGAUCACCACUCCUCUUCGUGUUCUUUUUUUCACCAACAUUCUUGUUUUUGCUUUUGAUUCAUCCAUUUCUUUUCACCCCUUGUCAUUUUCUUACAGUGGCCCAUUUCUAGGUUUGUUACCUUCUUUGCAUCAUCAUUACACAUCUCAUUAUCAAUUUGUUUUUCUUCAUUGCCUCGUUAUUGUUAUCAUAUUCACAUUGGGCACCUGUAAGUCCAUGGCUCACGAGAUUUACUAUACAUGCUGCAUUUCAUAUAUGAGGGCAUGGGUUUCUGAUCAUUGGGUAUUUGAGCCUAGUUUCCCUUCAUUUCUAUCGCCCCAUCACCUUAGCCUACGUUACGUCCCGUGUCUUAAGACCACCCUGAGGCCAUGGAAUCAGAUGUCGUCUUCGACAGCCCCUACUUGGACGGGUGUUUGAGAUUUUGUUGAUAUUUAGAUAUCGUCAUGCUUCUUAUUUUGGGAGUCGCCUCUUUGAUGUUUAGAUCUGAUUCAGUUGUGUUUAGAUUGUCGGGAUCAUGCGUUUGAUGAUGGAUGAUUUGAUGUCACCUGAUUUUUCUGAUUUAUCACAUAUUCGAUGUCACACUGGGGGCAUAUUCCGUUUCGGGCAAGAUUUACAGAUCUUCACGAAGUUGCAUGCUUAUUCCCACUUGCGAGAUGUACACCGAGAUGAUUAUCUAUCCGCUAUUUUUAUGAUGAUCCCUCAGUGGAGCCUCUAUGGAACCAUUCAGCCAAGCCCACAUUUCUCAGCAUUUGGUUGUUGUCAUGCUUCUUAUUCCGGGAGACGUUCCCUAGAUGUUUGGAUUUGAUUUGGAUCACGGAGAUCACACGUUUGAUGAUGGAUGAUUUGAUGUCACCUGAUUUAUGACCUGUUGUACACUCGAUGCCAUACUGGGACAUAUUUUCGUCCUGGAUGAGAUUUACAGAUCUUGAUGGAGUUGCAUGUUUAUCCCCACUUGUGAGAUGUACGCCGAGACGAUGACUUGUUCGCCAUUUUUACAAUGAUUCCUCAGUGGAGCCUCCCGGGAGCCAUCUAGCUAGGCCCGCACUUCUUGGCACUUAGAUGCCAUCAUGCUUUUCCAUCCGAGAGGUACAUCUUGGAUCUGUGGGUAUGAUUCAGUUAUGGAUUUGGAUGACUAGGAUUACAUAUUUGUUGAUGGAUGAUUUGAUGUCAUUUGAUAUUCCCAACCUAUCACACAUUCGAUGGUAUACUGGGGCAUAUUUCCAUUUUCGGUCGAGAUUUGUAGAUCCCCACUGAUUCGCAUGAUCAUCCUUGGUUACAAGAUAUGCGCCAGGUUGAUGAUUCAACUUCAUUUUGUCCUGAUUCCCCAUUGGAGCCUUUCUUGAGUCAUUUCGUCAGGCUCAUACUUUUUGAUAUAGUUGUGAUUUUUGGAUUGAGUUAUUUCGGGUGCAUUGAUUCCCACAUCAUCAUUUCAAUGGAGUGCACGCCAGAUCUUUUAUACAUCCCCGUGGAGUUAUUCUCGAGUUAUCAGAAGAGAUCGGAUAUAUCUAACGCCAUACUGGGGCAUAUUUCCCUUAUCCAAUCAUAGGGGUGAUGGUUUUUCUCAUAGAUCUGCUACAGUCUUCAUCGCUCGGCCGAGAAAUAUUUUAUUUGCUUUACAAGUCACUGUUCUUGUGAUUUUCGAGGAGAUGAGCCUUCAGCAAGGCAUGACCUUCGAGUUUUGACUGUCUCAUUAUCCAUGACCCUGUUGUAGAUUGUUUUGAUGAGAUCAUGGUAGUUACCCUAGCGGAUUAUUCUCUUGAGACUCCCUAGUGGAUCACCCAUUUGAGAUGACGAUGGAUUCUUCCAGCAGAGCAUUUUGAGCUAGAGACGUAUGACUCAUUGUGACAUCUCGUUAGGCCUCAUGAUUCAGAGGGAUGGGUUGCGAGACUAUGUUUAUAGUCGAUUUGAUCGUUCCGACUUGCUAGCGGAGCAUAUUUUGAGGCUCAUGGAAUCUCUUUUAGGCCUUCUUAGAGGAUGAAGAGUUGUGGCGGCACGCUACAUUGGGGCAUAUUCCCCCCCCCCUCUCUCAACAUUUCCUUGCAGUUAGGAGUUCAGAGCCGCCAUCCAUUCUCGGUUAUGACGUUCAGAGUCGUCCAUUUUCAGCCUAGCGUUCAGAGCCACCAUCUCUUCAUAAUUUAGCAUUCAGAGCCACCACCUCUUUUCAGUUUGGCGUUCAGAACCGUAUUUUCAUUUUGGCAUUUGAUGACACCAUCUUUCUUUAGUUUGGCGUUCAAAGCCACUAUUUUCAUUUUAGCAUUCAUGGCUAUUACUUUUAGUUUGGCGUUCAGAGCCGCAUCUUCAUCUUGGCGUUCAAAGUCAUUUGUUCAUUUUGGUGUAUGCCUUUAGUUAGAUAUCGUCACGUUUUUCGUUUGGGGUUUAGAGCCAUUGUUCAUUUUUCAAUUUGGUGCUCAGAGCCAUAGUUCCCUUUAGUUCGAUAUUCAAGUCACAUUUUCUCGUUUGGCGUUCAAAGUCGUCGUUCAUUUUAUUUUGGCGUUCAGAGCCGCAUUUCCCAUUUAGCGUUCAGAGUCGUUGUUCAUCUUUAUUUUGGCGUUCAGAGCCACAUCUUUAGUUCGGCGCUCAGAGCCAUCAUCGUUUCAUAGUUUCGGUGUUCAGGGUCAUAUCUCGGUUUCGGUGUUUAGAGCCACCAUCAUUCUCAGUUUCGGCGCUCGGAGCCAUCAUCGUUUCACGAUUUCGGCGUUCAGAGCCACAUCUCAGUUUUGGCGUUCAAAGCCACCAUCAUUCUCAGUUUCGACGCUCGGAGCCGUCAUCGUUUCACGGUUUCAGUGUUCAGAGCCACCAUCGUUCUUAGUUUCAGCGCUCGGAGCCAUCAUCGUUUCACGGUUUCGGCGUUCAGAGCCGCAUCUCAGUUUCGGCAUUCAGAGCCACCAUCAUUCUCAGUUUCGACGCUCAAAGCCAUCAUCAUUUCACGGUUUCGGCGUUCAGAGCCGCAUCUCAAUUUCGGCAUUCAAAGCCACCAUCAUUCUCAGUUUCGGCGCUCAGAACCGUCAUCAUUUCACGAUUUUGGCGUUCAGAGUCGCAUCUUGGUUUCGGUGCUCAGAGCCACCAUCAUUCUCAGUUUCGACGCUCAGAGCCGUCAUCGUUUUACGGUUUCGGCAUUCAGAGCCACAUCUCAGUUUCGGCGUUAGAGCCGCAUCUCAAUUUUGGCAUUUAGAGCCACCAUCAUUCUCAAUUUCGGCGCUCAAAGCCAUUAUCGUUUCACAGUUUCGGAGUUCAAAGCUGCAUCUCAGCUUCAGCAUUCAGAGCCACCAUUAUUCUCAAUUUCGGGGCUCGGAGCCAUUAUCGUUUCACAGUUUCGGUGUUCAAAGCCGCAUCUCAGUUUUAGCGUUUAGAACCACCAUCAUUCUCAGUUUCGGCACUCGGAGCCGUCAUUGUUUCACAAUUUCGGUGCUCAGAGCCACCAUCAUUCUCAGUUUCGGCGCUCGAAGCCGUCAUCGUUUCACAGUUUCGGCAUUCAGAUCCGCAUCUUAGUUUCGGCGUUCAGAGCCACCAUCAUUCUCAGUUUUGGCACUUGGAGCCAUCAUCAUUUCAUGGUUUCGGCAUUCAAAGCCGCAUCUCAGUUUUGUCUUUUAGAGCCACCAUCAUUCUCAGUUUUAGCGUUCAUAGUCAUCAUCGUUUCACAGUUUCGGAGUUCAGAGCCGCAUCUCCAGUUUCAGCGAUCAAAACCACCAUCCCUUCGUAUUUUGGCAUUCAAGGCUGCAUCUCCAGUUCGGCGUUCAAAGCCGCUAUCCCUGUACAAUUUGGCGUUCAGAGUCACUGUCCGUUUCACAGUUUGGCAUUAUGAUCGAGCAUUCAUUAACAUAUUUUCGGCGUUUAGAGCUACAUUUUUAGAGUUCAAAGCUUUCAUCUUCUUCAGUUUGGCAUUCAGAGCCACAUUCCUCGCAUUUAGGGUUGUCGUUUUCUUUCAGUUUCGCAUUCAGAGUCAUUCUUUCUAUUUAGAGCUACUUUCAUCAGUUUUAGGCGUUCAGAGUUGUGUCUUCAGUUUGGCAUUUAGAGCCAUCAUCUCCUUCAGUUUGGCAUGUAGAGUCGUGUUUUCGUUUUAGCAUUUAGAGCCAUUAUCCAACUUAGCAUUCGGUGCCACCAUCUUCCUUUAGUUUUGGCAUUCAGAGCUAUCGUGCGUACUCAUUCAGGCAUUUAAAGUCAUCAUCUUUCAUCAAUUUGGCUUUCAGAGUCAUUUCUUCUCAAGCUUGUCAUUCAGAGUCACGGUUCCGGACAUUCAUAUUCACUGGCGUUCACAUCUUACCUUUGUGGUUUUGCGUUCGUCCUUGGUCUUUUCCCACCUCGUUACCUUGUGCUUAUCGCUUAUUCAUCAUGCUCUUCUGGACUUUCCCUUUCCCCUGCACAUGACAUGGUCCAUUGAGUUCACGACACAUACUUCGAUCACGUUGUUGGGCACCCUACAUUUAGCAUUCUCACAUAGUUCACAUGGGGGAAUCCCCUCUGGAUGCAUUUCUUUCCUGUACUCGGAGGAGGUUCGAUCAUUACUCAUCUUUGACAUUGAUUCUUCGAGUCACUUUGGGAGACAUCUUAGAGGGAGUCUAGAUCUCUCGUGUAGCUUUAGAGGCGCUUUGAGAGAUGUUUUUCCCUUAAGAUUAGAACCCUUUUGUUUGGAGCCUUGAGCGAGCUUGUGUUUUACUUAUGUACCUUUUCGAGGGUCUUUCUUUGUUCUUCAGUAGAGUUUACUUCGUUCCACUCACUAUUCACACUUUCUUUUCACUUCAGUAUUCAUGUUCCUUACACUCGUGAGCUCCACCGAAGAGGGGCAUAUUUUGAUUACUACCCAAAAAGUGCUAUUUUACACCUUUAAUGCAUUAUGUUUUAAGCACUUUUGUGUAGUAGUUCUCCAUCUUUAGUCCAAUUGGCAUGUUAAGGACCUAGCAAUGUCUUCUAAUCAUAUUUGUGGCUAGUUUUAAUGUUUUGACAGCUUUUUGGAUCAUUAAGACAAGUCAAGCAAAGGAGAGAAGCAAAGAGAAGCAAAGUGAAGCAAAGUGAAAAAAUCAGAGGACAGCAGCUGCAGUCUUCUUUCGCACUUUUCGAGCACUUUCCGAAGUCCAUUUUUUACAUGCUAUAUACCAUUUCAAAGCUCUGGAAGUCAAGAAUCCAACGCUUCAAACCGUGCACAAUUUGGAGCUGAAAUGAGGAAGAUAUGGCCUUCGGAAGAAAACUGCUCUAGGUUAUGCGAAAAUUUCGCAUUCUACAAGGUGUUAUGCGAAAUUCGCAUAACAUUCGCAUAACCCAUGCGUGUUGCGAAUUUUGCUCUGUUUUAGCCGACUCCACUUUAGAUAUUUUCCUUUGUAUUUUGUGAUGUAAUUUCCUUUCUUAUCCUUGUAACUAACCAAUCACAAACUUUUGCUUUUGUAAAGACUUUAUAAGGGGUGGAAAUCACCUCUUGGAUGAUAUAGAAUAUAGAAUACGUAUUACGUUUUUACACUUAGAAUUUUACAGAGCUCUCUCGUUUCUCUUUUCUCUUUAUUAUUUUCUUUUUCUUGGAAGCCAAACAACCUCUAAGGAUGUUUUCCCGGAGGAUGAGAGGCUAAACUUUCGGUUUCUUGGAGUAAAGGAAGCUAGGUGAAAAGUCCAGAUGAAAAGGUGGAAAGCUUCCAUGCAUUAAAUUCAGGUAGUUGGAAUUCAUAAAUGGCUUCUAAAUCCAAAGUUUUUCUUUAAAUCCCUUAGAAUCACUUUGAAUGACCAAUACAUGGUAAGCUUCAGGUCUUUAUGGAUGCUUAUUGCUAGAUCCAUAUUAGUCCAUUAGUUAUCAUGUACGAGUCAUUGGAAAGUGAUUCAAGGUGAAGACCCAUAGUGUCUUAAGCCAUUAAUGGACCUUGACUACCAUUUCUAUUGACCUUUUAUGGAUUAAAUCUUCAUUGUCAAACCUAUACCGGUUCGGGAAAUAACUAUAGGUUAAAUCCCCAAUGCGAGGAGAAAAAUCCGGAAUUUUCCACUUUCUAUUCUGAACUUGAUCCUAGCAACCCUUAGCUCCGGGAGACUUUCUUUCUUCCAUUUUUAAUUAGUUUAUGUUAGUUUAGUUUCAAACACUUUCAAAACAAAUUUUAUUUUCUUUUAAACUUUAAGUUUUUGAUUAAGGAAAUCAUUAAAUACAAUUUCUAAUUUUGAGUAUAUCACUGGUAGAAUGAAAACCCAUCCCAGAGUUCGACCCUAGAACCACUAUACUAUAGUAGCUUUGCUACGUUAGUAUGAGGUCAUAGGUUUUAUAAAUGUUUUUGAUUAAAUGACCCAUUUGGAGUUACACGCGAAUCAAAAUGGCGCCGUUGCCGGGGAUGGUGCCACAAUACAGUGAUGCAACCUUUUAGAGGCUACUUGUGAUUUCCAUCACAAGUUUGGUGAAUUCCUUUUUCACUAACUUCAUUUCCUUUCAUUUUAUUUUUGUUAGGUUUAUUUUCAUUUUCUUUCUAACCUUAACUUUUUUCUAGGUUUCUUUUGUUUUUGUUGUUUUUGUUUUAUUUCAGGUAAGUAGUAACUUGUGCAUGCCCUAUUGGAUUCGGGACCAAGAGGGAAGAUUAGUAAGGAUUGAGAAUCCUCAAGACACAGAGUUGGAUAUUUGUGUUAACAUCAUGGACCCUCCACCAGAGGAUCAGAAUUCUCAACAAGGUCAAGGGGGUAAUCCUAAUGCAUAUCUAUCCAUGAGGGAUAGAAUGCAUCCACCAAGGAUGAGUGCACCCUCAUGCAUCCUGCCUCCUCUUGAGCAGUUGGUUAUAAGACCCCAUAUUGUGCCCCUUCUACCAAAUUUCCAUGGAAUGGAGAGUGAGAAUCCAUAUGCCCACAUCAAGGAGUUUGAGGAGGUUUGCAAUACCUUUAGAGAGGGAGGAGUUUCAAUAGACUUGAUGAGACUCAAGCUAUUCCCUUUUACUUUGAAGGACAAGGCAAAAAUUUGGCUUAAUUCUUUAAGGCCAAGGAGCAUAAGGAGUUGGGUUGAUCUUCAGGUCGAAUUUUUGAAGAAAUUUUUCCCCACCCAUAGGACCAAUGGGUUGAAGAGACAAAUCUCAAAUUUUUCUGCUAAAGAAAAUGAGAAGUUCCAUGAAUGUUGGGAAAGGUAUAUGGAGGCCAUCAAUGCUUGUCCUCAUCAUGGCUUUGAUACAUGGCUCUUGGUGAGCUAUUUUUAUGAUGGGAUGUCUUCCUCCAUGAAGCAAAUUCUUGAAACCAUGUGUGGGGGAGAUUUUAUGAGCAAGAAUCCGGAAGAAGCCAUGGACUUUUUAAGUUAUGUGUCUGAAGUGUCAAGAGGAUGGGAUGAGCCCAACUCAAGGGAGAAAGGGAAGUUUCCCUCUCAACCAACCCAAAAUCCAAAAGGUGGAAUGUAUGUAUUAAGUGAAGACAUGGACAUGAAAGCUAAAGUGGCAACAAUAGCAAGGAGGUUGGAAGAACUUGAGUUGAAAAAGAUGCAUGAAGUCCAAGCCAUUUCCGAGACCCAAGCUCAUGCCAUGCCAUGCACCAUUUGCCAAUCAUGUGAUCAUGUGGUAGAUGAGUGCCCAACCAUGCCAGCUGUGAGGGAGAUGUUAGGUGAUCAAGCCAAUGUUGUGGGGCAAUUUAGGCCUAACAACAAUGCACCUUAUGGAAACACCUAUAAUUCAAGCUGGAGAAACCAUCCAAAUUUUUCUUGGAAACCAAGACCACCUCCAUACCAACCACAAGCCCAAACCCAAGCACCUCAACAAACCUCUUCAAUGGAGCAAGCCAUUGUGAACCUAAGUAAAGUCAUGGGUGACUUUGUGGGUGAACAAAAGGCAAUCAACUCCCAAUUGCAUCAAAAGAUUGAAAAUGUUGAGAGUUCUCAAAUUAAGAGAAUGGAGGGGAUGCAAAAUGAUCUAUCUCAGAAGAUAGAUAAUAUUCAAUACUCCAUCUCUAGGCUUACCAACCUCAACACUGUGAAUGAGAAGGGAAAGUUUCCCUCUCAACCAAGCCAAAAUCCCAAGGGUGUUCAUGAAGUUGAAACCCAAGAGGGGGAGUCUUCAAAGUUGAGGGAGGUUAAAGCUGUGAUCACUUUAAGGAGUGGAAAAGAGGUUGAUCAACCCCUGCCUAAGGUGAAGCAAGAUGAAGAACUCAUGUCAAAGAAAACCUUGGUCAAAGAGAGCAAUAACCAAGAAGAGAAGAGUGGGAAGAAAAGUGCAUCCAAAUCAAGCAUUGAAGAAGAGCCAAGGAUAGUGAUUAAAGAGGAUAUGAUGAAGAAACAUAUGCUUCCCCCUUUUCCUCAAGCUUUACAUGGAAAGAAGGAAAUCAAGAAUUCAUCAGAAAUUCUUAAAGUCUUGAGACAAGUGAAGGUGAAUAUACCCUUACUUGAUAUGAUCAAGCAAGUCCCCACAUAUGCAAAGUUUCUAAAGGACUUGUGUACGGUCAAGAGAGGGUUACAUGUGACAAAGAAUACAUUCCUCACUGAGCAAGUAAGUGCUAUCAUUCAGAGUAAGUCUCCAGUUAAGUAGAAAGAUCCGGGAUGCCCCACCAUUUCAGUCAACAUUGGAGGGACACAUGUGGAGAAAGCUUUACUAGACUUGGGGGCAAGUGUGAAUUUGCUCCCAUACUCUAUGUACAAGCAACUAGGACUUGGAGGAUUGAAGCCCACAGCCAUCACUCUCUCCUUAGCUGACAGGUCAGUCAAAAUCCCAAGGAGGGUGAUAGAGGAUGUUCUAGUUCAAGUGGACAAAUUCUACUAUCCUGUGGAUUUUGUUGUGCUUGAUACUGACCCCACUGUGAAGGAAGCAAACUAUGUACCAAUCAUCCUUGGGAGACCUUUCCUAGCUACCUCCAAUGCCAUCAUCAAUUGUAGAAAUGGGGUGAUGCAGCUCACAUUUGGGAAUAUGACCUUGGAAUUAAACAUAUUCCACCUAUGCAAGAGGCAUCUUCACCCAGAAGAAGAGGAAGGAUUGGAGGAGGUGUGCUUGAUCAACACCUUGGUUGAAGAGCAUUGUGACAAGAAUUUAGAAGAGAGCUUGAAUGAAAGCCUUGAAGUGCUUGAAGAAGGGUUACCUGAACCCUCUGAUGUGCUAGCCAUCAUGUCUCCUUGGAGGAGAAAGGAAGAGAUUUUACCCUUGUUCAAUGAGGAGGACUUAAAAGGAGUAGCUAGGGAGGACCCUCCAAAGCUAGUUUUGAAGUCAUUUCCUAUUGAUUUAAAUGCAAACUUCAUAUGGGAUCCGGGCAAGCUAAAUCCGGAUCCAAUUUUUUUAUGGACUUAGUUUUUCUAAAGACUAGUUAGUCCAUAUCUUUUUGUUUUAUUUUUAAACUUGUUUUAAUUUUGAUUUCUUGCUUUAAUUUUAUUUUGGUUUGAUUUAACUUAGUUUUUUUGAUGAUCUUGCUAUGGGGGCUGUUUUGGGACAAAGAGUCUUGCUUUAUGACUCUAAGCUUCAUCUUUUUCCGGGAAAAUUGAAAUCAAGGUGGAUGGGUCCUUUCAUAAUUCAUGAUGUGCAAUCAAAUGGAGUAGUGGAACUACUCAACUUCAAUAGCACUCGAACUUUCAAAGUGAAUGGGCAUCGUCUCAAGCCCUAUAUAGAAUCAUUUUCUCGAGACAAGGAGGAAUUCAUCCUCCUUGAUCCACCUCCAACAUGAAAAUACUUGGUUUAUGGUUGAACUUAGUCUCUUCAAAGACUAAAGAGUUCAUCCUCUUUUUGUUUUCUUUUAAGUUGAUUUUAAUUUAAUCUAUUUUUUUUGUGUUUUUCCAUGUUUUGAUUUUUAUUUUUGACUUUAAUACCGUUCUAAUGUGUUUUUAAUUGGUUUUUUGGGUUAACAUUCAGGUGGGAAAGCUUGAGGAAUCAAGUCAUGGUGAAAGUAAGGCAAAACAGGGGAGAAAAAAACCAAGUUUCAGCCAUUUUCGCACAACAUUUCCUGUUAUGCGAAAUUUUCGCAUAACACACCCCUUAUGCGAAAAUGCUUUUGUGGCAAUUUCCAAAAAAACAUGCUCUCGGUCCCUUCCCAAAAUCCCUUAUGCGAAUUUCACAGGAAUGCGAGCCAUAUGCGAACCAUAUGCGAAUUCGUUUUUGAGACAAAUUUGCAAAACCAUGCUCUCUGUCUGGGUACUCACAGGAAUGCGAAAUUUUCGCAUAACAUAAGGGGUAAUGCGAAAUUUGCAUUUCCUCUUUAAAGACCGUGUUCUCCUCUUCCCAUGCUCAAUUUCUUCUUCAUUUCUCAUAGCACCUCUCUUCCAAUCACCAAAUCCCUUCCUUAAGUUUCUUUUCUUCAUCAUUCCCCACUCUCAACACCACCAUGGCAGCCCAUCUCCAUAACUCCACCUCAUAGCCGCGGCAGUCACUAUUCAUCACCGUCCACCCCUUCAAUUUUCAGCUCUUUCCACCAUCAAAAACCUCACAAUUCCUCACUCAACACUCUAAAUCCAUCCCUCAACCAAUUUCAGCCUUGUAUUUACCAAUCCAAAACCUCAAGCUAAGUAUUCAAGCCACGUUUUCUUCAAAGAGAACCCAUGGCCGCCAGGUAGAGGAGCUCCAAUUUUCAAAAUUUCUUCGUGAAAAAGCUCCAAUUUCCAAGCCUAUUCACCAUGAAAAAUCAUUUUCUUACCUUAGCCAGCAUUUCCCACCCUCAAAAGCCAAAAAUUUCCACCAUUUGAAUGAGCUUCAAAACUUCAAGUGGGCGUGUGAAUAGUGCAUAUGCGAAAUUUUCGCAUAACAUUCCCCCUUAUGCGAAAUUUUCGCAUAACCCCUACCUUGUGCGAAUUUUUCACUUUUUCCAUCUCUGCCCUCCCCAAUCCAAAGCCUGUGAGCCUCAUUUCAUUACUUCAUUAUGCCUAAAACCCGAGGAGGACAUACCUCAGCUCCCCAGAGCAGUGAGAGAGCCACCCCUGUGCGGAUCCCACUAGAUGCGCCGCCACAUUUAGCUGAUUCUGCCUCUCAGAGCAGAUACCAUACGAGGAGAGCAUCUGCCACACCUGUGGCCCCUACUCAGAUUCCACCUCGGGGUCCUCCUACAAAGAAAGCCAAGACUUCAGAGCCAGGAGAGUCUUCUAAAGCACCUCGGGAUUCACAGUCCCAGCUCACCCAUUGAGGGCAACUCAGAUUGCCGAUCCAAAGCAUUUCAUGUCGAGGCAUAUUUUGAGCACACUAUUUUGCGCCAGCAGACUGACUUGCGGGAUUCAUACAGCCUACUUGAGAGGUACCAUCUUGUACCCUUUAUGACUCCACCCCAGUUCUUUUAUCCUCGAGUAGUUUUAGACUUUUACCAGUCUAUGACUACUCAUGGCGUCCCGGUACCAGCCUCGAUACUUUUUACCAUUGAUGGACGCCAGGGUAUUUUGGGGACUCGACAAAUUGCCGAGGCUUUCCAUAUCCCUUAUGCACCAGCUGAUCCCACUGCAUUUAGACGCUGGGCCCCACUUUCUGAGUGGGACAUGGUUCGUAGCCUAUCUCGAGGGACAUCUUCCCAGAGGACCAUUUUCAGGAGGGAGCUUCCCCCAGGGAUGCUCCUAGUUGAUGUGGUGCUUCGCACCAACCUUUUUCCUCUUCAGCAUACAGUACAGAGGCGAGGGGCCAUUUUAGAGGCAUUAUUUCGUAUCUUUGAGGGCUACUACUUUGGUCCUCAUCAUUUGAUUAUGGCCGCUCUCCUCCAUUUUGAGGAGAAGGUACAUAAGCGGCGUCUUACGAGGGCGGCCUCCAUUCAGUUACUUUUCCCUCGGCUGCUAUGCCAUGUUUUGGCACAUAUGGGUUUUCCUGCAGACCCUCAGGCUGAGCCCCGCCGCCAUUGUCGAGAGAGCUUCUCUCUUGAACAAUGGACUCAGCUAUUGCUCCAUCAGCAUUCCCCAAAACUUCCCGAGCCAAGGGAAGUCCCUCCUGCUCCAUCCACUUCAGCUCCCUCGGAGCCUGUACCAGAGACAGCAUCAUCUGAUGCCCCACCUACUGUUCCUCCUACCGUAGAGCCGCCCAUCACUAUUCCUGGUUCAGAGUACCGUGCCUUGCUCACUUCUUUUCAGACUCUGACCACUACUCAGACGGCCAUUAUGGAGCGCAUGGACCACUUCCAGAUUCAGCAGGACCAGCAGACUCUCAUUCUCCGUGAGAUUCAGCAGCACCUCGGUCUUGUGCCACCAGCUCCACCUGUAGCGGUGCCUUCCUCAGUUCCAGCAGAGGACCCCUCCUAUCCACCAGAGGAGCCUACUACUUGAUCAUACGAUCACUCAUUUCCCCUUUUUGUAUCUAUAUUCUAUGUUUUUUGGAUGUCUUAUGUAUUUUGGACCACUUUUAUACUGGGAUUGGACAUAUUCCAUGUUUGUCUUGUAUAUUGUACUCUCUCAGUUUAUAUAGACAUCUUCCUUUUUGUGUAUUUUAGCUAUUCCUUUUUAUUUCCUCUAAUCAUUAUUCUUAUGAUUUUUCUUUUCUUAUGCAACAUGUGGUUUCUCCUCUCUAUUCAGAGUACCUUACUAUCAGGAGGUAUCACUUCCUCCCUUUUAUUACCAUUUUCUUUUAGAACAUUGGGGACAAUGUUCAUCCUAGUUGGGGGGAGAGUUGAGGAAGUAAUUUGUUGAAUUUUUUUUUUUUUGGUUAAGUUAUUUUGCUAACAAAUUUUUUGCAAACUCUCCUUGUUUUCUUAAAGAUAAAUUCUCAAAAAUAAAUAGGAGAAAUUAAAUUCUUAUCUUAUUGCCAUAGUCUUAGAGUUUGUAUUAUGCUUAUUAAAGUUGAUAAAUUGUUGAAGCUCCUUUUGAUUUCAAUCUUAAGUCUUCCACUCUAAUCUUUUCACACAUUGAACACAUUAGAUUCCAGUUAUAAGAUGGAAAACUUUUUCAUCCCCUAAACUUAGGAAAUUUUUGACUUAGUGCCAUUGACCUCAUUCUAUUAGUGUUGGGACACCUUAUAAAAGGCCAAUGUGUCUUAUGAAAAAAAUUUUGCUUCACUUGCUUUGAAACCCAAGCAAGGUCCGAGGGGUAUAUGGUGAAAAUCUUUAAAACCUGGUGCCCUAAGCCUUCAAUGGUUGGGAGCCACCGACCUCACUGCUCGUUACAUGGGUGGAUGGGUGGAGUAUAUAUAUGAGUGUAAAAAAAAAAAAAAAAAAAAAAAAGAGGUGCGUUCUUAGCCUUCUAUAUAUGAGUUAGUGUUGCUAAAGUUAGAGAAAAACCUUAGUUGGGGGGAGAAUAUAGUUUGAUACACUAUAAUUGGAAACUAAGCAUCUUAACACUUAGAUUUUUGUGGAAGAUUAAGAGUUGGUCCUUUGGGAGUGGAAAUUAUUUUGAUACUCAAAUUUGCAUAAUGCCCACUCUUUGAAUGUUGUGAUAGGUAAGUUAUUUGAUGACUCUUGUUGAUGAUUGAGUUUUAUAUCCUUGACUUGCCACGAGAGAGUUUGAUCCAAUCAUGCCACUUGGUUAUUUUUUGGAGUGAUCAGCAUGAUUUUGUAAAUUAUUAUAUUAUCUAUUUUUUUAUUUUUCUUUCCUUCAUUGCUCAGGGACUAGCAAUGUGUCAGUUGGGGGGAGUGAUUACUACCCAAAAAGUGCUAUUUUACACCUUUAAUGCAUUAUGUUUUAAGCACUUUUGUGUAGUAGUUCUCCAUCUUUAGUCCAAUUGGCAUGUUAAGGACCUAGCAAUGUCUUCUAAUCAUAUUUGUAGCUAUUUUUAAUGUUUUGACAGCUUUUUGGAUCAUUAAGACAAGUCAAGCAAAGGAGAGAAGCAAAGAGAAGCAAAGUGAAGCAAAGUGAAAAAAUCAGAGGACAGCAGCUGCAGUCUUCUUUCGCACUUUUCGAGCACUUUCCGAAGUCCAUUUUUUACAUGCUAUAUACCAUUUCAAAGCUCUGGAAGUCAAGAAUCCAACGCUUCAAACCAUGCACGAUUUGGAGCUGAAAUGAGGAAGAUAUGGCCUUCGGAAGAAAACUGCUCCAGGUUAUGCGAAAAUUUCGCACUCCACAAGGUGUUAUGCGAAAUUCGCAUAACAUUCGCAUAACCCAUGCGUGUUGCGAAUUUUGCUCUGUUUUAGCCGACUCCACUUUAGAUAUUUUCCUUUGUAUUUUGUGAUGUAAUUUCCUUUCUUAUCCUUGUAACUAACCAAUCACAAGCUUUUGCUUUUGUAAAGACUUUAUAAGGGGUGGAAAUCACCUCUUGGAUGAUAUAGAAUAUAGAAUACGUAUUACGUUUUUACACUUAGAAUUUUACAGAGCUCUCUCGUUUCUCUUUUCUCUUUAUUAUUUUCUUUUUCUUGGAAGCCAAACAACCUCUAAGGAUGUUUGCCCGGAGGAUGAGAGGCUAAACUUUCGGUUUCUUGGAGUAAAGGAAGCUAGGUGAAAAGUCCAGAUGAAAAGGUGGAAAGCUUCCAUGCAUUAAAUUCAGGUAGUUGGAAUUCAUAAAUGGCUUCUAAAUCCAAAGUUUUGCUUUAAAUCCCUUAGAAUCACUUUGAAUGACCAAUACAUGGUAAGCUUCAGGUCUUUAUGAAUGCUUAUUGCUAGAUCCAUAUUAGUCCAUUAGUUAUCAUAUACGAGUCAUUGGAAAGUGAUUCAAGGUGAAGACCCAUAGUGUCUUAAGCCAUUAAUGGACCUUGACUACCAUUUCUAUUGACCUUUUAUGGAUUAAAUCUUCAUUGUCAAACCUAUACCGGUUCGGGAAAUAACUAUAGGUUAAAUCCCCAAUGCGAGGAGAAAAAUCCGGAAUUUUCCACUUUCUAUUCUGAACUUGAUCCUAGCAACCCUUAGCUCCGGGAGACUUUCUUUCUUCCAUUUUUAAUUAGUUUAUGUUAGUUUAGUUUCAAACACUUUCAAAACAAAUUUUAUUUUCUUUUAAACUUUAAGUUUUUGAUUAAGGAAAUCAUUAAAUACAAUUUCUAAUUUUGAGUAUAUCACUGGUAGAAUGAAAACCCAUCCCAGAGUUCGACCCUAGAACCACUAUACUAUAGUAGCUUUGCUACGUUAGUAUGAGGUCAUAGGUUUUAUAAAUGUUUUUGAUUAAAUGACCCAUUUGGAGUUACACGCGAAUCAUAUUUGUAGACCCCCUCAGAUGGAAGGCAUGUCUUUUGUUUUUUUAUUAUUUAUUAUUAUUUUCUUUUUUUUCUUCUUUCCCGCUUCUUCAUCAACCCGAGAAUAGGCUGCAUGAGGCGGUGAAAUGGGACUGGCCGCUUGAAAGGGGGAUAGUAGAGCAAAAGGUGGUUGGUUAUAGGCUGUGGCAGGGAGUUUUUUUUUUUUCAUUGGCUUGGGGAGCAAGCUAAAGGGGGGUUACAGAAGAGAGUCUAGCUGGAGUAGCAAAGAAGGGAAGCAGAAUAGAAGAACGGGAAGAAAAAAAAAUGAUGAAGGGAAGAAAAGAGAGAAAAAAACUUGGAGCAGGUGAUCUGGGGGGGAGACACUUAGAGAGGGGAUACCCAGAAAAUGAGAAGAGAAAUGGGAAAACACACAGAAGCAUCAUCUUGAAGGAAGACGACUCAGGUAAUAUUUCCACAGGCUAUUGACCCUUUCGCAUUCAUGCCAUUUUUAUUGUGCUAUCUGAGUAUUAGGAUAUUCUAUUUUGAUGUCAGAGUUUGCUCACACUCAUGAUGUGUUUGAUUUCUAACUUAUUUUCUAGGCUUGCUUCGAGUUUUUUUUUUUUUUUUUAAUGAGUUGCUAGCCAUCACGAUUUUUUUUCCCUUUGCAACCUAUCUGAAAUCCAUUUUUGGUCACCUCCAUCUCACCAAGCCCACCCCAUCUCACUACCUUCACACCCAUUUACAUACCCAUGCCUACCACCACCCGUAUCUCCAUCUCCCAAUACCCAAGUCACCCACUCCUCUCACCACCCUUCUAAUUGUUUAUACCUAUUUCUCACUCUACCCAUCUUCAUGCGCACGUCCCGUAUUUUCAUCCUACCACGUAACCCACUCCUCUUAUUUCAUACCCCCAUGCGCACUUCCAGCUUCACACCCCACUUACCCAUGGCCACGUUCACCACCUUAGUCAUGUCUCCGAAUCUUCUAAGCUCACUAUCAUCGUGCCCACUGCUCGUACCCAAUACCCCUCCCGCUACCUCCUUCAUAUCUCAUAUACCCAUAAUACCCAUCUCACUACUUUCCAACACUCUUCAUCCACCAUUCAUUUCCCAUUCACCUAUCCCAUGUCCUCCCAUGUGCAUGCAAUUCAUGCACACGAUCCCUCAUUACCCUCCCCAAGCCUUCUCAUGCAAUGUGCAGCCCGCGCAUGCUUAUUCUACCUCGGAGCCUUCCAUACUCGGCGGCCUUUGCAUGCCAUGGUGAGGAUAGAUUAUGCAAUCCCCACACAAUUUUCCCAUCAGCCUUUCUGUCCCGAGCUUGCACGCACACAAGUUUAGCCGCUAUGGCCGCCAAGAGGCUAAAAGAGUUGCUAGAAACUCGCAAGCCUUCAGCGCAUGAAAACUCAAGCAUUACCAACGAAAAUGAAACAAACGGACAGAGCAAUGAGAGGUCUCUACAGCACCGGCUGGGUUACAAGCUAGAAGUCAUGGUGAAUAUGCAAAAUAAAAAUGGGUUUGUGGUGAGAGUGUUAGAUAUAUAUGCAUAAAAAAUGGGAUGGUGGUGUGGAUGUGAUAAUAUUGCAACAUACAUGAAAAUGGGUUCAUUACCACUACUGGAGACGUGUAACUUGCAUGGGGGAUCACCACUUUCUUUUAUUAUUUCUUCACAUUUUGGAUAUCAAAGUAAUUCUCUAAUAUUCCGGUUUUUGAAAUUUAAUUUUUCAACAUUCCAUCCUUAAAAUAAUUUUUCAGGUUUCCAAUUUUCGAAAUUUUAAUUUUCCAACAUUCCAUUUCUAAAUAAUUCUUCAAUUUUCCAAUUCCUAAAUUCACUUCCCAAUUUUCACAAUUAUUUACCUAAUCAUUAUUAUUUCAUUAUUGUUAUUAUUCCGUUUAUUUAUUUGUUCAUCUAUUCAUUUAUUUAAAAUUCCAUCUCUAAAUAAUUUUUCAAAUUUCCAAUUUCUAAUUUCAAUUUUCAAUUUUCACAAUUAUUUAUCUAAUCAUUAUUAUUUUCAUUAUUACUAUUAUUCCGUUUAUUUAUUUAUUCACCUAUUCAUUUAUUUAAAAUGUCAUCUCUAAAUAAUUCUUCAAUUUUCCAAUUCCUAAAUUCACUUCCCAAAUUUCACAAUUAUUUACCUAAUCAUUAUUAUUUCAUUAUUGUUAUUAUUCCGUUUAUUUGUUUAUUCACUUAUUCAUUUAUUUAAAAUUUCAUCUUUAAAUAAUUUUUCAAAUUUCCAAUUUCUAAAUUCAAUUUCCAAUUUUCACAAUUAUUUAUCUAAUCAUUAUUAUUUUUGUUAUUACUAUUAUUCCGUUUAUUUAUUUAUUCACCUAUUCAUUUAUUUAAAAUUCCAUCUCUAAAUAAUUUUUCAAAUUUCCAAUUUCUAAAUUCAAUUUCCAAUUUUCGCAAUUAUUUAUCUAAUCAUUAUCAUUUUCGUUAUUACUAUUAUUCUGUUUAUUUAUUUAUUGAUCUAUUCAUUUAUUUAAAAUUUCAUUUCUAAAUAAUUCUUCGAUUUUCCAAUUCCUAAAUUCACUUCCCAAUUUUCACAAUUAUUUACCUAAUCAUUAUUAUUUUCGUUAUUAUUAUUAUUCCAUUCAUUUACUUAUUCACUUAUUCAUUUAUUUAAAAUCCCCCCUCUAAAUAAUUCUUCAAAUUUCCAAUCUCUAAAUUCAAAUUCCAAUUUCCGAAAUUCCCAUCUUCAUAAUUAUUUAUCAAUCAUUAUUAUUUUCGUUAUUCUAUUCAUUUACUUAUUCACUUGUUCAUUUAUUUAAAAUUUCAUCCCUAAAUAAUUCUUUAAAUUUCCAAUCCCUAAGUUUAAUUUCCAAUUUCCGAAAUCCUAACUUCCACAAUUAUUUAUCUAAAUCAUUAUUAUUUCGUCAUUAUUGUUAUUCCAUUCAUUUAUUUAUUCACUUAUUCAUUUAUUUAAAAAUUUCGUCUUUAAAUAAUUCUUCAAAAUUCCGAUUUCCAAAUUUAGUUCUCUGAAAUUCCAAUUUCCAAACUUAAUUUUCAGUUUCCAAUAUUCCAAUUCUCGCAUUUAUUCCAUUACUUAUUUAUUAUUAUCAUUAUUAUUAUCAUUUUAUUCAUUUAUUUCUAAAAAAUUCUGCCUUCAAAUGAUUUCCAAGAUUUCCAAUUUUUAUAAUUCAAUUUUCAUAGUUUCUACUUCUCAAAUAAUUUUCAAUUCUGAUUUCUUUCAAAAUUUAAUUUCCAGAGUCCCAAUUUUCGUAAUUUAAUUUUUUUUAAAUCCCAAACUCUCAAAUAAUUUUCAAAAUUCCAAUUUCUUUCAAAUUUAAUUUCUAAAAUUCUCAUUCUUACAUUUAAUUUCUAAAAAAAAAAAAUCAAAUAAUCUCUAAAACUCCAAUUUUCAAAUAAUCUCUAAGUCUCCAAUUUUCAAAUAAAUUUCAAAAAUCCAGUUUUCCCUCGAAUAGUUUUAAUUUCUAUUUGGUGAUGCAUGUGAUAUGUUUUGUGCUCUUUAUUGUACACUAACCCCAUUUUUAUGAUAGCGCAUUGCUCGUUCGUGGCCUAGGUACGCAUCCACUCUCAUUCUAAUCAUUCUCUAUGCAUGUUUUGAUUCCCAUAUGUGCAUAAUAGAUUUGAGUAUCCAUUGAUUUUCCUAUUGAUUGCCACGUCAGCUUCGUUUGAUGAGUAGAGACCCAACUUUAGGGACUUAGAGUGGUACUACGGUCUUUACCGUACCUUCCCGAUAAGUAACCUGACCCCUAAGCCCGAUUCGGUUUUUCACAAACCACAUUUUCUAAAAUAAGGAGUCACACUUAGAGUUUUUUUUUCUUAUUUUGUUUACCCUUUUAAAAAUAAAACAAAUAUAAGUGGCGACUCUAAGUCAUUUUUUUUUAAUAAAUAAAAUCAUUUUCAAAUAAAAAUCGAGUUCGUCAUCGAGUGGAAAACGCAUGAGCCAAAAUGCGGGGUCCACAUUGUCAUCACAUAUUUUUUAAAUAAACUUUUAGAAUUUAAAUUUCAAAAAUAAUAUAUUUUAUAUAAACUCUUAUGCUUUCAAAAUGAAAUUUCAAAAUGAUUUAAUUUUUUUAUGAGCCAAUAAAUACUGUUGGAUGCACUAGAGGAAUAUGACAUGGAACUCCUAGGAGCCAUAUCAGAGGAAGGUGGCAUAAGUAGGAAUCGAAUAGCAGGCGCCGAAAAGCGCUUUGCAGCGAUCUACUCUGGGAGGCAAAAUCGUCCAAUAGGAAAUCGAAAUCUGUCUUGUCCAGACAGUGACUGCCCAGAGCUCAACAGCAGAGGGCUUCAGCACUUGUCUUGAAACUGGGUUUGCCUGUCAUGCUGCCGUGUUCAAUCCCUAGAAACUCCCAGUUUCUACUUCACGUUUUCCUUUCAUUCAAUCUCAGUUUUAGUAUUGCUUGUUUGAUUUCUCAGUGGAAGAUCCCUAUGGAUUAGGAGACUGUGAAUCCGGAAGACGGUUUCUAUGUCAGGUAAUCUUUUGAGAUUCAAGCUUCAUUUUUUAGCUCUCUUUUCGUUUCUUAUGUAAGGUAACAACAAAUAUGAUGGAAAAUGAAGUUGAACGUUUGAGGUUUUUCAGGCGAGGGAAAAGAGAAAAAGGGAGAAGGGGAUUCUUUUUCUCGGAGACAAAAUUUCGUAGAUUCUUUUACUAAAACAGGAAUCCUAUGUUUCAGGUUUUUGAAGUGUUUGGGAAGUGCUUCUUCAAGCAAAAAAAUUGCAAACUUUAUGAUGAAAUCAGAAACUGAGUCUUUUGAGUUUUUUCAAUUUGUUGGGGAACUGAUGAAUGAAAGAGAUGAAGAGAAGGGAAAGGGGAACAAUGCAUGGUUUCCAUGUUGGUUGAAUCUUGGGCUUUCCCUACUUGUGAGGGCUUAGGUUACUCUUGGCAUGCGUUCGAAUUGAAUCUGGGUUAUUUGGAUUGUUGAAAGAGAUCAUCGAUUUCAUUUGUAGGUCUUGUUUGUUGAAUGAAACCCAUUUUACUUCUUCUAAUCUUGAUGUGAUUAAUUGUAUUCUGGCUACUGAUACGACAUCAUUGUCUUGUCCAAUUGCAGGAAUUUGGAGGAUGAAGUCUCGCUUAGCUCCUUCAGCCCAAUUGAUGGGUAGAAAAACCAUGUUCACAGUGAUUUAGUGAUGUGUUUUAUGUCUCUAAACAUUCCAGUGAGAUGCAUCUAGUGCAAGAAAAGAAGGGAAAUUUUACCAAACUAUAAUAAAGGGAAGCACAAUGUUAGGCACCCAAUCAUCAGCAACUUUGUGACCAUGGCUUCAGACUCUUUGCUUAGAGGCUUUCUUGUGAGGGACAUGGUUGAGAAGGAUUUUAUCUGUUCUAUCACAUAAAAAUUGAUAAAUGGCAUUCAGGUUGCUUUAAGACAGAUCCAUCAACAGUGAAGUUCUUAUGGAGCAGAAGAAAAUCCAAUUUCAUACAAAUUGGCUAUGUGGGAAGUUGGGAAAUUUGAGGAUAUACGAAUUAGCCAUGUCUGUCAGUCCAAGAAAAGUCAUGCUGACCCUUUGCUUAAGCAUCUUAGGAAAUUUGAGGAUAAACAUACACAUGCAUUAGUGUGACACGCAUGUCAAUCAUUGCAACCCAACAAUUGUUCUAUUGAUAAACUUUAUUUGGGCUACAAAUCGAAUGUUAAUUCUUAAAACCCUGACAUGAGGUUUUAGCACUUAGAAUUGGAUUUGUAUUGCUUAUGAAUAAUUAGAUGAAUGGGUAUUGUUAGAAAAGUUCUUUGAUUUCUCCAAGCAGACACAGCUGGAUCCCAUGGUUAUAUGGGGAAAGAAUAUCAUUGUCUGGGGAGCAAUAAAAUAUUUAGCAAAGAAGCAUAUGAAGAUGGGGAUCCUUAAAUUCUACGUGUAACCUUCACUUUGCUAAAAUCUAAUUUUUAGAAAAGUUCUUUGAUUUCUCAAUUUGGUAGAAUCUGUGACUUCUUAGAUGUUCUUGUAAUAUACUACUAAAAUCUAAUUUUUAAAGUAAUCUUAUAUUUGAAAUGGUAUUGGACUUUUUCACCACUUUAAUUAUUUAUGACAAAGAAAAUUACUUUUGUGAAAGGCAUUAUGUUGUUGAAUACCAAGGGAUUAAAACUUAGAGAGGAAUAUUGCAAUAACUUAGGAAGGAAGGUUUACUUGAAUCCAACAUUUCAAUGUGAAAGGUUAUAGGUGUUGUUAACUUUUGGGUUAGUUUGGGUUCAUGCACAUUUCCUAUAAAGAUCUACAUUUCUUGAAUAGGUAGAGGAAAUUUCUUAUCCAACUCCCAAGGAAUAACAACGUCAAUGACCUAAAUAUUAAUAAGGGAUUUCUCAUAUUCAUAAUUGUGAUAUCUUGUUAUAUAAAUAUUAUGAAAAAACAAUUAAAAGAAUUACAUGGAUUGUAGUGGUCUUAGCUAAAAGUUAAAUGGUUCAAAAAUUCUAUCGAAACUAAUAAAAUAAGGGUUUCUUAAUGAUGCUUUUGGGAAAAAAUUGAAAGAGGAGGGAAAACGUAAUCAUAUAGAAAUACAUGAUGGCUCUGUUUGGUUCCCGGAAAAUGCUAAGGAAAGGAAAAAAAAUGUAAAGGAAAAUAGUUUUCUUUAGUUUGGAUGACAUGGAAAAUAAGAUUGAAAAAAAAUAUAAAGGAAAGUAUGAAAGAAAAUAUUGUAAUAUUUUCCCCAUUAUUUUCCUUAAAAAAUAAUAAGGAAAAUAAGGAGAAAAGAGAAGGGCAAAGGGGGGGGGAAAUUUUAUCGGGGGAUCUAUUGUGCCCAUUAUUUUUAUCAAUUCUGCUCAGCCUCCUCUCCUUUAGGACUUCAAAGCACCUUGUUACUGUUAAAGGCCAGAAAGAAUUUUAUACAAUCCAGCAAUUUUUUUUAUUUAUUAUUUUUAAGAAAAAACCAAGGCAAUUUUUGGAAAUUAUUUUUGAAAACAAUUUUUGAAACUUGAAUUAUUCUUAACCAGUUUUUUUAAAAUCUUUUUUACUAUACUUUAAAUAUAAUUUUUAUAUGUAAUAUUUUACCUUUUUCUAUUAUUUAUCAUUAUUUUUAAGGUAAUUUUUUUAAAAAUAAGUGAAAGUAAUUCAAAUAUAUUAUUUAAAAAUAUCAUAUUUUGUGAUUUUAAGAAAAUUAUUUCAUGUUUUUAAAAAUAUAAAAUUAUUUUCUAUUUUCUAAUUAUUAACUUAUUUUUUUGAUCUUUUAUUUUAAAAAACAAGAAACUGUUUUAAAAAAUAAUUUAUAAACAUAAUUCAAAACUAUAUCUAUCAUUAUUUCAUAAUAUUGAAUAAAAAUAAAAAUAAAUAACACUUAGCUAAAAAAUGAUGAAAUUUAGAUAUAAAGUAAUAAAAUACAAAAUUAUGAAAACCGACUACACACAUUAGACUUAAUAAUUGGUGGGGUAUUAUGUGUUCUUGGAACUCACCGAAAAAGUAUCAUUUUGGUGCUCUACUAGGACCCUUCUUUUCAACAAAGGUGCAUCAAAUUAACCCUUGUUUUUUCUUUUCUUUUUUUAAUAUAUAUAUAUAUAUAUAUUGUGCAUGUAGCAUGCAGCAUAUAAUAAUCCUUUCUCCAUGUAAAAAUAUAUGAACAUAUUUUAUUUUUAAAUUUUGAUUUCUAAAAUCCUUUUGAAUUUUUUAAGAGCUUUUUAUUAGCUAUAAAUGUUCCCUUGAAAAUAAAAAAUAGUUAUUUACUCAUAUAUUUUAUUUGUAUUACAUGAGGAAAAUUUUAUACAUAAAUCUUAUAAUUAUUAAUAAAAAAAAAAUAGCAAAGACAUUUUAUGAGCAAUGUUUUAUGUCGAAAAAUUCAUAUUUUUCAACAGUUUUUUUAUUGGAUUAAUUUAUUUUAUUAUUCAACAAAUUGAUAACCAUUUAAGACAAAUUGUUAAUUUUAUUUUCCUUCCAUUUUUCCUUAUAUUUUUUUUUUUGUGGUUAACCAAACAAAAGAAAAUGAAUUCUUUUUUUUUUUCCCUUAAAUUUUCCAUGGAUAAUCAAACAAGUGAAAAAAAUUAUAUUCAUUUCCUUUCCUUUUUCUUUCCUUCAAUUUUUCCUCCCAAUUUUCUUUCUCUAGCAUUUUCCGGGAACCAAACAGAGCCGAUAUUUUUUAUAUCUAGAUAAAUAAAUAUGUGCAUGCAUGUAGAUACAUAUAUAUUUUUACCUAUUAAAUUAACGAAGUAUAAUAAAAAUUAAUCAGUAUGACAAAGAACAGGAACAAAUGAAUCCUAAUCAUAUAAGAAAAAAUCAAAAAAAUAAAUAAACGAACAAAACAAGUUUUAUUAAGGAGCAUGAUAUAUAUAUAUAUAUAUUAAAUCAAAUCUUCCAAGUUUAAGCUUUUACGAAAAUUGAUUGUUCAAUAAGUUUAUAUUAAAAGUAAAAGGUAAAAACAAAAACAAAGAUAAUAACAUUAGGAAAAUAAUUGUAAAAUAAUAAAAGUCUUUGUUGAAAAAAAUUGCUAAACAUUAAGAUAUAGAAAAUGUGACAUAGGUACAAAGAAUGUGACCUAGUUACUAAGAUACAAAAAAGGUGACCUAGGUAUUGAGUUACGAAUAAUGUGAUUUAAAUACAAAAAAUUAAAAAGAAUUUUUUUAAAAAAUGACCUAGGUACUAGGGUACAAAAUGUUACUUAUGUAUUGAGGUACGAAAAAUAUGACCUAAAUAUUAAGGUACAAAAUUUAGGAAAAUCUUAUGAAAAUUUUGUGAAAAUCUCUUUUUCCUAUAGCUAUGAUCUUAUCUUUUUUUUUUUUAUUAGUAGGAAUUUUUAUUUAACUAAUUAUUUUUUAAUAAAAAAUAAUUUUAAUUGAGGGACUUAAUUAGAUAUAAAUAGUAAGAAGUAUAGUCCUAUAGACUUACACUUCAAAGGACUAGGAUUUAAAAAAUGUUGAUUUAAAAACUGACAACAACUUUUCUCUUUGUUCUUGUUUGUUANNNNNNNNNNNNNNNNNNNNNNNNNNNNNNNNNNNNNNNNNNNNNNNNNNNNNNNNNNNNNNNNNNNNNNNNNNNNNNNNNNNNNNNNNNNNNNNNNNNNGUUUACAUUUUUUUUGUUUGUUUUAAAUCAAAAAAAUGUAAACUAUUACAAAUUUUAUUCUCCUUUGGAAAAAAUCAAAUCGUAACAAACAAGAACAAAGAGAAAAGUUGUUGUUGCUACUUGCUACUGACAAAAAAAAAAAAAAAAUUGCAUUUGCAUGUUGUAGACUCCUCGGUGCGAUAGAGGGGUUCUUUUUUAUUUUUAUUAUUAUUUUUCUGACCACCCCGGAUUAAGCUGCAUGGGGCGGCUAGAUGGGACGGGGUGAGCUGGUUGUGGCGGCCAGAGGGGACGGAAAGACAACGGGAGUAGAUGCGAUUUAGAGAGGGAGAUAUUUUUUUUUGGGCAGGAGACGAGGAUAAGCUAGCAGGAUGAGGAGAGUUGUGGGUAGGAGAGAGAGGAAAUUAGUAGAGAGUAGAAGCGAGGAGCCUGAGGAGAUUUUACCAGAGGGGAGAGCUUUUACAGAGAAAACGAGGAACAGAGGAGAGCUUGCUGGAAGCCAAGCCACUUUUGCUCGAGGGGAAUCACUCAGGCAACAACCAGUAUCACCAAUCUAAAAUCACUUUUGUUUUCUAAUUGAAGGGAAUGUGCUCCAGGAGGUGAUGGAGCUAUCAGAAACAUGGAGAACUAGUUGAGUUAUAUCUUGAGGCUUUUAGCGGAAGCUAGCUACCUCAUAGCUUAAGAUUUUGGAUUAAAAUGGUAGUUUAAUUUUGGGAUUAAAGCGUUCAUGUGUGAUAGGAUGCUACAUGUGAAAAAAUGUUAGGAUAUUAGCCUAAUUGUUGGUUGGCUUGAUAUAUACAUUGUUUGUUGAUUAUAGGCUUUUAGGUUAGAAUGGUAGUUUUAACAUUAAAAUUUAAUUUUCAAUCAUGAUACAUUUUCACUGUAUAGUUGUUUAUGCUUCCUAGCUAACUGUGCUUAUAUUAGAAGUGAUUUCAAGGCUUUUGGUGUUUGGUAUUUGUUGUUUGUCAAAGACAUGGUUGUGAUUAGUUGGGUUGUAGGUAAGUUACAUGUUAAGGAGGUGUCUGCACCUCAAUAUUAAAAGGUUUCAGAAAUGCACUACAAUGAAAAAGACCAAGCAGAACAGAGAGCAAGGUUGAGAAAGAGCAUGGUUUCCUAUUAUUUCUUACUUAGUAGAUAUAUGAUUUUGGAUAAAGCAAAAUGGGUUUGGAUACUUUUAUUUUGAGUUGAGGGGGCUUGAGCCCUUAUUUAUGAUUUUAACCUUUUUGGAUAUCUCAUGGUACUUAAUUAAACAUUUUGUUUCACAUGUGGAGCCUUGAGAGCUGGAACUGAAAAAUGUUGUGUGAACUCCCUAUUUUCAUGGUCUGGAAGUUUAUAAUGAUUGACAGGCUCCUCUCUUUCUUAAAUUUUACCGACACUUUCUAUAAGGAGUGUAGGGUCCUAUUUUUUUUCCACUUUGGCUCUUCUAAUAUGCAUCCUUGUGUACAAUGUUGCACCGCUUUUGUUUGGCGCAUGUGAAUAUAAAUAUGUAUUUGUUUGUAUGUAUAAUCAAAGUGCACAUUAUAUUGUCCUUUAAAAAAACUUUGUGGUGCCCUUUUUUUUUCAUUUGUUUAUUCCUUAAAAGGACAUGCUGUACACGUUUGGCCAUGCUAAGACCAUUUCUUCUUUUUAUUAUUUUCUUAGUUCUCUCCAACUUUUAAUGUCAAAGACUUCAUUUUCAAAAUUUUAAUUGUAAACUCCAGUUUUAAUUUGAUUUCUCAAAGCUCCAAAUUUAAUUUAAUUUUUCAAAAACUCCCAUUUUUAAAAAUUCAGUUUUCAAAACGUUGACUUCAUAAAAUUUAAUUAUUUUCAAAUUUUAUUUUUAAAAAUUCCAUCUUUAAAUAAUUCUUCAAAAUUCUGAUUUUUAAAUUUAAUUUCCAAAAUUCUAAUUUUCAUAUUUAUUUAUUUAAUUAUUAUUAUUUUCGUUAUUAUUAUUAUUAUUAUUAUUAUUAUUAUUAUUUUAUUUGUUUAUUUAUUUUUAAAAUUUUCAUCUUUAAAUAAUUCUUCAAGAUUUCGAUUUCUAAUUUUCAAAAUUCUAAUCAUCCUUAAGGAUUCAGAGUAUUUAAUAUUAGAUUGACACUUUUUAUAAUAAUAAUCCAACGGCUCAUCAUUAUCAUUUCAUGUCUUUUCAUAUUAAAGUUUAACAAAGAGUUCAUUGACUACUAUCAAUAAUAUUGAAGAUUUUUAUUAAUAAAAAUAAAAAUAAAUUAAAUUAAAAUUAAAAAAUAGUUAUUGCUAAAAAAUUUAUUUUUUAAUAAUAAAAUAUAAAAAUAAAGUAGAAUUGAAAAAAAAUACUAAAGUAUUAAUAUGCCCAAAUACACUUUAAUAAUUAAAAAAAAUAGAAAAAUUACCUAAAAUUAUUUUAUUAUAUCUUUUUUUAUUACAAAUGAAAUGAGAAAAUAUUGGAUUAUUUUUUCUUUUUUAUAAUUUUUGAAAUUGAAAUAACAUACAUUAUAUUACAUUAAUUAUUUCUUUGAAAAUUAUGAAAAGUUCAAAUAAAGUUGUUUUAGUCUUUAUAAAAAAUAAUAGUAAUUAAUCUUUUUCUAUAAAACGAAAUAUAUUUUAAUCUUUCCAAAUAAAAAAAGUGAAAAAAUAAUUAUAAUUUUUUCAAAUAAUUUAUCUCAUUAUACCUUAUCCCAAUUUUUCUCAAGGAAUAUUUACUUUUGAAUUGCUACUCUCUUUCUUCUAUUACAUCAUAUAUAUAUAUAUAUAUAUAUAUAUAUAUAUAUAUAUAUAUAUAUAUAUGUGGAGAUAAAUAAUUGAAAAACAAAAUCAUUAGAACCAUCAUAACAACUUCCACAAAAAAUUUGAAGUGUUAUUCCAUGCGUGUUAAGCUCAUGAAAUUCAUGCUCACUUUAAUUGAAAAUUCUAUUCAAUUCAGCAUUUCCUCAUACUGAUAAUGUUUUUUUUCCCCUCUUCUUUGUAAUCUUAAUUUUAUUUUGUGAUCUUAAAAAUUAUCUAUUACUCGAAAAGAAAGUCACAAUUAGUUUCUCCUAUUGAUCUCCUUCUUCUGAUAAGCAUAAUACUUUCAUAUUCCUAUUGUGUUAGCAUGGAAUUAAUAUAUUGGUUUUCUAGCUACCCAUUUGUUAGAUAUCAUACUAUUUUUUUUCCUUUUUUUUUUCUUUACAAAAAAAAAAAUUGUCAUAAUGAAUGAAAUUAUUAACAAAUUUUCAUAAAAACCCGAGAAGCCUAACUUUUUACUAUGGCUAAGAGAAAAAAAAAAUGUUAAAAAAAAUUAUUUCCUUAUAUUUGAAUAACAUAGAAAAUAGUAUAGAAAGAAAAUUACGCCCCUUCCUCUUCCUCAAGUGGGGAAAGUUUUGUUUCCCUUUUUGCUUUUUUUUUUUUCAAUUAGCAUUAUACUUCACAAACUGAAAAAGUACUUAAAUUAGUAAAUUGAGUGAUUUUUUUUCCUUUUUUUUUAGUGGGGGGUAGGGGUUCACAUUUGAUUAGCCACUAGUUCAAUCAUAGUGGAGAAUCUAAGUAUUGCUAAUUUACUUCACAUUUUUAUUUUUAUUUUUUACAACUUAUUUUAACUUAGCAUAUACACUUUGUAAUUGACAGAUAUGAGACAAGACUUAUCAAGGAAAUUAUUGAUGUCAUCCUCAAAGAAUUGAACUCCAAGCUCUUACUACAUGUUAGCAAGAACAUAGUUGGAAUGAAUUUUCAUUUGGAAGAAUUGAAAUCAUUGAUAAAAAUUGAGUCAAAUGAUGUUCGCAUGAUUGGGAUUUAUGGGCUUGGUGGAAUUGGUAAGACCACAAUUGCCAAAGUUGUAUAUAAUAAUAUCUCACAUCAAUUUGAGAGUAGAAUCUUUCUUGAAAAUGUUAGAGAAAGAUCCAAAGACUACUCAAGUCGACUUAAAUUACAACAAGAACUUCUUAAUGGUGUCAUGAAGAGAAAAAAUAAAAAAAUAAGUAAUGUUCAUGAAGGGAUUAAUGUGAUAAGAAACAGGUCUCACUCUAAAAAGGUUCUUCUUAUUCUUGAUGAUGUAGACAAUUUGGAGCAAUUAGAAUUCUUAGCUGGAGGGCAUAGUUGGUUUGGUCCUGGAAGUAGAAUCAUCAUAACCUCUAGAGAUCAACAUUGUCUAAAUGUGCAUGGAGUCGAUGCAUCAUAUAAAGUUGAGGCACUAAAUUACAAGGCGUCUAUUCAACUUUUAUGUCAACAUGCUUUUAAACAAAACAUUCCUCAAAGUGACUAUGUAGACCUCUCAAAUCAUGUAGUAAAUUAUGUGAAAGGCCUACCAUUAGCUCUUGAAGUUUUGGGUUCUUUUCUUUUUGGUAAAAGUGUGCCUGAGUGGGAAAAUGCAUUACAAAAACUAAAGGAAAAUCCCAACAUAAAAGUCCAAAAUGUACUUAAGAUAAGCUUUGAUGGAUUGGACAAGAAAGAGCAAGAAAUAUUCCUUGACAUUGUGUGUUGCUUCAAGGGAUGGAACAAAAAUGAUGUAACAAGACUAGUAAAGCAUGCAGAGAUUGGAAUAAGAGUUCUUAGUGACAAGUGCCUCAUAACUCUUUGUGGUAAUACCAUAACGAUGCAUGAUUUGGUAGAAGAAAUGGGUAGAGAAAUUGUUCGACAUAAACAUCCUGAAGAGCCUGGGAAAUGGAGCAGAUUGUGGGAUCCUAAGGAUAUUUCCCUUGUAUUGAGAAAAAAAAUGGUAUGGAUCAAAUGCAUUAACUUACUUGAUAUAUAGUGUCAUUAUUUUUGUUUAAGAAAUUAUAUAUCUUUAUAGUUUUUCUAAGGUUUUAUAUGUUUCAUUCUUUAUUUAUUUUCAUGUACUUUUAAUUUUUAGGGAACGAAAGCAGUUGAAGCGAUAUUUCUAGACAUGUGUACAUCAAGAGAGAUCUCAUUUACUACUGAAGCUUUCAAAAGGAUGGGGAGACUUAGAUUAUUCAAAAUUUAUUGGAGUUGUGGUUUUCUUAAUUAUAUGGGAAAACGGUGUCAAAAGCUCCUCCUUUCUGAAGACUUUGAAUUUCCUUCAGAUUAUUUAAGAUAUCUUCAUUGGGAAGGAUACUCUUUGAAAUCCUUGCCUUCAAAUUUUGAUGGAGAGAACCUCAUUGAACUCAACUUGCAGCAUAGCAAUAUAGAACACCUUUGGCAAGGGAAAAAGGUAGUAUUAAACUCAGUUAUAUUGUGUCUUCCCUUAGAUUAAUUUUGAAGUUCAUGAGAAUUUAUUUGCUAAAAUGAAAUAAUUAAUUUCUUUUGUUGCAGUAUCUAGAAGAGUUAAAGAUCUUGAAUUUAUCAGGAUCUCAGCAGCUCAAUGAAAUCCCACACUUGUCAAAUAUGCCAAAUUUGGAGCAACUAGAUGUUGAAGGUUGUAGAAGUUUGGAUAAUGUUGACUCAUCUAUUGGUUUCUUGAAGAAGCUUACUUUGUUGAAUUUGGGAAGGUGCCAAAAGAUUAGGAGCUUGCCAAGUACAAUUCAAAACUUGGUCUCUCUUAAAAGUCUUUAUAUAGAUGAAACUGUUAUUGAAAAAUUACCAUCCUCAAUAUAUCAUCUCACCUCACUUCAGUUGCUAUCUAUUAAUGAAUGCAAAAACUUGAGGAGUCUUUCGAGCAGCAUUUGUAGGUUGAAAUACCUUGAAAAACUUUAUCUCUCUGAUAUUUCAAACUUUAAGACUUUUCCGGAAAUCAUGGAGGUUAUGGAAUGCUUAAAGGCACUUGAUUUAAGUGGAACGUGUAUAAAAGAGCUUCCAUCAUCAAUUGAGUUUUUAAAACAACUCGUUGAUUUGCGGUUAGUGAACUGUGAAAACUUGAGGAGUCUUCCGAGCAGCAUUUGUAGGUUGAAAUACCUUCAAGAACUUGAUCUCUCUUAUUGUUCAAACUUUGAGACUUUUCCGGAAAUCAUGGAGGUUAUGGAAUGCUUAGAGUCGCUUCAUUUAAAUGGAACGUGUAUAAAAGAGCUUCCAUCAUCAAUUGAGUUUCUAAAACAUCUCGCUUAUUUGUGGUUAGUGAAGUGUGAAAACUUGAGGAGUCUUCCAAGCAGCAUUUGUAGAUUGAAAUACCUUGAACAACUUGAUCUCUCUGAUUGUUCAAACUUUGAGACUUUUCCGGAAAUCAUGGAGGAUAUGGAAUGCUUAAAGUGGCUUGAUUUAAGUGGAACGUGUAUAAAAGAGCUUCCAUCAUCAAUUGAGUUUCUAAAACAUCUCGCUGAUUUGCAGUUAGUGAAGUGUGAAAACUUGAGGAGUCUUCCGAGCAGCAUUUAUAGGUUGAAAUACCUUGAAAAACUUAAUCUCUCUGGUUGUUCAAACUUGGAGACUUUUCCGGAAAUCAUGGAGGAUAUGGAAUGCUUAAAGUGGCUUGAUUUAAGUGGAACGUGUAUAAAAGAGCUUCCAUCAUCAAUUGAGUUUCUAAAACAUCUCGCUUCUUUGCGGUAGUGAAGUGUGAAAACUUGAGGAGUCUUCCGAGCAGCAUUUGUAGGUUGAAAUACCUUGAAGAACUUAAUCUCUCUGGUUGUUCAAACUUGGAGACUUUUCCGGAAAUCAUGGAGGUUAUGGAAUGCUUGAAGUCCCUUAAUUUAAGUGGAACGUGUAUAAAAGAGCUUCCGUCAUCAAUUGGAUAUUUAAAUCAUCUUAUUUAUUUGCAUUUGAGCCACUGCAAAAACUUGAGGAGUCUUCCAGGUAGCAUUUGUUGGUUGAAAUUGCUUAGAAAACUCAAUCUCAAUGACUGUCCAAACCUAGUCACAGGGGACAUGGAAAAUUUAAUAAAUCUUGGUUUAUUAGAAACUCAGAAUAUGAUGGAUGGAGUAGCCCCAAGUGAUUUAUGGUGCCUAUCCUUGCUGGAAGAUUUAGAUCUAAGUCAAAACAGUAUGUGUCACAUACCUAUUGCUAUUACUCAACUAUGUAAUCUGAGACGCCUUAAUAUCAGUCAUUGCAAGAUGCUUGAAGAAAUUCCAGAGCUUCCAUCAAGUCUAAGAAAAAUAGAUGCACAUGAUUGCCCGAUCUUUGGAACUCUAUCAAAUCCAUCUACUCUUCUUUGGUCUUUUCUCCUCAAAUGGUUCAAGACAGUUGAGGUACAAUUUUUGUUUAAACUUUUUUUUUUCUCUCUUUUAAUUACAGGUACUUGUGAAUUAAUUGAUAUUUAUUUUAAUUUCCUAUUUUCUCUGCAAUUAAUAGUUCUAAUUUACUUUGUUUGUUAAGCUGACCCACCUCUGGAAAUGUUACUUUUAACUGUGCAGCCUCCUUUGAAAUGGAGAAGUAUUAAUCUAGGAGGUAAUGGAAUUCCAAGGUGGGUACUGCAUCAGGAAAUGGGAAGCCAAAUAAGAAUAGAGCUUCCUAUGAAUUGGUAUGAAGAUAACCACUUCCUUGGAUUUGGAUUUUUCUGUCUUCAUCAUCAAUCAAAAAAUAUUUCUUUAUCUUUGAAAUUUGAUGAAGGAGAAUGUGCUUACAAUAUAGUACAAAUUCCCUGUAGUAAAUGCCACAAGAUUAAUGAUAGUGAAUCAGAUCAAGUGUUGCUAGUGUACUAUCCUAAGAUUUCUUUUAGGGACGCGUUCCACUCCAAUCAAUAUAUGCACCUUCAGGCUUCAUUUUGGUCAGAUUAUUUUUUUAGGGAAUCAAAAUUCAAAAGUUGUGGGGUCCAUCUUAUAUACUGUCAAGACGAUCAACAGAACCAUAUCUCGUCGGUAGAUUUUCUUGGCACCCAAGAUGAUGAAGACAAUCAUGAGAAUUUUGGUGACAACAGAUCAACAACAAAAGCUAUGAAGAGAAGCCGUGAUGACGCAGAACAUAAUCAAGCGGAGGAACCACACCAUAAAAGAUCGAGAGAACCCAAUACCCAUCUCAAGCUUUAAACUCAAACACCAACCAGCAGGUACAUCAACAAAACUUUCUUAAUUUAUAUUUAACCAUCAUAAAAAUAAAAAUAUAUUUUAUGAUCAUUUUUAUGAAUCAUUUCAAAAUGUUAUUUAUUUAUUUAUUUUUAACUUUUUCAAGGACUCCCUGAGCCCAAACUUUAGAAUUUAAUUGAUUGUUAAAAUUUUACAUCUCUCAUUAAAAUUUAAAUUGAUGGUGUAUCCAUUUUUCCAUAAUUAGAUAAAUUACUUAAGUUUUUAAGAUUUUCAUGAUUUUAUUUGAAAAAAAGUUCCUGGAUUGUUUUUUAAUAUCUUAAUUAUUUAGAAUAAACUCAAAUAAAUUGUAUAACAUAGAGUUAUAAAUAAUUUGCUUGUUUAGAUGCAUAUUCAAUUAUAAUGCAAUUCUUUUGUUAAUAUAUAUAUUUUUUAAAAUAACUUAUUUAAAAUUACAGCUUUAUCCUUGUCAUAUUAAUGUAAUGGCAGUUUUACCCUUCUCAUUCGUCUAACUUUGUUUACUCUCCACAUUGAUUCAAGGACUCUCCUGAGACGGAUUCUGUCAUUUCUCUAUCUAGAAUUUUCCUUCAAGUCCUGGAUUUGAAGAAGAAUUUGAGCCACAUUUGCCAUGGAAGAAAAGUGGUUGCUACCGUAUAAGAUCCCCUGUUGCCGCGGGACAUAGGUAGCUGCUGCCAUAUAUGCACCAGUGGCGGGCCUUCACCGCUACAAUAACAUCACUAUAUAUAGACCAGUGCCUCCCGCUCACCCUCACUGCAAAACCCAUUCACGGUGUUGAUGCCAUUCCCAUUCCCUUCCUCUUAACAAUGAGCAGUAUUCAGACGAAAAGAAAUUUUGCAGGUAAACGUGCCUUUCCCUUUCCUUUCUUCUAACAAUGAGCAGUACCACCUUCUUUUCACUGACUGAAAGUCACCAAAACUUUUUUGGUUUUAUUUCUCAGUGGUCAAUAAUGAAGAUUAUUGGAGUGUGGAUGAAGAGUCUUGGUAUUUUUUUGAUUCACUCAUUAUUCUUUCAACCAAAUGACUUUAUUUUUCUGAUUCACCAUAUGGUUUCAAUUUUUAGGGUUUUUUUUUUCUAGGGUAUUCUUCUCCAUCUUUUGGUUUUAUUUCUCCACGUUCUAUGAUUAUGUUGGGAUCCCAUAUCUUUUUUGGUUUGAUUCCUUUGGGUUUUCUUUUGAUGGAUUUCUCAUCAUUCCUUCUUUCUAAGACAAGACAAAUAUAAUUCGUACCUGGUAAGAUAAUGUUUAUUAGAUCUUCAGAAUGAGAAAUUUUUUAUGGAGAGAAAUUAAAUGAUGCCAUCCAUCAUCACUUGUCCCUAGUAGAACUACAGGUGAUUUGUAUGUUGUUUGGGUAAUUGGUGAAGUUUCAGAUUGCCUUGGGCUACUUGAGUUGCAUGCCAAUUGGGGGAAAUCUUUGAUGGAGAGAUUUUUUAUUGCAGUAUGCUUCCUUGAGACCAAAACUAUGGGGAGAUUUUAGUAUUUGGGGUUAGAUGCGGGGUGAUUUAUUUGAGUCUAUGUCCAUGAAUAAAAAAUUGUAUAGAAUUUAAAACAAUUAAAUUAGAAGAAAAUAAAGUAGUUUUAAAAAAAAAAUAUCUAAUAUCAUUUACAAAAAAGAAUAAAAUGUUCUUUUAUUCACUCAAAUCCAAUAAUCAACAUCAAGUAGCUUUAGUUGGUGUAAGGUUCCAGUAUAAAUCAGUGAACAAAAAGAGUAUUUUUCAUGUCUAGUAAUAGCAUAUCUCUAUCAUGUUACAAGAUCUGCAGUGGUGAGAUCUUUUAUUAAUGUCCACUUCCUAAUCACAUCACCUAAAAUGGUAAGGAUAUUUUUCUGGAAGAACAUGGACAUUUGGGUGUGAAAAAAAAAUAAAAAAUGUUGUAAUCACUUAGUGACAUCAGGCUUUGCUCCAUGCCUCAAUAUGAAGUGGCUUAAUUUGGUGAGUGGUGAUUGGAUAUCAUUGGUAGGAAAGGUCAGUGGUAAUUCAAAGCCCAAUUCUGAUCAGUUUACUCUCUAUUGUUCACAAUUUUCCCCCAUUUCAUAGGUUAGACUUGAGCCACUCUCACCCAAAAGGGAAAACAGGGGGCUCUUCCUGAUGGUAAGACCAUUGGUGCGAAGUGGGUUUGAAUAUUAUACAUCGUAAUCUUUAGGUACAAAACCAAAUUGGUGGGUAAAUACUAAAUAGACACUAAAAAGGGUAAUUGAAAUUUUCUUUGGUGUUCAAAAAUUGUGUUUCAUUUACUAAUGGUCACACAGGCCAAAAUUGUGGGGAGAUUUUAGAGAAAAACACCAGUGAUAUUAGUAUAUGUUUCUCCCUUCCAAUAACCAGCUAGCACACGUUUCUCUGGGUGAUUUUUCUUUGCCCUCUUCCUUCCUGAAAUUUUCAUAACUUUUUUAGGGACUGUUUGUUGUCCAUUUCUCCCAUCAUGAAUGUAAAAUUGGCUUUCUCCUAUCUUGAAACACUAGUGAUAUUUGGCUUUCUUCAUUCCAUUUUUCUGUUCUCAUCCAACCUAUUCUCAAGAGAUUUUCCCAACAUUUUUCAAUCUUAGAAUAUAAAAUUAUAUGAAAUACGUUUAUAUUGUAAUGUCAAUGCUAGUGUGUAUGCUACACUUUGGCCUUGAAAAGGGGGCAAAAGAAAAAGUUUGGCAAAUUUUAUAAGGUUGAUGCAUCUCAGUUUCAUAUUCCAAGCCUUUUAGUUUUCAGACUAUGGAUGCUUUCAUCACUAAUCAUGUUUCAGUUUGUUCAACAGCUUGAGAUCCCUUCUGGACAUAUAUACAGAAGAUCUUUCACCUGGACAUAUAUACAAAGGACUACUAGUUCUUAUUAGUCUCAAGUCAUUGAUUGAUCUGUAAGUCUUUCAAUCUUUAACUUCUCAUAGUUCUACAUUUUGGACACCAGAUAGAAGUGAAGUUAUUCCACUUUGAUUCUUCUGCAGUAGCAUUUGAAAAUAUGUCAUGUUAUGUAAUUGCUUUUGUUGUUCACAAUAUAUAUAAAGAUGAGAUUAGUGCUUCUAAAAGCUAUUCACUACAAGGCUCUGUUCUGCAAUGAGUAUGACUAGUCUACAUGAUGAUCUAACAUCAUGUAUUAAAAUAGGUUUUGAUGACCAGUUUUUAACAUUUGCCAGUUUGGAUCUAUUUUGACAAGUUAUAAAACUUGUCUACAUGACAUAUCUUAUAAAAUAGGUUCAACAAGAUAUGAUUAUGAAAAUAGUAUUACCAAAAUAGAGAUAAAAUUUAAGGAUGUUUUUAAUGUUUACUUAUUUUUAUGUUUAUGAAGUUUAUUUGUAAAAACGUUUGUAAUUAGAUUUUAAAUUGAUAGGGAUUAAUAAAAAAUUUGCUUGUGCUGUUAUUGUUGGAAAUUUUGGAAGAUUUUGGAUCAAAUCUGGUCAGAUCUUGCUUUAUGGGGUGUGGAUUUUAGUAGGUCAUGUUUGUAUACAAAGCUCCUCUUCUUUGCAUCUUGUAGAAUAGAACAGAGUCCUAGUUUCUAUAAUGAAAAGACAUGUCCUUUCUUUAUUUUUUUUGUAGAUAAAUACAUUGUGGCAGCAACAUAAGUUAGUAUACUUUGUUCUUCUGGCUGGGUAGUUCUCCUUUAAGUUUGAAAAAGAUAAUCAAAUAUUUUGUUUAGUUCUUUGUUUUGAUUUGUCUGUCGUCAGUCUAUUUAUGCAUCCUCCUUGUGCAGAUUUUUUUGGAGGUACAACUUGAUGGAUAUUGGCCUGCAGAAUUUGGCAUGGAUUCAACUGGAAAUGAAUUGGCUUUGGUAUCAAUGGAACAUCCAAGAUCCUCUGUAUCAAUUACAGGAGGCCCAACCCUGAUAAAUGGUCAUUCAACAGUUCAUAAAUUUUUGUGUUGUGACACAGUGGCUUAUUAAUCACCCCAAGUUUCAGAAAAAUCCACUUUACAUCAGUGGUGACUCGUAGUCAGGCAUAAUCAUCCCCAUGGUGGUUCAGGAAAUAUAUAUCCAAUGGUAUGUUUAUCAUGAAUUCUCUACAUGGCUGAGAAAAGAAGAAUAUUUUCAUUAGUUAUAUAAAAACACUAUUUAACCUAAGAUUUUGCAUUUCUUAAGUUCAGUUUUCUUUUUGUUUUGAACACCCAUACAGAGUUUUAAGAUUGACUAAUCAAUUCAACUCUUGGAGGAACUAAUAAUACAUGUAAAUGGAGAUGAAAAGAAAGUCAUGAUGGUUCAGGAUUGGGCUCCAUCUGAGCCCAUGCUUUCAUUUUUCCUUUAGGAUUCCAAAAAGACUAUAUAUAUGUGUCUAAUAAUGUGCCUAAUCGUCCAAUUGAAAUUUCAUUUCUCCUUAUUUUUUGGUUGCAGGUAAUGAUACAGGGAAAGAGCCAAAAAUGAAUAUUUAAGUAUGUAAUCUAAUUAUAUGAUUCCAGUGACUUGCACCUUAUGGUUUUAACUUUUGUACAUCACAUUUGAAUCCAUUUGAUCUUCUUUUAAUUGGACUCAGGGAUACACCAUUGGAAACCCAAUAACAGAUCACUUUAGUGACUUCAAUUCAAGAAUUGCGUACAUUCAUCAAGUAGGAAUUCUAUCAGAUGAGCUCUAUGAGGUGAUUAUUCGCCCCACCCACUCGGGUUUAAUACUUAAUCGGAUAUGAUUCCAAAAUUUGCAUUGAUUUGUUAUGCAUUUCUAGGCAACCAAAGCAGUAUCCUCCUGUGAAUACUACUAAACUAUACAAGGAUGGUUCAGGGGUUGCCACCUAAAAAGUAUUCAGAGAAUGUCAUUCAGAUUUUAGACUCAUAUGCUUGUACCAUUCUACAUAUUGAGUUGAAUUUUUGGUUUUGACUGAAUUGAAAAAUGGAGGUUUUUUUUUUUUUUUUUUUUUUUUUUUUUUUACUUGUUUUGCAAAAAUUGCAAGAAAUAAUCCUAAAAACACAAAUAUGCAAAGAUUCAGGUGGUUGAAGAUACCCCAAGUGGCAAUUGACUGAAUAAGAUAAAAUAAAGACCAAUUCAAUUAUGUGUUUAUAGAAUGUUUUAAGAGUGGGUUUUAUGUUUUCUUUGAAUCUAAAUGGCAUCAUGUUUCUUUAUUUUGACUAGUCUUUUCCUUUCCUUACUUUUACCAGAUACCAAAUGAAGUUUGAGCAUGUAGUCUUACUCAACUUGUGCUACUAAUUAGAGUAUCUGUUGGUGAUAUUUUCUUUUUCAGGCCAAUAUCUAAAAGCUAAGGUUGAUGGAGGUUUUGGCAGGGACGUGCUGGAGUUUUUGCUGAAAGGAGAUGUGGUUGCUUAUAGAACCAUGGCUACCAGAGUUUCUUGAAAUAGCCUGAAGAUUAACUGAUUGAUAGAGUUGUCGACUUGUGUUGCAGCUGCAGCAGUGUCAUUUAUACAAUUUUUCCCUAAAAUGAAGGCGCAAUACGAUUAUGGUUUGUUGAUGUUUAUAUUGACAUUCAGUUUGGUAUCUGUAAUGGGCUAUCCUCAACCAUCCUCAUUGGUAGUGCCACAGCUGUGUUUGUAUCCAUAGGCAUCUACCCAAUGUGGGCUGGUGACGAUCUUUACAAUCUGGUUGCUGGCAAUGUUGAAAAGCUUGGGAACUUCUUAGAAGGUAUGCCUAAAAUAGAAAGGUGGCAUUACACCCCAAAUGAAUGUGUAGAUUGCUCAAGAUAAACCCAAAGAGAACCAUACCUUUUACAUUUUUUUAAUCUAAUUUUGAUAACUUACAAGUAAGUGAGUUUGCAGGAUUUUCAGGGAAAUAUUUUAGAGUCUCAGGAGAUGGAGAAUCCAAGGAUAGCAAAACAAUUCUUCAAGGAUACAAAAGUAUUUUGACUUCAAAAAUCACUGAAGAUUCCUUGGUGAGUUGACAGAUUGGUCUAUUUCACUGUCAAAAUUAUCUAAAUUCAUAGACUACAUCAAGUUACAACUUGUUUAAAUUUCUCAACUUGCAGACGAAUUUUGCAAAAUGGGAGCCUGGUCAUGGUCGUUUCAGGUUUCGUCGUCCUUAGAAACAAUACCAAAAGAUUGGAUCCCUAGCUGGCCAAUGCGCCUAUCGUAUUGAAGCUCUUAGCAGUAGCUACCCUCACUCUCAUAUCCCGGUAGUAAACUCAACUCACAAACUAAAAUUCAUUGCCUUCAGAUUACUUGAUUUAACUUGGGUAACAAAAAACCAUAGCAUAAGCUGUUUUCUCAACAAACUUCAUUCUGCUAUGAUAUUCUCAUAGGCCCCCACAGAGAUCCAAAACAAAAUUCAAGAGGCUUGCACAAAGAUGAGUACGAAAUCCAGAAAAGCUUUGAAGGAAUUAGCAUCUGCAAUCAAAAGUAUGAUUAAACCAUGCUCUAUUGAUCCCCAUAUUUUAAACUCAAAAACUACUGUUGAAACCCUCAAAUCGUUGCUCGAAACUCAUUCUUGUGAAGACGUUGACCUUCUUGAGCUAAUGUCAACUGCUGUAGUAGGUUUAUGUUUGAUGGCAUUAUCCAUCAAAGUUAAUUUGAAAAUGUUUAUGUUUGAUUUUGUUUGGAAUGCAACAAAUUCCUCUAUAUUUUGAAUGCUAAGUGAGUAUUAUUAUCGUGCAAGGAGUUCAUAGAAUUUUAAUUUUUUUUUUUAAAACAUUCUUCUUUGUUAUUUGAUAAUCCAAAAAAAAAAAAAAAAAAUCAAAUGAAAACCUAUAUGUAGAAUAAGGACACAUUUAUAUUCCAAUAUACAAGGGUGAUUUAUAUUUCUUUCUUCAUUGAGCAAAACAGUGUAAUGAAAAUUUGGAUUGGCUAAUCGUGUUAAUUUUAGCGAACUGAUAAUUAUGUGGUCCAAAUUUCAGUUUUAUCUUUCUCAUUCAUAUUCAUACCGACUCUCUCAUUUCUCUCUCUAGAAUUUUCCUUCAAGUCCUGGAUUUGAAGAAGAAUUUGAGCCACAUGUUUCUUGUUUUCUUCAAAAUUUCUCAAGGAAAUUGAGAAGUGUGGAAGACGGAAAAGUAUUUGCAAUCUCAAAUUAAUGGCACAUUUCUCUUUGUUUAGCUUCUAUCUCUCUAAAAUAAUUCAUUUGGUGAGCGAUUCAAAUAUUUUUGUGAAUUUUUUUAUUUUUAUUUAUUUUUGUUUGAAUGGCAUAGGUGUUGAGGAUGAAGCAGUGAAAGUCUCAGUCAAAGAACAGAUGCACAUUACUGCAAUUCACACACUUAAACAUGAUUUCAUAUCAGGUUCUCUAUCUUUAUCUGUAGAUUAAGGCUGUAAAUUUGAUUUGCAAAAUAGUGAUGGUAGACUUUUGAAUUAUUUGGCCAUCUUUAUCAAUUUUAUGUAUUAUGCAAUUUUGAUUUUGGAAAAUAGUAAGCUUUUUUUCUUUCCUUUUUUUUUUCUUCUUGAAUUGGAAAGAAUUGUUAGAAUAUAUUGUUCUUGACUUACUGAUAGACAAAACAUACUUUAAUGGCCUAUUAGUGAUGCACAUCCUCAAUAUCAACAUAGAGUUUGGCAACAUUGUAAAGGAAAUAUCAAUGUGAGAGUACAAGUGUCUAUAUAUAAUGUCACACAGUGUCUUGAUAGUAGAAUUAGAUUGUAAAUAAAGGGUAUCAUGUGGAUAAUGUUAGUUUGAUAGAAAAAAAUGUGUUAAGUUGAUAAAAUUGCUAACUUAGAUGUGUUAGCAUAUAGAUUGAAGCAAAUUCAAUAAAAAAGACUUGAUUUAUCUGCUAAACUCAUUGAGAAUGGAUGAUUCAAAUGCAAAUAAAAUGAUGGAAAUGGACCGGUAUUAUAUUUAAUACAAUAUCAUUUACUAUAAUGAGGUUGCAUAGACUAUAGAUGGAACCUCACAAGAAUAAGAGGUUUGAUUACCAUCUUUGCUUAAAAAAUUUUGAUUUUUCUAUUUUCAUUAUUUAUAAUGUUAAAAUAGGGGUCUCCUUGCUAGUUUAAGUAGAGAUUGGAUCAUCAUACUAACAAACUUAGCUUAGAUGCUAGUGAUAGUGCCUUGGUGUCUUCUUAUUCGACUUUCUUUCUUUUUAAUGAAAAAUGAGAAUUGAUCAUUUGUGUAAUGGACUCUAUAACUAGCCAAGAUGUUAAAAGCCAAGAGAAGUAAAAUAUUGUUUAUUGAACAUUUCCUUAUUAUAUUUCACUUGUGUGGAUUCUCUUGCACAUAUUGUCUUAUGUUGUCUUUAAAUGAUUAAGUUAAAAGAGUGCGGUUGAAGAGUGAUAUUUCACCCUUUAUAAAAGACUAACCAACAUAAUAUUUUAAAAGUGAUAAGCCAAUUGGAUCUCUCAUUAUUUUAAUGUCAAAUUCAAUUCAAAAUUUCCUGUGGAUCUUUUUCUUCUGCUGAAAUUAAAAGGUUAAUACAAAAUGACUUUGAAUAUUAUAUUGUUUAGACUGUUCCAAUGUUUAGAUUUUGGUUAACUACAAUUUUAGAAUUUGAAUUUUAGUGCUUUGAAGAUUGAUAGGUAUACUAACCCAUUUAGUAUAUCCUUUUAUAGAACCAUUAUUAAUUUAUACUUUCCUUGUAAUUUGAACUGGGUUUUGUAUCUGUAGGGAACUGCACAACUAGCUCUUGAAGAUUGAUAAGCAUUGUGCUUUGUAAUGAUUGAAAAAUCAUUACCAUGAAUCAAUGAAAAUUGAAAUAGUAAGCUAUAUCAAGUUUAAAUUCAUUGAUUUCUCCAAUUUUAAUGUGUUAAUAUUAAAAAUGACAAUGGUGCACACUUAAUGUUAAUUUGUAUUUCCCUAUGGAUCAAUAUGUCCCAUUGAUCAAUGUUUGAAUGUUCUUGUAGUGCUAAACACAAGGUAGAAUUGGAGCUUUGUGCAUAAAAAAAAAUGUCAAACAGUUCCAUGAUCUUAACCUUCUUCAAAGGCUGGGAAAAAAAGCAAGCUUUGGAAUGCAUUUUGUGAGCAUAUGAAGACAUUGAACAGGUGAAUUUUUUCAUGAUGGUCAACACUAUGAUAGAUGCUCAACAAACAACUUGAGAGACAAUUUGAGUAACCUGCAUAGUGUUUUUGUGAAAACCAUGUUAGGUUUGAUUGUGCCAUUAUCUAAUGUUAUACAUAUGUUGAUUGAAGUAGUAUAUACAAGAGAGUUACCUUUCUAUCAUUAUUUGGUUCUUAACUCUGAUAACUGAGUCUAAAAUAUAUUUGAUGUGGUAAAUUUUGUGAUUCAUCACUAUGAAAAGUAUCAUAUAUGAGAAGCAUUGAUCUAACAUUACAAACUUUAAAAGUAGUACCUAGAACCACACACAUUGCAAACUAGAUAAUGUCAUCAUCAGCCCCACUUUCUUCUGGAGCCUUAUCACCAUUGAUCCAACAUCCUCACUAGGCCAUCGAUACUCUACAUGGGCUUCAUAGUCCAAAUCAGCCACAAAAUCCCUCCAUGGCUAGUAAAUUUCGCACCCACUAUUACAAACCAAUAUAUCAAAUACUUUUUAGUUUAAUUGCCAACUUCUUAACUUUUCUAUUACUUCCUGUAAAUCACAUUUUAAGGUGUAUGUUCUAGCCACGAAAACUGGUGUUCUUUAGCUCAUUUUUUGCCACUAAGGCCAUUUGUUAUUGUCAAUAAGGUGCUUUAGAAGGACACUUGCUAUGCCUUUUUGGUCAUGUGGAUCAACGAGAAUAUCACUGUUAAGUGUCUGGUAUAAUUGAGAAUUCCUUGUUAGAUAAAACAAGCAGGUUUACAGAAAAAAGAAACCAUUGAAAGUCCAAUAUAUAAAUUCUUAUGAUCAUGGGCUAGGAUUUGAACAUGCAUUAUUCCUUGGGCCUGCUAGCCCAACACCUAACCAUACUUGUAUAAAAUUUCCCUUGAUAACAUCUACAAGCCACCAUAUUUUGUAGCAUCAAUACCUUAACCAUAGUAUAAACCCAAACAUAAGCACUUACGAAGCUGUUGUUAAACGUUUCUUCAAUGUCGUCCUUAUUUCCUAAAAUAGGUGUCUGUCAAAACAAGACCAAAUCAAAAAGAAAUUUAGCUCGAACUCAAUGUUAUAGUUGUAUUCGUUUUCUGUUUGGAUCAAGAGAAAGUGCUUUGAAAUGCAAUUUUUAACCAGGUUGGUUAUUUCUUGGAGGUAUUGACACUCUCCAAAAGCCUUGAGCAGAGUGAUGACAUUAUUCCUAGGAUGAGGACAAGACAAUGCAAAUAUUUGCAUCAUGUGCAUUCCCAUUCCCUUCCUCUAACAAUGAGCAGUACUUAGAUGAAAAGAGAUUUUGCAGGUAAACAUGCCUUUCCCUUUCCCUUCUUCUAAUAAUGAGCAGUACAACCUUCUUUUUUAUUUUUUUUGAUUGGAAACGACACAGAGAUAUAUUGAUAGAAAAAAAGAAGUACAAUAAGAAGGAUGAGAAAUCCUCCCGCCAAAGAAAACUAAAUUACAGGAAAUUACACAGAAAACAAACGAACUCUCUAUAAAGGACCAUUCCUUAUGGAGUACACUCCGCUAACCAAUCAAGUUGUAACACAUUAAGGGGAGUCCCCUUAAACGCCUUGGAACAGAAAGCCCAAAGAGAAGCAAGGAAAACAAUAGAGUCCCAAAGAAACUCUGAAUUCCUUGCUUUAUCCUAAAAAAUCCUCGCGUUUCUUUCCCACCACACAACCCGAAUUAGAGCGAUGCUCGUAGCUUGCCACAAAACUAUCCCCCUCUUAGAAGUACCAAAACCAUUAAAUUUGAUGGACAUCAUGUCAAAGAUGCUCCUCGGGGGGACCCAAUCCAUCUUAACUAACCGAAAUAACCUGUGCCACAACCCAAUCGUCAAGGAACAAUGAAGAAAAAGAUGAUAUGCUGAUUCCCCAUGCUUCAUGCACAGAGUACAAAUAUCAGGACUAAGGGCUUUGUAGGGUCUUUUCACUUGUAGCAUGUCAUUAGUAUUCACCUUCUUGUGUGCCACUAACCAGACAAAGCACUUCACUUUGAAAGGAACUUGAGAAUUCCAAACGAACUUAGAAGGGAAAACCUGAGGAGAUCCAGCAAUACAAUCUUCUUUUCACUGACUGAAAGUCACCAAAAUGCUUUUGGUUUUAUUUCUCAGUGGUCAAUAAUGGAGAUAAUCGGAGUGUGGAUGAAGAGGCUUGGUAUUUUUUUGAUUCACUCAUUAUUCUUUCAACCAAAUGACUUGUAGUUUUCUGAUUCACCAAAACAUGUCAUUUUAUUUUAUUUUAUUUUUCUGAUUCACCAUAUGUUUUCAAUUGUUAGGGUUUUUUUUCUUUUUGCUAGGGUAUUUUUCUUCAUCUUUUGGUUUUAUUUCUCCACAUUCUAUGAUUAUGUUGGGAUCCCAUAUCUUUUUUGGUUUGAUUUCCUUUGGGUUUUCUUUUGAUGGAUUUCUCAUCAUUCCAUCUUUCUAAGACAAGACAAAUGUAAUUUUUACCCAGUAAAAUGAUCAGAUUUUUAGAAUGAGAAAUUUUUUUAUGGAGGGAAAUUAAAUGAUGCCAUGCAUCAUCACUUGUCCCUAGUAGAACUCAUAGUUCAAAGUCGCGGUAUCGGUCAUUGACUUGGGAGGUCUUGAGGCACAUCUGUCUCGGUAUCUCGGAUCGGUAUCGGGUGAUACGCAAAAAAUUAUAAUUUAAGAGCUUAAAAUAAUUUUAAAAAAUUAUGAAAAUUAUUUAAAAAAUUAAAUACAAAUAAGUAGAGUGAAAAAUUAAUAAAAUAAACUUCUAUUAUAUUAAAAUUAUUUAAAUUAUAAUAAAAGCAUACUUUUGGGAUGAUUUAAAAUAAUAAUAAAAAUCUCUAAAAAUAUUUUAAUUUAAUCACUUGAUAAUAAAUGUUUCUUGUUGAAGAUGAAAAUAAUAAAAAGUAAUUUUUUUUUAUAAAAAAUUGUUUAAAUUAAAUAUUUUGAAUUUAAAAAAAAUAUUUUUAACUAUUAAAAAAAUAAAACCAUGAUUUAUCUUUAAAAAAAUAAAUAUAAUUUUUCUUAUAAAAUAUAUUCAUUAAUUUUAAUUUUUAUAUAAAUAUUCAUUUCCUAUUUAUUUGAUAUAAGUCUAAUAUUCAUUAUUAAUUUUUUAUCAUUAUAAUUUUCAUCAAAUUAUUUAAAACUCAAAUUCCCACCAAAUACUCAUUAUCUACAUAAAAAACAAAUACAUAUUAUUUAAAACCUAAAUCCUCACCUAUUUAUCAAAAAAAAAAAAACCCAAAUCCACAUCUGUUAAAUACUCAUAACCACCAUUGACCGGUCAAACACCCAUUUCUCCCCACAACCAGCUCCUCCGCAGGCCCCUUUCUCUCUUCUCCCACUUCCAUCGGCCACCUCACCAUCGUUCUCCGUCGAUAACAGCGGUGCUGGAGUCCGGCGACUCUGCCUCCUCCUCAUGUCGCUCAGUUCCAUCUCCGGCAAGAACCUAGGGGAUCCGACCGGCGACUACAAGAUGCAGUCCAUCUCUGUAAUCUGUAUUUUUCAUUUUCGUGGGUUUUGAUCCUCUCAUCUUCUCCACCAUUUCUACUCCAAUAUUACCUUUUUUUCCAUUACCAAUAACCCAAAUAGCUUAGUCUCAACAUGAUCUUGGAGUAGUCUCAACGUUUCCAUGGGAUUCACUCUUUCAAUUCAACCGAGUUUGUUUGACAAAAUAUCCAACUCGGGUAUCAGUCCGGUACCGGCCAUGGUCGAGGCGGAUACGACUCGGCUGAUUCGUACCGGUAUCAACCGAGAUUUUGAACCCUGGUAGAACUACAGGUGAUUUGUAUGUUGUUUGGGUAAUUGAUGAAGUUUCAGAUUGAUGAAGUUGCAUGCCAGUUGGGGGAAAUUUUUGAUGGAGAGAUUUUUUAUUGCAGUAUGCUUCCUUGAGACCAAAACUGUGGGGAGAUUUUAGUAUUUGGGGUUGGAUGCAGGGUGAUUUAUUUGAGUCUAUGUCCAUGAAUAAAAAAUUGUAUAGAAUUUAAAACAAUUAAAUUAGAAGAAAAUAAAGUAGAGUAAAAAAUAAAUAAAAAAUAUCUAAUGUCAUUUCCAAAAAAAAAAAAAAAUGUUCUUUUAUUCACUCUAAUCCAAUAAUCAACCUCAACUAGCUUUAGUUAGUGUCAGGUUCUAGUAUAAAUCAGUGAACAAAAAGAGUAUUUUUCAUGUCUAGUAAUAGCAUAUAUCUAUCAUGUUACAAUGUCUGCAGUGGUGAGAUCUUCUAUUAAUGUCCACUCCCUAAUCACAUCACCUGAAAUGGUAAGGAUACUUUUCUAGAAGAAUAGGGGCAUUUGGGUGUGAAAAAAAUAUAUAUAUGUUGUAAUCACUUAGUGUCAUCAGGCUUUGCACCAUGCCUCAAUAUGAAGUGGCUUAAUAUGGUGAGUAGUGAUUGGAUAUCAGUGGUAAGAAAGGUUAGUGGUAAUUCAAAGCCCAAUUCUGAUCAGUUUACUCUACUGUUCACAAUUUCCCCCCAUUUCAUAGGUCAAACUUGAGCCACUCCCACCCAAAAGGGAAAACAGGGGGCUAUUCCUAAUGAUAAGACCAUUGGUGCAAAGCGGGUUUGAAUGGAGGAUAUUAUACAUGGUAAACUUUAGGUACAGAACCAAAUAGGUGGGUAGAUUGACACUAAAAAGGGUAAUUAAAAUUUUCUUCGGUGUUCAAAAAUUGUGUUUCAUUUACUAAUGGUCACACAGGCCAAAAUUGUGGGGAGAUUUUGGAGAAAAACACUAGUGAUAUUAGUUUAUGUUUCUCUCUUCCAAUAACCAGCUAGCACAUGUUUCUCUAGGUGAUUUUUCUUAGCUCUCUUCCUUACUUCCUGAAAUUUUCAUAAAUUUUUUAGAGACUGUUUGUUGUCCAUUUCUCCCAUCAUGAAUGUAAAAUUGGCUUUCUCCCAUCCUGAAACACUAGUGAUAUUUGGCUUUCUCCAUUCCAUUUUUCUGUUCUCAUCCAACCUAUUCUCAAGAGAUUUUCCCAACAUUUUUCAAUUAUAGAAUAAUAAGUUUAUAUUGUAAUGUGGAUGCUAGUGUGUAUGCUGCACUUUGGCCUUGAAAAGGAGGGAAAAAAAGAAGAAGUUUGGCAGAUAUUAUAAGGUUGAUGCAUCUCAGUUUCAUAUUCCAAGCCUUAUUGUUUUCAGACUAUGGAUGCUUUCAUCACUAAUCAUGUUUCAGUUUUCUUCAACAGCUUGAGAUCCCUUCUGGACAUAUAUACAACAGAUCUUUCACUUGGACAUAUAUACAAAGGACUCCUAGUUUCUGUUAGUCUCAAGUCAUAGAUUGAUCUGUAAGUCUUUCAAUCUUCAACUUCUCAUAGUUCUGCAUUUUGGACACCAGAUAGAAGUGAAGUUAUUCCACUUUGAUUCUUCUGCAGUAGCAUUUGAAAAUAUGUCAUGUUGUUAUGUAAUUGCUUUUGUUGUUCAAGGUAUAUAUAAAGAUGAGAUUAGUGCUUCUAAAAGCUAUUCACUACAAGGCUCUAUUCUGCAAUGAGUAUGACUAGUCUACAUGAUGAUCUAAAACCUCUUCCAAUUUUUAACAUUUGCCAGUUUGGAUCUAUUUUAACAAGUUAUAAAACUUGUCUACAUGACAUCUCUUAUAAAAUAGGUUCAACAAGAUAUAAUUAUUAAAAUAGUAUUACCAAAAUAGAGACAAAAUUUAAGGAUGAUUUUAAUGUUUUUUUAUUUUUGUCUAUGAAGUUUAUUUGUAAAAACAUUUGUAAUUAGAUUUUAAAUUGAUAGGGAUUAAUAAAAAUUUUGCUUGCCCUAUAAUUGAAAUCAACUUGGAAAUUUUGGAAGAUUUUGGAUCAAAUCUAGUCAGAUCUUGCUUUGAGGGGUGUGGAUUUUAGUAGGUCUUAUUUGUAUACAAAGCUCCUUUUCUUUGCAUCUUGUAGAAUAGAACAGAGUCCCAGUUUCAUGUGCUAGCUAUUGUUUAUAGGAAAUUGUAUACUUUCUUAGCUAACAAACAGAGAAGAAAACCAGAGGAAAGAAUAGGAGGAUUCAUUAAUGGUUUGUUUUUUCUCUUUCCAAAUUUAGUCAUGUUUUUAAUGGAUUCUGAUUGAUGGUUAUUUUUUCUUUGUUUUAUGGCAGUGACUACAAUUGAUUCUGGUAGCAAGGCUCUUGAAUUUCUGAGGCUUGAAAAUGACCCAAACACAAUGAUUGUUUCUCCAAACAGUCAUUAGGUAUGGUUUACAUGAGUGAAGGUUUGUGAAGUUUUUAUGUUGUUAUGGAUUCACGGAUGAAAAGCUGCUUUAUAAGAUAUCCAUGGUUUGGUUGCUGAAAAACUGAGGAAAAGGGAAAGUAAAUUUUGAAUUAUUUUUAUUUUUAUUUUUCCGGGUUUUUGUUCCUUAUCCAUGGAUUUCCAUAUCAAUUUUUUUUUAUGAUUAUAUUUUUUUUCUUUGAUUUCUAUAAUAAAAAGACAUGUCCUUUAAUUUUUUAUGUAGAUAAAUACAUUGUGGCAGCAACGUAAGUUCGUAUACUUUGUUCUUCUGGCUGGGUAGUUCUCCUUUAAGUUUCAAAAAGACAAUCAAAUUUUUUGUUUAGUUCUUUGUUUUGAUUUGUCUGUAGUCAAUCUAUAUAUGCAUCCUGCUUGUGCAGAUUUUUUUGGAGGUGCAACUUGAUGGAUAUUGGCCCGCAAAAUUUGGCAUGGAUUCAACCAGAAAUGAACUGGCUUUGGUAUCAAUGGAGCAUCCAAGAUCCUCUGCAUCAAUUACAGGAGGCCCAACCCUGUUAAAUGGUUAUUCAACAGUUCAUACCUCCAAUUUUUUUUGUUGUGACACAGUGGCUUAUUAAUCACCCCAAGUUUCAGAAAAAUCCACUUUACAUCAGUGGUGACUCAUAUUCAGGCAUAAUCAUCCCCAUGGUGGUUCAAGAAAUAUAUAUCCAAUGGUAUGUUAAUCAUGACUUCUCUAUAUGGCUGAGGAAAGGAGAAUAGUUUCAUGAGUUAUAUAAAAACACUAUUUAACCUAAGAUUUUGCAUUUCUUAAGUUCAAUUUUCCUUUUGUUUUGAAUACCCAAACAGUGUUUUAAGAUUGACUAAUCAAUUCAACUCUUAGAGGAACUAAUAAUGCAUGUAAAUGGAGAUGUAAAGAAGGACAUGAUGGUUCAGGAUUAGGCUCCAUCUGAGCCCAUGCUUUCAUUUUUCCUUUGGGAUUCCAAAAAGACUACAUAUAUUUCUAAUAAGGUGCCUAAUCGUCCAGUUGAAAUUUCCUUUCUUCUUAUUUUUUGGCUGCAGGUAAUGAUGCAGGGAAAGAGCCAAAAAAUGAAUAUUCAAGUAUGUAAUCUAAUUAUAUGAUUUCAGUGACUUGCGCCUUAUGGUUUUAACUUUUGUACAUCAUAUUUGAAUCCAUUUGAUCUUCUUUUAAUUGGACUCAGAGAUACACCAUUGGAAACCCAAUAACAAAUCACUUUAGUGACUUCAAUUCAAGAAUUGCAUACACUCAUCAAGUAGGAAUUCUAUCAUAUGAGCUUUAUGAGGUGAUUAUUCCCCCUACUCACUCGGGUUUAAUUCUUAAUCGAAUAUGAUUCCAAAAUUUGCAUUGAUUUGUUAUGCAUUUCUAGGCAACUAAAGCAGUAUCCUUGUGAAUACUAUUAAAUUGUACAAGGGAUGGUUCAGGGGUUGCCACCUAAGAAGCAUUCAGAGAAUGUCAUUCAGGUUUUAGACACAUGCUUGUACCAUUCUACAUAUUGAGUUGAAUUUUUGGUUUUGACUGAAUUGGAAGAUGGAUUUUUUUUUGUACUUAUUUUGCAAAAAUUGUAAAAAAUAAUCUGAAAAAAAAAAAAAAAUGCAAAGAUUCAGGUGGUUGAAGAUACCCCAAGUGGCAAUUGACUGAAUUAGAUAAAAUGAAGAUCAAUUCAACUAUGUGUUUAUAGAAUGUUUUAAGAGGCAAUUGAGUUUUAUGUUUUCUUUAAAUCUAAAUGGCAUCAUGUCUCUUUCUUUUGACUAGUCUUUUCCUUUCCUUACUUUUACCAAAUACCAAAUAGAGUUUGAGCAUGCAGUUUUACUCAACUUCUGCUACUAAUUAGAGUAUUUGUUGGUGAUAUUUUCUUUUUCAGGCCAAUAUCUAAAAGCUAAGGUUGAUGGAGGAUUUGGCAGGGACAUGCUGGAGUUUUUGUUGAAAGGACAUGUGGUUGCUUAUAGAACCAUGGUUACAAGAGUUUCUUGAAAUAGCCUGAAGAUUAUUUGAUUGAUAGAGUUGUCGACUUGUGAUGCAGUUGCGUUUGCUGAAAGAUUAUCUAAAUGGCAGUGUCGAUAUGAUUAUGGUUUGCUGAUGUUUAUAUUGACAUUCAGUUUGGUAUCUGUAACGGGCUAUCCUCAACCAUCCUCAUUAGUAGCACCACAGCUGUGUUUGUAUCCAUAGGCAUCUGCCCAAUGUGGGCUGGUGAUGAUCUUCACAAGUUGGUUGCUGGCAAUGUUGAAAAGCUUGGGAACUUCUUAGAAGGUACGCCUAAAAUAAAAAGGUGGCAUUACACCCCAAAUGAAUGUGUGGAUUGCUCGAAAUAAACCCAAAGAGCACCAUACCUUUUACAUUUUUUUAAUCUCAUUUUGAUGACUUAUAAGUAAGUGAAUUUGCAGGAUUUUCAGGGGAAUAUUUUAGAGUCUUAGGAGAUGGAGAAUCCAAGGAUAGCAAAACAUUUCUUCAAGGAUACAAAAGUAUUUUGACUUCAAAAAUCAUUGAAGAUUCCUUGGUGAGUUGAAAGAUUGAUCUAUUUCACUGUCAAAAUUUUCUAAAUUCAUAGACUACAUCAAGUUACAACUUGUUUAAAUUUCUCAAUUUGCAGACAAAUUUUGUAAGAUAGGAGCCUAGACAUGGUCGUUUCAGGUUUUGUCAUCCUUAGAAACAAUACCAAAAGAUUGGAUCCCUAGCUGGCCAAUGCACCUAUCUCAUUGAUGCUCUUAACAGCUACCUUCACUCUCAUAUCCCGGUAGUAAACUCAACUCAAACUAAAAUUCAUUGCCUUUAGAUUACUUGAUUUAACUUGGGUAAGAAAAAGCUAUGGCAUAAUCUGCUUUCUCAACUCACUUCACUCUGAUGUGGUAUCCUCACAGGCCUCCAUAGAGAUCCAAAGCAAAAUUCAAGAGUAUGACUAAACCAUGCUCUGUUGAUCCCUAUAUCGUAAACUUAAAAACUGCUGCUAAAACCCUCAAAUCGUUGCUCGAAACUCAUUCUUGUGAAGACGUUGACCUUCUUGAGCUAAUGUCAACUGCUGUAGUAGGUUUAUGUUUAAUGGCAUUAUCCAUCAAAAUUAGUCUAAAAAUGUUUAUGUUUUAUUUUGCAAAAUGUAGCAAAUUCCUCUAUUUUGAAUGCUAGGUGAGUAUUAUUAUUGUGGGAGGAGUUCAUAGAAUUUUAAUUUAAAAAAAAAAAUCAAAUUAAAUGAAAACCUAUAUGUAGAAUGAGGACAAAUUUAUAUUCCAAUAUACUAGGCUGAUUUAUAUUUCUUUCUUCAUUGAGCAAAACAGUGUAAAGAAAAUUUGGAUUGGCCAAUCGUGUUAAUUUUAGUGAAUUGAUAAUUAUGUGGUCCAAAUUGGAAACUAGGAUAUCUUAAUGUUGCUUUUAUAUAUGAUUCAUGUAUGCAAUAUGCCUAUAAUUUUCUACACAGGAGUAUUAUUGUUAAUGGGUGUGUAACUAUAGCCUGAGCUUAGGAUAGUGGAUGAAAAGAACAUGGAAGAGGAACACAAAGUUGUCUUAUCUGGUAAAGCUGGAGAAGUUGACUAUUUACACUCUCUACAUGGCCAAAUUGGGAAACCAAAGGCAAAUAUGUAUUUACCCGGUUCACUAGAUAGAUGUUUAUUGAAUCGAAGAAGGCAAAAUAGUUGGAUUCCCAGGACAAAGGUCUUAACUAGACAAAUAUUUAUCAAAUUGAUUUAGCAUUAUGCUUUGUAAUGAUUGAAAAUUGAAAGAGUAAGCUAUUUUAAGUUUAAAUUCAUUCAUUUCUCCAAUUUUAAUGUGUUCAUAUUAAAAUGUCCCACUAAUCCAUGUUGAAUGUUCUUGCAGUGCUAAACACAAGGUAGAAUUGGAGCUUUGUGCAAAAAAAAUGCCAAACACUUCCAUGAUCUUAGACUUCUUCAAAGGUUGGGAAAAAUGCAAGCUCUGGAAUGCAUUUCGUGAACAUAUGGGGACAUUGAACAGGUAAAUAUUUACAAGAUGAUCAACACUAUAAUAGAUGCUCAACAAACAUGAUAGACUUGAGAGAGAAUUUGAGUAACCAGCAUAGCAUUCUUGCGAAAACCAUGUUAGGCUUGAUAGUGCUUUUAUCUAAUGCUAUACAUAUAUUGAUUGAAAUAGUACAGACAUAGAGCUACCUUUCUAUCAUUAUUUGGUUCUUAAUUUUGUUAACUGAGUCUAAAAUAUAUUAGAUGUGUUAAAUUUUGUGAUUCAUCAUUAUGAAAAGCAUCAUAUAUGAGUGCACACCCAUUGAAGCUGAUAUUGUCUCCAGUUGGAAAAUAAAUAUUUCAUUGAGGGUGUCUUAUGGUUUAGGGAAUGAAGUAAAGAAUUAUGUCAUUCUGCAUAACCUCUAAUUUUAUACACUAGUUUAGACACAUAUAUUCUUCUUAUAUCAGAUACUUAGAUUUUGGUUUUUUCAUUAUAUAUGAAAUCCAUAUGCAUCAAAACUUAAAGAAAGAGGAAAUAUAAUAUAAAGUGGGAAGCAAAUCACUUCAUCCCCAGGGCCAAUAGAGCUGCAGAAAUAUCCUGAGCUUCAUAAUCCUCUUCUACAAAGGCAAUGUGAGGGCUAUCUUGUGGGAUCGUGUUUUCCCUUUUGAAAUUGUCUUUCAUUGCAAAGAAGUUUCUCCCCACCAUACCUCACCAAACCUCUUAGAAUAAUGGCCUUGUGGAGGCCAACAACUAGGUCUUCAUAAUUUGUAUCCCAUCUUUUCUAAACAAACACCACCAUUUUAAAGAGGUCAAUUCCCCACCUGACUGAGACAUACCUGCAGAAGACAUAAAUGUAAAAGAGUUGGUAGUGUUUUUUAUGUGUGCUAUAUGCAUAGGGAAGAGAUCUUACCUUGAUGCUUACACCCUUGACGCAGAUAAGGGUACCACAUUCAACCUUAAUGCAAUUUGCAUAUGGACAAGGCAACAAUGGAGGCCUCUGAUCUGCAUCCUUUUGUUACAGGCCAUCAAUUCUCUAAGUUUAUCAUUUAUUUGUUUAAAUUCUUGUUGGAAAUAUAGUACUAGAAAAUCAAUCAGUUAAUAUCCAAGGUACUAGUCUCUACAACCUUUUUGCCAAAGGGUGGUUAGUAACAAUCUUACCUUAACUUUUGGUUUCACCUACAACCACCCACAUCACAUACUCCACAAUGUCAACCAUUGAUCUAACAUUCUCAGCAGGUCAUCAAUACUCAACAUGGGCCUACUAGAUCUUUUACAUAAAAAUAAGGGUAAAGAAGAAAUUUUAUCCAUCUAUGAAUGUGCACCCAAUGGAUUAUUUGAUCCAUAUUGAUGCAAUGCAGUCGAAUGCACUAGUAAAUAUGUUCCUCCUCAUGUCAACAUAUUUUAUUGUCUAGGAGGAAUUACACUUGUUUUUUAGUACAAGUAUUUGUACUACAAAUCAACUACAAAAUCCCUCUAUGGAUAUUAAAUUUCCCUCCUGCAAUUAUAAACCAAUGCAUCAAAUUCUUUUAAGUUCACUUGAUAACAUCUUAAAUUUUCUACUAUUCUCCUGUAAACUCAAACCAAUCAACAAUUCCAAUCUUAUUCAACUUAAGCUAGAGUUGAUAACUUUCAUCACAUUUUUUAUAAUUGUCAGUAAUCUCUUAGUGCAAUCUCUAUUGCUAUCAUAACAAUCUAUUACAUACAACUCUUGUUUUUUUUUACGAUUGUGGCUAACACUAUAAUUACAAUUAGAGGAAGCCAUGUGGGUUAGAGUUUCAAUGAGUUCCUUCUGUUAGUUUCUGCAUUAAGUGCUCAAUUAAUCUUAAAGUAUCCAUAAAGAGAAACCUUUAAAAGAAGGUCUUCUACAUCCCUUAGAGAGUCACUCAUGGGUUUUUCAAUAGUUGGCAUGAUCCCAAGAUGGGUGUUGUGGUGGCGGUUCCAGUGGUGCUCAACAUGGGUAAGUAGUUACAGUAUGCUCUAGCCAUGAAAACUAAUGGAUGUUCUUUAGCCCAUUUUUAUGGAACUGAAGUCAUAAGUUAUUGUCAGUAAGGAGGUUUAGGAGGGCAUUUGCUAUGCCUUUUUGGUCAUGUCUAAUGAGGAGUUGACUGUUAUGUGCCUUGUUAGAUAAAACAAGUAGGUCUAUAGAAAAUAACUAUUGAAAGUUCAAUAUAUAAACUCUUAUGACGAUGGGCUAGGAUCUAAAUAAGCAGAAUCCACCAGGCUUGCUAGUCUAACACCUAAUUGUAUUGAUCUAAAAUUUACCUUGAUAAUAUCCACAUGCCCCGCUAUUUUUUGUAGCAACAAUAGAUAAACCAUAUUCUAACCCAAAAAAAGGGGUGUAAACCAUAAGUACCUACUUAUAAGGCAAUAAAUGGAUUAGAUUGGGACCAAAUGGCUCCACAAGAGCUGGGUUGAUAAAAACCCAUUUCAAGAGGCAAAUCCACCACAAAAGUGGUAACAUUAGAUGUUUGUAUGUCACAAUGAAAAGAACAAAAAGGUUUAGGUAUUGAAAACAUAAGCAGGGACCCAGGCUGAUUAAUUGUGGGUCUUGCUAUCAACAUGAAGUAGUCUAAUUUGGCCAUUGAUACUUAGAGAUGAUGGGACUUAUGUUUUCUGUUAGCUAUUUCAUCAAUACUAAAAAUUUUGGCAGACCAUGAUCAAUAUGAAUUCUUAGAACUUGCUACAGCUUUGUUAAGGGCCCACUAAUCUUUGAUGGGGGAUCAUAAUGUAUGUGUUGAAUAUUCUGCAAGGAUUAUGAAAUUCACUUUAGUUUUUGUAGCCAAUGUAUGUGUUCCUGGAACUUUGGACUAUGAUGCUUUGGAUAAGGCACUUGACCACACAAGUCACACUUCUCUAUGAACUUAAGCACUGUUGUAAGGGAAACCGAGCUACUCUUAGACAUUUCUUCUAUGUCGUCUUUGUUUCCUAAAAUCAAUGUCUACAAAAACAAAACCAAAUCAACAAGAAACAUAGCUUAGAGUCAAUGUUAAAAUUGUAUUUGUUUUCUAUUUGGAUCAUGGGAAAGCACUUUGAAAUGAAACUUUUUUACUAGUCUGGCUAUCUCUCCAAAAGCCUUGAUCAGACUAGUGACAUUAUUUUUAGGAUCAAGACAAGACAAUACAAGUGUCAUUGUCACCUUCUGAAUGUUGCAUUGUAACAUAGCUAAAGUAAAGCAAUACCAUGGAAAUUUAGUACUACUUGGUUUAGUUAAGGUAUGGUUUUGAUAUUGCUGGAGUCAAUUCCUCUACCAUCUGUGGCUGGUCAUAAAUGAUUCUAGUCUAGGUAAGUGAGUUGUACUUGGCCACAGUGAAUACUUCAUUUUCUUUUCAAGUUCAAGAAUUGAUCUUGUGGUUGUUUUUACUCACUCCAUUAGGUUAUUGUGGUUCUUUCGUUUUCUUUAUCUUGCUCCUAUGGUAAUGAAAUACUUCUUAUCUACAAGUGUGUUGCCAAAUGCAUAUCUAAAUGGUGGUUUAUUCUUGCCAACAGAUGCCUUGUCCCCAGAAGUCUCCAAGUGAGUAAUGAAAGGAUAUAAAACUGAUUUCCAUGAAGGAUGAAAGUCUCUCUACUGUAUCAGCAAUCGAUGAACCAGUGCAUGCAAUCAUCGUGUUUUCUUCUACAAAUCUGUGUAAAAAUUGGUGGUCCAAAAUUGAUUGGCCACGUAAGCAAAGUUAGUUGAUUAACUAACUGAAAGUGUGAGCUGGCACACCUGUUUGCUUAGCAAUUUUUUUUUUUUCAUGUACUCAUGUAUAAAAGUGUGAAGAAAAAAAAAGAGUUUUUUGAAUUGUAGAAAAGAAGUGAGAGGACUUUAGAGUGUGAGUCUUCUUCAUUGUACUGUAGCGAGAGCUUGAUGAUUCUCAGAGAUUCUUAAGGGUGUAAAAUGGUUCAAUCUUAGUGGAUUUUUGGAGGUGAUCUUGAUCCGUGGAUGUAGGAUUCAAUUUUGGAUCCGAA
rnacentral:lncRNA from 1 species